rnacentral:lncRNA from 1 species
AGAGUUUGAAAAAAAAUUGCCUUUUGCAAGAGAUAGGCUGGUGGAAUGCUACUUUUGGAUAUUAUGUGUCUACUUUGAGCCCCAAUACUCUCUUGCAAGGAAAAUUCUAACCAAAGUAAUCGCCUUGACUUCUAUUAUUGAUGACAUCUAUGAUGUUUAUGGCACCCUAGAUGAACUUCAACUUUUUACAAAUGCCAUUGAAAUGUGAGUUCUGAGUUGUUCUUUGUAUCGUAAUAUCUAAUAGCAUAUUUAUUUACAGCAAAAUAUAUAAUUCAAAUAGAUCCCAAUUUGAUAUUGAAUAUUUUCGUGAGCAGGUGGGAUUUUAGUGCUGGAGAUCAAUUACCAUCAUACAUGCACUACUUUCACAAAUCUCUUUUAGAUGUUUAUCGUGAAGCUGAGAAAGAUUUAGGAAAGAUAGGAAAAUCGUAUCGUGUUCACUACUCGAUUGAUGAGGUAAUCAAUAUUAAUAAAGUUGCUAGAAUUUUAAGCACGGUUACAUCCAAUUAAUAGUAUCUAAUCACAAUUUCAAUUUAUAGAUGAAAAAAUUAGUCCGUGCAUAUUUCGAAGAGGCAAAAUGGACGUACAACAGAUAUACUCCAACACUUGAAGAGUAUAUGAAAGUCGCAUUGGUAUCUAGUGCUUACAUGAUGCUAUCUACGACAUCUUUGGUAGGUAUGGGAGAACUGGUAACUAAGGAAGCCUUUGAUUGGAUUUCAAGUGAACCAUUAUUAGUUCGUGCUUCAUCAAUAAUUUGUAGACUAAUGGACGAUAUGGUUGGUCAUGGGGUAAGAAGUUUGAAUUCUUAUAAAUUGAUUUUCUUUAAAUUACACAAGUUCAUCACAUGGUUUUUUUUUUUUUUGCCGUCAACAUAUGAGAAAAAUAUAAUAGCCUGCUUAGCAUUAGAUUAACAAGUUUUGGGUUGUGUUACUUUUAUGCAGUUUGAGCAAAAAAUAACGGCUGUUGAAUGUUACAUAAAAGAGAGAGGCUUCAAAAGAAGAUGCAUUUGCUGUAUUUCAAACGCAAGUCAUGAACGCGUGGAAGGUUAUAAACCAAGAAUGCCUUAAUUCAGAUGCAGUACCAAUGGCUGUUCUGUUACGAGUAGUCAAUCUUACACGUUUCAUCAAUCUUCUAUACAAAGACAGUGAUGAAUACACAAAUUCUAAAACAAAGUUAAAAGAUUUCAUAACGGCUAUACUCAUCCAACCAGUGCCAAUAUCCAACUGAACAUAGUUGUGGUGCGGACUUUCAUUUUAAUGUAUCAUCUUGUUGUCAUCCAUAUUUAGUGUUGUCUUCUCAAAUUCUACGACUCAAUUAGGUCUUAAUUAAAGUUGUCCAAACGUUGAAUUUUCUCGUAUGUAAUCAAACGUUAUAUCUACUGGAAAGCUCUUUGAGUAGUUAAAAACUUUGUAUUUGUUUUGUUCGAUGUUCUAAAUAAUGAUAUUAAUGUUGAAAUUUUCUUACGAAUAAUUAGAACUGGAAUCUAUCUUACAAUUCAUUGAUAUUCAACUACUUAUAUAACAAAUACAGGACAAAUCUUACAUGAAAAUCCAUGAUUCUACGAGCUAUAAAAGGCUGAAUCAAAUCUAUAAAUUGUUUGCUAUUUAUACAUAUUUGAGGCAGAUUUCUCCAGCAAUAUAUCAGCAAUAUUGAUUUUCUUGUGAUUGAUUGCUUCAUUGCCACCAGUAAAGGGAUCAUUGUCUUCAUCCUUUUUGAAUGCUUCAUUACCAAUAUUUUUGUGAUCAUUUCCUUGGAACUAACAAAGCGGAAUGGACAAGGAUAGCUUGCUUACUACUUUCUUGUCUCAUCCAACAUCUACAGUGGAGAAUUAGUUAUAGCGUAGGGGAGGAAAAAUAUGUGGUCUGAAAUUUAAGACAUUAGUUGGAGAAAGUAUAGACACUGAAUUUGACAUGCAAUACCAUGCACAUGGUCACAACACCAAGAUUGUUGUUAGUUUUUAUAUUGAAAUCACUGUUCAUUUUCUGUCCAAAUUCAAAGACUAAAAGUAAAUGAAUAUUUACAUUCCUUCAUGAUUUCCACAAAAUAUAUAUGGUAAAUGAGAAUACACGGUGCUCUGUCACAUAUCAUUCAACCGUUUCACAAUAUUUCAUUGCAUAUACUUUAGACCCCAUAAUAUAAUUAAUUAGUCCUUUAUCUGGAAAUAAUUCAUUGCUCUAGAUAUAAUAUUUAGGCAUUUAAUUUCUACAAAAACUGUAUUUUGAUGCACCACAAAUUUAUUUACAGCAGCAGUCCUAACGGUUAGUAUUUUAUGGAAAAUAAAUAUUCAAAAACAAAUAACAAAUUAGAAAAUUAUAGACACCCCUUGAGAAUAGUGAGUAUUACAGAUUCGUUCAGCCUCUACAUUUAAAAAUAAAAAAAAUUAAAAAAUUAAAAAAUUAAAAAAUUUAAAAAUUUAAAAAACCUCCAACAAGGUUUCAUUACAUAUUCGCCCGGUAAGCAAAAAAGCAAAUAUAUAUUUUUUGUUUAAUCCCUUUGCUUUGUACUAUUUUGAAAUUCUUAUUACAUACAAUUAAACUAUUUUUCCUUUAUAUUUCUUUUAAUUUCUUAAAAUACCUUACAUACUAUUAUUAGCCUUAGUUAAAAGAAUAUCAUUAUGAAUUGUGAUAAUAUCUUAAAAGAUUUUAAAAUACAAUUUACUUUCUAAAAACAUUAUAUGUUUUGGCUAAUAUGAUUGACGAAUAUUUAAAAAAUGAAAAUAAAAACAUGUUAUAGAAUAAUAUAAUAAAGAAAGAAAAUAAUUUUUAAAUAUUUUAUAUUUCUUGAUUUAGUAGCAUUUUCUAAAAUUUUUACUCAUUUAUACUCUUAAAAUUUAAACUACGUUUAGAAAAUCAAACUAAUAAUAUCAUAAUAAAGUUGGCAUUAAAGAUUUGUAGUUUCUUUUUAAGCCAAUAUUUUAGAUCUAUUUUUUAUUUAUUCAUUUUUAAAAUGAGAAAUUAAUUUUAAUUAGUGGUUUUUAUUACUUACUUUAACGAUAAGUAUAACUUUGUACUCAUUGAUCACGGCCAUAAGAAAAGGGACAUAUGCAAUGACUUUAAUUGAAUUGAUACUUAAUUUUUAUUGUAUAUAGAUUGAUUUAUGAGAAACUAGAUAUUGUAUUGCAUAUGAAGAAAUAGGGGCAGAAAUUGAAUGAUAAGGACUAAGAAUGAACAAAAUAUUGAAAAAAGAGGGAAAAUGAUAAGGACUAAGAAGAAACAAUUUGUGGAAAUUUGGGACUGAGGUAUAAAUAUUCGAUGAAGGACCAACAACGUAAAUAGGAAGUAACUUGAGCUGAAUUGAUAGGAAAACUUAGUGACUAACUUGAAUUGGAAGCAAAAAGGAUGCACCUUGCAAUCGCAAGACUCUACCUAUGCAAUCACAAGUUUCACCAAGUUCAAGAAUAUUAUCAUACGAUCACAAUCAACGUUACCCUGCUAUCGUGUUGAUUUCAAUCACGUGGUUUUACAAGGUAGCAAAGAUUUUAUUUCUUAAUUUAAAUCAAGUUCUACAUGGAAUGGGAUUGGAGCACAAAUUUCACCUAAUUCUAGGGGCUACAAAGACGAUUAUUCAUCGAGCAAAAGGGGAAGAGAGUUUUGGGGGAGACAAAAACAUACAUUCUAUACACUUUAACCAUCAAGAGCUUCUUGCAAUUACAUAUUCCCGGUUGUAAAUUCUCAAUUUAUUAUGUAUUUUUGUAAUUUAAACAUGAUAGGAUAAAUCUUUAGUAGUUCUCAAUUUAUUUUGUCCAAUGUUCUAAAUAAUGAUAUUAAUGUGUGGUUGAAAAUUUGAGACAUUAGUUUUGUCUUUAUGAUAGUUAGAAAGCAAGUAUAGCCAUUGAAUUUAAAAUGAAAUACCCUCCAUAAGGUCACAACAACACAUGUUAUUUUUAUUUUUAUUUUUAUUUUUUUAACUUGAAUAAACUAAAAUAAAUCACCAUCAACACAAACUUCCAUUUUUAAAAAAGUAAGAUUGACACUGUUUUUAUAUUAAAAACACAGUUCAUUUUCCGAUCUAAUUCUAAGACUAAAAGUAGGUAUUUAUAUUCAAAACACAGUUUAUUUUCUAUCCAAAUUCUAAGACUAAAAGUCAAUUAAAAGAAUAUGGAAUGAAUAUUUAAAUUUCUCCAUCGACUGCUCCCAUAAUUUCGACAAAUGUGGCAUUGAGAUUCCAUGGUGUUCUGUCACAUAUCAUUCAACCCUUUGAGGAUAUUUCCCUGCAUAUAAUUCAGACCUCACAAUAAAAUUAAUUAGUCCCCCUACCUUGAAAUAAGGCAUUGUUCUAGAUCUAGUAUUUAGGCAUUUAAUUAUUACAAAAACUUUAUUUUGAUGCACAACAAAUUUAUUUACAGCAGAUAGUAUUUGUUAGAACAAAAAUAUCCAAAAAAUUAAUUUAUUUGAAAGUAUAUAAAAAAAUUAGAAAAAUAUAGACAUCAAAGGUUAGUGACACUCCUUGUGAGCAAAAGCAAAUAUAUAUUUUUUGUUUUAUUUCUUCGCUUUGUACUAUUUUAAAAUUCUUAUUACAUAAACUUCAAACUUUUGAUUUAGAUGACAACAUGAUGUUUUAAUGAAAAGAAAUAUCAUUACAAAUUGUCAUAGUAUUUAAAGUCGUCGUAAAAUAUUAUUAUUUUAAAAUAUAUGUAUACACACACGUGCGCGCGUUUGGCAAAUAUGAUUGACAAGGAUUAACAAAUCAACAUAAAAACAUGCUACAAAAUAAUUUAAUGAAGUAGAUUAUUUUUUUAAUAUUUAUAUUUCUUGAUUAUGUAACAUUUUCUCUAAUAUUUACUCAUUUAUACUAUUUGACAUUUAGACUAUGUUUAGAAAAUUAAACUAAUAAUAGUGUUAUAAAGUUGGCAUCAAAAGAUUAAAGUUUAGAUCUCUUUUUAGUUUUUUUUUAGUGAAUAUUUUAGAUCAAUUUAAUUUAUUCAUUUGUAAAAAGAAAAUUCAAUUUUAACAAUAUAUUAUCAAGAUGAUGAGAGAGAGAGAGAGAGAGAGAGAGAAUAUUUAUUAUAAAGGGAGAGAAUUCUUUAAUAAUUAAAACAAGGGGAUGACCGUGUCUUUACUUUUUGUAAAUUUCGUGGGAGGUUUUUGGUAUUUACUUUAACGAAUAAGUAACAAUAUGUCUGGAAUUCCUAGGAGUGUAUCUCGACUGUGAUGACAACUGUGCCAAAAACAUUGGGUGAUAUAGGAUCUAGAACUGGGAAUAUACAGCUCGUGAGCUCUUAUGACUAUCACAAAUAGUGUUUGGUAGUCUCUGUUAUAUUCCUCUUUGUCCUUUAUACACGGUUUGUGGUGAUUUGAUUAACGCAAAUUUUCAUUUGCUUUCCUUCAAAAACAAAAAAAAUAAAAAAAAAUAAAAAAUGAGAUUAUCGUAAUGGUUAUGAGCAAGCUUCUUAAAGACAUAAGGUGUGCAAGGAGUCAAUAUCAACCCUCAAGCCUUACGAGUCUAGACGUAAUAAGUUGUUUUCUUGUUUUUAAUGUUAUUUUAAUUUUUCUAAGAUUAUUGAUAAUAUUUCUUUUUAUUCAAUUAGUUUAUGUAACUUAAACUAUUAAAAAAAUUAAAUAUAAAAUGUGCGUGGCUUGGCCUGAAUGAGUCGUGCCUUCUUCACUAAGCUCAACUAGACAUCACCAGCUUUUUCGACCUUUCAGAAUACUAAUUGUGAGGUAAAAUCACACAGAUUUCUACUAUGGGUACUCAAUCUAUUCUUCCACCUGCAAGUUGGUCUCAAAUUUUAACAAAUAACUUCUCAAUCUUUCAUUAGCAUUGCACACUAACUCUUAGUUCGAGAUGUCAAUAGGUGCAAGUUGUCAUCAAAUUGUUAGUUUGGUGCAUGCCUAUAAAUGGCAUUGCUCGCCUUUGAGGCAAGUCUUAGGGUGAGCCAAGUAGGGCUGCACAAAAAAAAUCGCAAAAUCGCAAAUCGAAUCGAAAUCGUUGAGUUGAAAUCGUUGGUUUGGGUCCACAUGGACCCGUGGUUUCUUUUCCCUCAAACCAAACCAAACCGUUUCAAAAUGAUUUGGUUUAGGUUUUGAUUUUCAAAAAUCGCACAAAACCGAACCGAACCAUUUUUAAAUUUUUUAAUUAAAAAUAAAUUUUAUUAACUUAAAAAUUUUAAUUUUUUUCAUUUUUUAAAACAAAAAAAUCAAUUUAGUAAUACGAAUUAUAACUAACCUAUUGAAAUAAUCAUAGAAAGUAAAUUAGGUUCAUCAUUAUUGGCCUAUGAUUUAAUAGGCUCACAACACAUAUCUUCACCCGAUAUCUAAGCUAAACUAAAAUUAUUCCAAAAUCAUAUGAAAUGAAAAAAAAAACAUAUAUUUUUAACAAUCCAAAUUAUAAUUCAACAAAACUAUGUCAACAAAUCACGUCCAAAGUUUCAGAAACCCUAAUAUAAACUCUCAUUUCCUAACAUUUGACAAUUGUUUGCCAGUGCUAAACGAAUCGCUAGUCGCCUUUGCCUGUUAGUUUACUCAUCUCUACCUGAAUCGUCUCUUUCUCUAUUCUCUUUUGGUAAGUCCUAGAUUUUUAUUUAAGUCAUUUGUCCAUUGUGCUUUCUUUUAUUUGUUUUAUUUGAAUUUAUUAUACACUUAUGAUUGCUGGUUUGGAUAGAAAAAUGAUUGUUUGUGUGCUUAGAUAAUUAAUGAACUUAUUUGUUAUUUAGAAAGAAUGAAGGACGAAGCGUAUUAAUUGUGAGAAAUUGUUAAAGUACCCUAAUUAGUACUACUGUCUUCUACUUUUAUAAAGUAGUUAGAUGAUGAAAUUUGUCAAUUCUCAAUAAGCCGAAACUCUAUCAAUCUUUGUACAUUUAAACAUAUCAUGUUCAAUCCUUAUUUAAUAUCUCACUAGCAAAAUGAAAAGAGUUUUAACCAAACUAUAAUAGCAGAAUGUAACUCUACUUUUACCAACCGUUAUAUGACAAUAUGAAUAUCAAGCAAGAAAAAGUAAAUAAAAAUGAAGAAAUAUGUAUUUGUUCUAUUAACAUCUUUUAGCAACCAAUUUUGAAAAUAAUUUAUUCACGAGUUUCAUGGUAAAUAUGAAUGUAAUUUAACAUUUAACGUUAUUAGUUCUCGUUUAAACUUAUAUUUAACUUAUGUUGAAUACAUUACUAUAAUGCCGAAAGGUAAAUCGCGAAUUAAAAUCGAAUCAAACCGCAAAUUAUGGUUUGGUUUGAAAAAUAAAAUGGUUUGAUUUGGUUUGGUUUGAAAAAAUUUCAAACCAUAUAAAAUGGUUUGAGUUGAAAAUAUAGCACAAAUCGUCCAAACCGAAAUGCGUUCACCCCUAGAGCCAAGUCAAGAACUUCCCAUGCAAGGGCUGCCUCAUUUUUGCAUUUCAUUAUUAUUAUUUAUUUAUUUUAUUUGUCUACAAAUGCUGCAAUUUCUCAAACAGUUUCUUCACACCCUUAUCCAUUGUUCAAAAUUUCAUAUACCACUCAAUAGUAUUAUAAAUUUGCAAUUAUUCUUACUGUUGUCAUUUGUUUGCAAUUAUUGCUUCUACUUCUCACUACUCCCCAGUCUCCUACCCUUUAUUGCCUUUUUUCUUCUAUUUUCUACAAAAUUUCUAAUGGAUUUUAGAGGAUGAACCCCAGUUAGGAUCUCCAAAUAAGUAUUUCUAAAUUUAAAACAAAAAAAAAAAACAAAAAAUAGGGGCAAAUAGUUUUGUUUGGUUUCAAACGUGUUUUAACUAUCAAAACCUAAACCUAAUAAUUAUUAUGUGGCACCUCAAUUUGAAGUCGAAGAAGUCGAAAUAUUAAUGGAUACACGUGGAACAAACCAACAGUUUCGUUGUGAUUUCUGUUUACGUAAAGGAUAAACCAUAAAGAUAUAUUUGAGCGACCACCAUUACAAUUAGUAUGUUGGGGAUUAUACGUAAAAUGAUCUUUGCAUUUAAGGUCAUUGAGUGUCUAUACACUAUAUUAAAUGUUAACAAUGGGUAAUUUUCCUAACAUUUUAAUUAAAUGUAGGUGAUUUUUAUUAUUUUUUUGUUUUUUUUUUUUUAAAGAGAGGUAUUUUUCAGUUUUUAAAGAAAAUAAGGCUUAUAGCAUUAUUAUCACUUAAGAAAAUACUCAAUUUGGACUCUUAAAAACUUCUUUCAAGUGACAGACUAGUGUGAAAUUCGUAAACGUGUACUAUCUUUUAUAAAUUUCAUGAAAAUUUUUCAUAUCUUCUAUAAAUUUUCUUUUAAGGGCUUCUAUAAACUUCAUUAGACUUUGAAAGACUACUACUUUAAGGGGGAGGGGGGACUUAUUGCAUAUUCAGCAAUAGUAAUAUAUUAUUCAUCCGUAUCAACUGAAAGAACAUUUACAAUGCUCGUUAGGGAGCUAUCAAGUCACACAUCACCCAGAAAUCGGGAGAGAGCAGCAGCAUUAACUUCCCUUCCCUUUGAAUUGAACAUUGGAGGUCAGCAAAUAAGGCUAUCAUUCCAAAUACAAUCAUCAUGAUCCUUAACAUAAUGACACAUUUAUUAUUGGACUGUUUUAAAUACAGCCAAUUUUUUCAUUCAAUCACAUCUUGCCAAUAUCGAUUAUGACAUUCUAUCUAUCAACCAUUUUCUGGUAAAGUGGUAUAACUUUGUUUCGAUCGUACAAUCAAUGGUGAAUCUAGGACGAAAGGUUAGCUAGGGCAGACAGUGAAUGUUGACUGUUGACAAUCAUCGACGGUAAUAGCGAUAUUGUUUAUUAAUUUUUAAUUAAAUAAUUUUAAAAAUUCUUCAAUAUAUAUGAAAAUGCACUAAAACGUAAAAAUUCUACACAUGGAAUAUAAUUCAAUACAACAUUUUUUAUUUACUUAUGAAAAUAUAAUUCUACACAUGGGUGAAUUGAGCUCAACAUCUUUUUAUUUACUUAUCUUACAUUUCCUAAACAUAAAUAUCCAAAUCACAAAUCAAAAUUCAUAAAUGAUAAAUUGUAACUCGUAAUUCAUACAACAUAAAUUAUUUAUCAUAGAUCACAGCUUGACAAUUACAAUUAUUUCUCUGUCAUUUUGUCAAUUAACUUAUAAAACAUAAAUCAUAGAUUCAUAAGAAAUUAAGAAUCAUGACACAUUUAUAAUAAAUCAGAUAAUGAAUUAUAUGAUUACUAAUUAUGCGAACUUGUGACGUGUCAACACAGAAAAAACCCAAAAAAAAAGGAGAGAAGCAGCUCACUGACUUGAACAAGAAAGAUGUGUACUGGCUGCUCAAAAACUCCGCGUCCGAGAGUUUACCGAUAGCGACUUCUUGUUGUCGCCACUCGUUCGUCGACAGCAAGUCUGCAACUACUUCCUUCAGCCCUCGCAGAUCGCAUAGAAGUGGCCAGGAGAAGGUGGAAAAGGGUUUGUGUUGGUAAUUGCCUUCAUUUGGUCUUGGACUUCUGUUAUAUAUAUGAUGCAUGGAUUCAUUGGAUUAGGGCUAGUUUAAAAAAAAAAAAAACAAAACAAAAGGCCCACAACUACAACCAUGAGGCAUUAACCCCAAAAAAAAGGAAAAAAUUCAUAAUCCAAGUAUACCAUUUACACCAAUUUAAAAAUCAGGUAGAUAAUUUGAAAAUUCAAAUUCAGGUACAUAUUUAAUUAACUAAAAAUACUUAUUAAAUAAAUAUAAUAAAAUCACAGUUAUUCAAUUAAUGGUCACAUAUCUGAUUAAUGGUCACAUAUCAUCAAAUUAAUUAGUUACAGAUUAUUUCGUGGUCACAAAUCAAAAAUUUUGAAGGUCACGGAUUAUUUUUGAGGUCACAAAUCAUUCAAAUUGCAGGUCACAGUUCAUCUGUAAGUCACAUAUUUUCAAUUUAUUGGUCACAAAUUAUUUUUUUAGUUACAGAUUGUCAAAAUUUAAAUAUCACAGACCAAAUCAUUGGUCACAUGCAUAAAUAACUCCACCCCCAUUUCAAUUCACCACCAAUACUUGGUCACAAAGCAACCAAAUAAUUGGUCACAAUCACCAUUACACCCCACCACAACACCUCUACAACGAGCCAACAAUAACAAAAAUGAUAACCAAAACACAACGAACGACUGCACCACACCAUCACACAAUCAUUGACCACCAUCUCGUCGCCAGCACCACCACCCACCACUAGCAUCACCACCAUUACCCCGAAGUCCCCAACAAUGCACCACCACCACAAUCUCCAUCGAACACCGACCGCAUUAACGGAACGUACUGCUCUUCAUAAAUCAGUAAGAACUUCCUGAUCAGAAGGAAGACCUACAACACCCUACUCAUGUGUGCCGUCUUCACAAAUCCAUCUAUGGCCUUAAACAGGUCCCCAAGCAAGCCACCCAUAAAUGCAAUUUUCUAAGACUUCUUAGAGGGAAGGGUUUCCGAAACCAUAGUUCUUCACCUUCUCUCUCCCAUACAAAACAAUGAGGGUUUCCUAAUAAUUAUUGCAAAGACAAUUUAUCCCUUUAGUUCUUCACCUUCUCUCUCACACACAAAACACACACUAGGUGAGUGGGGUUUAUAGAAGAAGACGCCGCAAAUAGGAAAUAUAUAAAAAGAACUACGAUUUCGGAACACCGAUCGCACUGCCGCUAACCAGUGUCACCGCACCCACAGCCACAGCAACGUCGAACUAGCACUUGUCAGAGCAUCGAUGCUCAUCCUGCACCUAAUGCUAGUCACGACACCAGCAAAGAGAGAAUGUUGGUAGAGAGAAGAUCGAGAGAAUGGAGAUAGAGUAGAGAGAGAAUGGAGUGAGUUAGGGUUUGGAAUUGAAUUAAUUAAUUAAUAAAAUAUCCAAUUAAUACCUGAUUUUUUAUUAAAUAAACUUUAUACCUGUAUUUUAAAUUUGAAAGUUUAACUACCUGGUUUUAUGUAAUUUCCUCAAUAAAUAAAUAAAAUAAAAAAUUACAAGACCCAACUCCGAGACCUUGCCUUCUUCAUCAUUCGUCUACGGUCUCCCCUGCAACUGAUCUGGUGCCCGACGGUCAGUGGAAACUCAAAGUUUCGAUAGAGUCCAACACGUGCGAUCACGCCCCCUCGUCGAGUGCUGGCUCCGCCAUAUAAUGACAACCAGUCUGCUCUAGCACGUUGUGCCCCAAAAAAUAAAAAUAAAAAAUUCUUCUCUCUCACUCAAAAUAAAAAUAAAAAAAAAUAAUAAUAAGACGACGACAAAGAAAAAUUUAAAUUAUCCCAGUAUUAUUCCUACCAGUGGGCAAAGUAGGUAAUUGUCAGGUGUGGCCAAGGGCGACAUCACAUGUACAGCGAGAUUACAUCCCCCAUCAGAAUAUGUACUAUUUUGGUUAUAAAGAGGUCGACUAGACUUUAGAAACCGACGGUGGUUCAAGCAAAGCUUUCAGUUUUCAGUAUUUAGAUUGAUUUCCUAAUGGAGCUUUUAGCCAUUCGCCAAACCCGUGUUCUGGAUUUCGGAGGAUGGGCAAGCCCCCCCCAUACAUUCGGGAAAAGUGUGGACAUAUUUCCAGCAUAGGGUGCAGUAGGAAGUUUUUCAUAUUUGUAGUUCAGUUUAACCAGGGGCGAAGCCAAGAUUUUAGUUUAGUGCGGGCAAAAUUUUUUCGAUGUGGGACGUCGAGAUUUUGGUCAUUGAUUUAAUAAUGAUAAAGAAAUAAAACAAUAUUACAACAAUACUAAAAAACAAAGUGCUAAUUUCAUAUAUUAAAAAAAUAAAUAUUAUUACAAUUUACACAAAUCAAACUAACAAAAAAUAAGGGAAAAAAUUCAAUUGAAUGAAUGGAAGUGGCGAAGUGUGAAGGGACGAAGUCAUAGACUCACAAUUCACAAAGAGUUGAAAUGAAUGAAUGGGCAUGGGUAAAUUGAUUCAAUUGAAUUUUGAGGGGAAUGGGUCUAAAAUGGGCCAUGGGCUUCUCUCUCUUGGCUGGACAAUGUACACAGAAGUAAGAAAAAAAAAUUUACUUGGCCAUGUGGAGCUGGGCCCAAAAGUCCAAUAUAGGCAUCUAGGGAAGUGAGUUAAACAAACAAACAAAAAAUUUACUUGGGCCUGUGGAGUUGGGCCAAAAGUUUAGUACAGGUCCGCACUGGACAUAAUUAGGCUCCGCCCUUUAGUUUAAUAGUGACUCUAUUCUCGCUCAAUUGCAUGAAAGAGUUCAUCGGAGAGGUUGCAAUAUAUAAUCUUCACACGAAUCCGUUAAAAUGACAAUCAUUAUUUAAAAACUCUUUUCAAAAUACUCAUUUUCAACUACACAUUCAUACAAUAAAAUAUUCUACAUGUAAACCUAAAUUUUUUUACUACUUUUUAACCAUACAAUCUCCUAAAAAUAUUAUUCAAAACAUUACUUUUUCCAAAUAAUGACCAUCAAAUAUAUGCUAAUUUAUGUUAUAUUUAUGUCACUAGUAUCAUUGUUUGAAACCAAAUCAAGCCGCAAAUAACGGUUUGAUUUGCAAAAUUAAACGAUUUUGUUUGACUUUAGAUUUUUUCAAACCUUUGAAAAUGGUUUAAUUUUAGGCCCUGUUUGAUAAUCUCCUUUUUUCCAUGGAAAAUGGAAAACAUUUUUCAUUUCCAUCCAAAAUUGUGUGUUUGAUGGCACCCAAAUUCCAUGUAAUUGGUUUUCCAUUUUCCCACCCAUGUGACCCCCUUUCUAGCUUUUCAAGGAAAACCAUUGGUUUUCACGAGAAAAUGAUUUCCAGAUUUUUUUGGUUUAACAUUUUAUUAUUUAGUUGCAAUGGGAACAAAUUCUAUGCACAAUUGUAAAAAAAAUUAUUCUUUUAAUUGACAAUUUUCAUGGAAAACGAACAACAAAAGAUCCAAAUUUCAACAUUUUCCAAGGUGGAAAAUUAUAUCAAUCAAACACAUUUAAUUGACAAUUCCCAAUAAAAUAAGUUCUAGGCAAUUCAAUUUCCUGGAAUUCAUUUUCUUUCCAUCCAAAUUUCAUUCUUGCUAUCAAACAAACCCUUAGUAUAAUUUAAAAUCGUUCAAACAAAACUUUGUUCAACCCUAAGUGAUUAUUGCAUUAUGAUGUAGAUUGUUGUAGAGGUGGUCUUAGUGAUGGUGGGUGAUACAUAUUGUAUUACUGGUAGUGAGUGGAAAGUAUUACGAUGUAACACGAAAUGUUACGAGGUGAUGAAGACUACGACAGUGAAUUUUGCAUAACAUUGUAUUGCAAAGUGUAGUAUAAAAAAAAUUAAGAAUAUAUAUAUAAAGUGACGUGGAGAAUAAUUUUAUUUUUUUAGCUUAUUCGUGUGAAGGUCUUUUCAAAUUGAAUGGUAUAAAAAAUAAUAUUAUUCAACAUCAUUGGUACUUAGCAUUAAUUAGGGAUUCAUUAAGUAACAUUUUAAAUAAAAAUAUAAAUGAGUCAUAUUUAAAGUUAAAAUUACUUAGCACUAAUCUAGGUGUUUCGGGAUUAAAUUGGAAUAAUUGUGUGAACUCUUCCACAUACAACGUCCACACGUACCAGUGAUGUGUAGAAUCAACAUAUGACUCAUCCCCCAAGUUCCCUGCCCGCAAUGUAUUUGGUCAACAUGUUGGUAAUUGUUCUUUAGCCCUGUUGGGGAUAUUAAGCCCCGUUUGGUAAUAAUUUUUUACUUAAAAAAAUCAAAUUUUGACUGUUAUUUCAUUGUUCCAGCCAUCAUUUUUUAUCUUUUCACUCACAAGUAAAAUUCACUUUUCUUUCUAACGAUCAAAAAAUCAAUCCUCAUAAUUACUACCGAUCAGACCCUAAAAUUAGAUUUUUAAUAGAUUUUGAUAAAAAUUGAUAAAAUGUAUGAUUAAAAAGUUGUGAGUUUAAUAAAUUAUGUGAUUAAAACUAAUUAUUGAUUUUGACUCUAAUUUUAAUCCGGAUCAAAUUGGGGUUACUAUUUAUUAUUUAAGCACUCAAAAUAGUGCUUCUCCUGUACUCAUUUAAUUGCUGUUGGCUUUUUGAUACCCAGUAAAUUCCGGGCUAUGAUGUUAACGUGGGUUAAUAUUAUUUCAUAGGCAUAGGCCGAUGAAUGAAAUAAGUCCAACAACCAAAUCCAUGAGCUACACUCGACCCAAUUGUAUUCCUUAUGGAUAGCUUGAAUCUUGGCCCGUUUACCACUUUAUUGGCCCAACUUAAAGCCUAACCCUAGAGUAUAUAUAUGAAUAUAACCCUAGCCACUUUGAUAUGAUGAUUGUGUGAUUUUGAGAGAAGAAAUAGUGAAUCCCGGCUGCCCCCCUUUUGUGUGAGAAAAAGGUGCCCAGAAGUGUCCAGAACGCUUGUAUAACGUGUGCAAUUGGUGGUUCUUUCAUAGUAUACAUUUGUGGUGUCUUCUCUUAGCCUUUGUGGCCAUAAAUCAUCAUCCUUUCUUGUCCUACGUGGGUAAGAUUGCAUAGCAACCAAGGUGAAUCAAUUGGCUGUAGUUUGGAGCCGAUUGGACUGGUUGUUGGUUGAGAAAGGUACGUUGGACUGAGCCUGAAAAACCACCGUUUGAAGAUCCUUUUGAGAGAGCUUCCGCAACAAUUGGUAUCAGAGCUUCAAGGUGAAGGUUUUGGCUCGUGAAAUCUACCAGAAAUCGUCCAGAAAAUCGGCAGAAACGCAGCAGAAAUCAGAUCGAAGAAGCUGUCCAAAACUGUUAAAAUCAGUCUUCGUUUUUCGUGUUUUUUGAUCAAUCCAGAAGGGGUUUGGGAAAAUGGAGACCACUGGCGUGACGUGCAGGAGGAGGCGAACCCUUCAAGCCGACGCGUGUCAGUCUAAGGCUGCGCAUGAGGCCCACGCGCAGAGGGAAGGAGACGGAUGUGAGGGCGCGUGGAGCGUUUUUUGUGACGGUCUCUUCAGGCAGUUUGUUCCUCAUAUUAUUUCUGACAUUUUUCAUGUUUAAAGUUUUCUGUUUCAGGGUACGCAGAAGAAUCUGGACAGCGUUGUUCUUCGGGCGUUCGGGACUCGAUCGUGAUUUUUUGGUUGCUGCAGUUUCCAGAGACUUUAGGACGAAUAGUGGUGGUCCUAAAGUGUUAAAUUCGUGUGUCUCAUAAUUUACGGACUCAGAUAGGUCCGCUCUGGUAUAUUGGCUUAACUUAGUUUAAAUUUCAACAUUAGCAGAUCAUCGUGUGGGGUGAUCGUCAGGAUUGGGGGUUGUCAUUGUUUGGCAACCAUUGCUUGUGCUAGAAAAUUUAGGAAUUAUUUGCUCUGUUUUUGAAGUGUUGAGUUUUGAUUGCAAGUUGGUAGUUGAUUUUGUGCUUUACCUGUCAUAUAGUCACUGUGUGAGACUUGUUGCGUGGAAAUUCGAACUUUUGUUUACAUACCUUCGUUUUGCAUUGAUUUUCCUGUUAGAACACCUGGACUUGACCCGUUCGAACAUUCCCUUGAUCUAAAAUCGGGAAUCUUACAAAACCCUGAGAAUCUAGAACGGUGUAUAUUGAGGCCGUAGGAUAACUUCGUGUGACCUAUCUGUGCUUUUUGGUUGUUCUAGUUUUUUAAAAUAGUCUUCACGCUUUGAAGUUGGAAUUUUUAAUGCGAAGGGGGAUUUUUCAAUUUGGCAACAAAAGAUGAAGGGUAUUUUGGUCCAACAAAAAGUUUCAAAAGCCAUAGAUGGCAAAUUUUCUGCAAAUUUAACAGAAGUACAAAAAGAAGAGUAUGAUGAACUUGCAUACACGUCAAUUAUUUUACACCUGUCUGAUACUGUUUUGAGAAAAGUAGGAAAAUUGGAUUCUACAAAACAACUUUGGGAAAAGUUGGAGGACUUAUAUUUGCUUAAGUCAACUCCUAGUAAAUUGUACUUGCUUGAACGAUUUUUCAGCUUUAAAAUGAAUCCUUCAAAGGAUCUUGAUAAUAAUCUGGAUGUCUUUAACAAAUUAGUUCAAGACAUCAUUAACUGUGAUGAAGAGGUAUCCGAAACGUAUAAGGCUAUUAUCCUGCUUAAUUCCAUGCUUGAUUCAUAUAGGGAAGUUAAGAAUGUAAUUAAGUAUGGUAGGGACACAUUAACACCCGAGAUUGUCAUAGACUCACUUAGGAGUAAGGAGAUGGAGAUUAAGGUUGAAAAAUAGGAUAACAUGAGUGGCGAGUUACAUAUGAUGAAGAGUAGAAUGAAGUUUAAGCAGAUGAAUUUGGGUAGAACUCAAGACGGUAGUGAUUCGAGUAGUGACUCGAGUGUUGAGGGUAGUAAGAAGAAGGGCAAGGGACGAGACAAGUCUAGUGAUAAAAGGUGUUACAGUUGUGGUAAGUGUGGACACUUUAUUAGGGACUGUCCCAAGAAGAAAGAUAAGCUGAAAGGAAAGAUGAGAGGUGAGACGAAUUUGGUUGAGGGGUCGAGUUAUGACCCCAGUGAGGUUUAUUAAGUGUAAACCUAGUCACUGCAUAUGCAUCUGUGUGUGAUCCUUUCUGCAUGUGUGUGAUUGUCUAAAUUUUGUUGCAUGAUUAUCUGCUACAUUUCAAUGUGUUUGAUAUGUGCAUUUGCAUGAAUUUGAGACAUUAGGAUUAUUUGGUGUAAUUGCUUGCAUGCAUAGUGGAUUAGGAUGCAUUAGCAGUGCAUUGUGUGUCUUUUGGUGAGGUGGAGUAUAGAUGCCUAGAGGUACAUGGUGGUUUGUACCGGGGAUGUGGAGAGUGACAUUUGGAUCACGAGUGGAGAUGUGAUCAAAUGUCUAGAAUCCUUUAUCUGGAAAGAGACCUUGAUCAGGUGGAGUGUGAGAAAGACACUUCUAUCACUUCUGUUAGGUGGAGACCCAUUAUCCACGUAGGUUGGGAGAAGUGAUGUGGAGAUAGAGGAUUAUCCCGUGGACUUAGGAUCUAUUGUGACUUACCAGUUAGACAUCAGUUGAGUGAUCUGUCUAGUGAGCCGUGGUGGGCGAUGAGAGGAGAUAUGUGAUCUCGAGGUGUGAGCAACACGGAAUGGGAUAGGAUAAGUGUGGUGAGAUCUUUUCUUAGGGUCAUUUAUGCAUGUGUUGCAUAUGUGGUUGACCGUGGUUUGAUUGACUUGGUGUUAAUCUAUGGUUCUAUGUGAAUGUGUUUCUGAAAUGAUCUGUGUGUGUUAUCCUAUAGUAUAUCGUCAACGCAUGUGUAUUUACUCUUGAUUGUUUACUGUUAAAUAUUUGCUUCUACUUGGGUGUUUUUGACCUUAGCCCCAGUGAGUACAUGGAGCAGGUAUGGUAUGUGUUUCAAGUUGGAAACACGAGGUAAGAUCUGUGAUCCAAUUCUAUUGGCGACCUUGAUUAUGCAAGUGUUAACUGUAUGUUUUGAUUGCUUGCAGAUUUAUUGGGUAUCAAGGUGGAGAUUUGUUGGGUUUUUGAUACCCAGUAAAUCCCGGGCUAUGAUGUUAAUGUGGGUUAAUAUUAUUUCAUAGGCAUAGGCUGAUGAAUGAAAUAAGUCCAACAACCAAGUCCAUGAGCUACACCCGGCCCAAUUGUAUCCCUUAUGGAUGGCUUGAAUCUUGGCCCGUUUAUCCCUUUAUUGGCCUAACUUAAAGCCUAACCCUAGAGUAUAUAUAUAUGAAUAUAACCCUAGCCACUUUGAUAUGAUGAUUGUGUGAUUUUGAGAGAAGAAAUAGUGAAUCUCGGCUGCCCCCCUUUUGUGUGAGAAAAAGCUGUCCAGAAGUGUCCAGAACGCUUGUAUAACGUGUGCAAUUGGUGGUUCUUUCAUAGUAUACCUUUGUGGCCAUAAAUCAUCAUCCUUUCUUGUCCUACGUGGGUAAGAUUGCAUAGCAACCAAGAUGAAUAAAUUGGUUGUGGUUUGGAGCUGAUUGGACUGGUUGUUGGUUGAGAAAGGUGCGUUGGACUGAGCCUGGAAAACCACCGUUUGAAGAUCCUUUUGAGAGAGCUUCCGCAACAAUUGCCUUUAGGCCCCGGUGAAGUACAAAGAAGAAACCUGCAGGUGACUAACAUCUAUGUCGACAACGGCGGACUGUGGAUCUUUGGGCCUCACUCAGUCUGACCUUUGGUCACCGCUUCUCAUUAAAGGUGUGUUUGAUUGCAAGCAUGAAAAGAAAAAAAAAUCUAAGCAAUUCAAUUAUUUUGACCUUAUUUAUAUUAAAAUUGUUAAUUAAAUGUGUUUGGUUGAUUUAGUUUUCAAUUUUAAAAAUAUCACACUUAUCUAUUUUUUAUUGGUGGAUAGAUGAGAGAGAAUGAAUAGAUGAUAAAGAGAAAGAGAGUGUAAAUUACCUGAAAAAUAAAAACUACAUCUCUCUAAAGAAAAUAUUUUCCUUGUUUUCAAGGGAAAUAAGAUCGCGUCACUAGAAGUUGUAAAAUAUUUCUCAUGAAAAAAAUUGUCAAUCAAAUAACACAAAAAUAAGAAAUUAUAUAGAAAAACACAUUUUCCAUGAAAAAUAUUGAUAAUCAAAUGCACUCUAUGUAAUAAAAGCAUGUAAAAAUUGAUAUAAUAGAAAUUAAUACAUAGUAGCAUAAAAUGAAGGGCAAAAUGGAAAAUAAUUAAAACUAUAUAUGUUACAAAAAUGAAAAGUGACACUGUUCGUUACUUUAAUUUGGUGUGAAGAUUUGAAGUCCGAUUGGAGCAUCAUUUUCACACCAAAUUGACAUUUUACUCCAUUUUGAACUUGAGUCUGAGAUGCCCUAAUGGAAUGUUGUUUUAUUAAAGAUAUGCACCCACCACUUAAUUAUAUUAUUUCUAAAUAAAGAAGAGUAUAAGGAUGUACUUAAACUCGAGUGAUAAACAUAAAUUCUCUCGACUAAAAUCUGCUGUCACAUUUGAAGCCUAAUUUUUUUUUUUUUUUUUUUAAACAGACUUCUUAAUGUGCUUUAGGAACUUAAGUUUAGUAUAAUCUGCUGUAGGUUUUAUGCCUUCUUAUUCCUUUCCUUCAUAUGUUGCAUUUCUUCGCUUUCGGGAGGUCAAGAUUAUGCCCACUUCAUCUUGCUUUUGAAAGUUUGAUUUUAUAUAUAUGGUUGGGGAAUCCAAACCCCCAUCAGCCUUCCCUGGUGGAGCCUGAAAAUCCAUUGAAUUUGUGUUGUGUUUUCCUUAAAGGAAAAAGUCCAUAAGUUUUGCAUGUCCGAUAGCAAGACUCCUGAAGGAUAGAAGUUCAUAACUAGAGAUUAAUGAAUAGAAGAAUUAAUCAAGUAUACACUAAGUGUUGAAUUUGGAUCGUGAAUGUAAUUUUUUUUUCUUUUUUGGGUAUCGUGAAUGUAAUACUUGUGCCUUUUACAGGUGCAGGAGUAUCUGGUCAUCUCUCAGACUCUAAGUUGGGAAGGAAAGGCUCGCUAUUAGUUGUUUGUAUCAUGAAUGCAAUUUUCGGUUGUCUAAGAGCACUUUCUCCAGCUUACUGGACUUAUGCCCCAUUACGCCUUCUGACCGGCUACAGCACCGAAGGAGUGGGCCUCUGUGCUUUUGUCCUAGCGACAGAGCCUGUCGGCCCUACAUUUCGUGGCAUUGCCGAAAUGUCCACGUUCUAUUUUUACUCAGGGGGAAUAGCUACUCUUUCUGGUAUAGCUUAUAUUUUUCAAUCAUGGAGAUCCCUCUAUAUUGCAUCUUCUAUUCCCUCCGUUCUAUUUGCUGCUAUUAUACUUCCUUUCUUGUCUGAGUCCCCUUGAUGGUGUCUUAUUGGAGGAAAGAUGAACCAGGCUAUGAAAACUAUGCACAGAAUCGCUAAAACGAAUGGAAACCAUCUCCCUGAUAGCACCCUUCUUGCCCUUGAUGAAGAAGCAAACAGUGUUCCAGAUAAUGUUCACAGUGAAAGUAAAGUAGAAUCGGAAUCACAAUGACACAAUCAGCCAUAACCGGAUCCCUCAUAGACGUGCUUCACUUACCACUAACACGAAUUCGUUUACUUCUAAUAGUGGCCAUCAACUACUUGUGUUCUGUUGUCUACUACGGCCUAAGUUUGAAUGUGGUCAACCUUGGAACCAGCAUUAAGGUGAUCCACUAAGUUUAAUUUUGGAUUAAUGGGUAUUAAUUCUCAUGGGAUUAAUAUGUAGAGAUCGGAAUAAUUAUUUUUUGAUGAGGGGCCAAUUUAAAAUAAGUGAAACAGAAUAAUCAAUUAUUUAAUAUCGGGUCAUAGUCCCCAAUUGCAAGUGACUUUUCACAAUUCUUUGUAUCCCCAUCAACAAAGAAGAGAUUUCAAAAAAUCACAUAGCAGUUGGAAGAUCAUAAUCCAUUUAGAAAAAUUCAGAUAUAUGGAUUAAGGUAUGCUUCCGCAAUUUUGUUCUCAUUGAUUUCAACAUGGAGAUUUAUAAAUAUAUGUGAAAGGAUUGAUAUAUCUGGUUCCUAUCAAUUUGCUACAAGUGGUAUCAGAGCCACUCCAUUGUUGAAUUCUUUAAGAAAUUGCAACAUAUAAUGUUAUUAUAGUUUUUUUCUUUUUUCUUUUUAUUGUGGAUUAUUAUUUGGAUCUUCAUCAUGCUAUUAUGUGAAAAAUAGAUAUUUCAAUAUUUUUAAAGGAUUUUCAGAUUUGACCAUUUGUAAUUGUGUUUGUUGAAUUUGAAAAUCAUUUGGGAUAUUAUUCAUGGUUAUUUUUCAAGAUCUAAAUAAAUUUUUUGGAAAAUUCGUGGUUGUUUUACAAGAUUUUGAUUAAAAAUUUUGACAAUCAAGUUUUUGUGGAUUUUUGAGUCUCAAAAGAAAAAAAUUUAGAUCCCGCCGUCGGUGUUGCUGUCGGUUGGCGCCGGCUGUCGGCACCGUAAAAAGGGAGAGAGAGAAAGACAGUUAUAGAUUUGAAUGGAUUUUGGGGACGGGGGCCUGAGGUACAAUUUUGGUAUUCUCAGGCCUUUGCUUGCAAUUUAAAAUUAGGGUUAAUUAUUUUUUCAAAAUAAAAUUUUAAAUUUCAAUCCCUAAAGUUUAAAAUCAAUCCAAAUUGGACCUUUAAGGUUAUGGGUUUAAUAAUUCAUCCCCCUAAAUUUUGAAAAUUAUUUAAUUUGGACCAUUAAACUUCUAAAAUUUGCAAUUAAAGCCCUCAAUGUUUAUAAUUAAUUAAAAUUGGCCCCCAAAGUUUUAAAAAUUUUCAAAUUUUGAUCCUAAGGUUUUGAAUUAUUAACCCUUAGGUCCCUGAAGUCUAUAAAGGCAUCUAAUAAUGCAAAAUCAAUGAUUCUCUUUCUCAAAUUAUGGUACUAAUGAUUCUUUUAAGAGAAAUAAUUAAGGUUUAAUUAUGUGAGACAAUCAAAUUCGAAUAAUUUGGUAAAUCAUUUAUAAUGAAUUAAGGUUAUCUAACAUUUUUAAUAAACUAAUUGAAACAAUAUGUCACCAAAGUGACCUCUUUUGUGUAGAUUGGUUUGUUUGCGAUGUUUAGAUGUUGUGUGCGUGUUUCUUCAUGCGGGUAUUAGCCGACCCAAAGGAAGUUUAAUACUUGGUUGAAUUACAUACACACCUACGGUGGUAAUUAUGUGAUAAUUAUAAGAUUUCCAUGUGAAUAAUAAAUCAAUUCAAAGAUGAUUUUAUUAUUUAACGAGAGUUAUUGUCAAUGUUUGAUCACUGUACUAAAAGCACCAUUAGCAAUUAAUAUUACUAUCCAAAGACUUGAUAUUAAUGUUGCACUAGGAAUCUUGAGAUAGGAUUUACCAUUAUUUGAAUUUAUUGUACAUUAAAUAUGGAUAUGAGCAUGAUUAUUUUUUUAUUUUUGUUCUCUGUACAGCUAAUUCAUCUGCUACCACAAUAACUGCUAAUAUCAUUUCCAUUUUCAUGCUUAAUGGGAAAAACUUCAAGGAUUGGAAGGAGAACGUAUUGAUCGUUCUUGACUGCAUGGAUCUUGACCUAGCACUUCAGAUUGAGGAACCCACUAUUCUUACAGAAGAAAUUCUCCUGAUGAAAAGAGGAACUUUGAAAAGUGGGAUCGCUUAAAUCGCAUGAGUCUAAUGAUCAUUAAGUGCGGCAUUCUGAAAGCCUUUAGAGGUGCAGUAUUCGAAGGGAUAACUAAUGCUAAGGAGUUACUUGACAAAAUUGAGAAAAGUUUUGCAAAAAAUGAUAAAGUUGAAACAAGCAUGCUUUUGUAAAGCUUAAUUUCAAUGAAGUAUAAAGGUAAGGGGAACAUGACGGAGUACAUCAUGGUGAUGUCUCAAAUUGCUUCAAAACUUAAAAGGCUAAAGCUUGAGCUAUCUGAUCACUUGCGUAUACAUUUGGUAUUGAUCUCACUUCUUGCACAGUUCAAUCAAUUUAAAGUUAUUUAUAACUGCCAGAAGGAGAAAUGGUCUCUAAAUGAGCUCAUUUCAUAUUGUGUGCAAGAGGAAGAAAGGACGAAACAAGAUAGAACUAAAGUUGCUCACUUGGCAAGCACUUCUAAGGAUAAAGGCAAGAAAAAGAUAAAAGAAUAUGAAACUGCUCCUAAGGGUUCCAGUACAAAAGAAACAGAAGGAUGAUAAAUGAACUUGUUUCUUUUGCAAUAAGAUUGGACAUUUAAAGAAGGACUGUGCCAAAUAUCAUGCAUGGCAUGUAAAGAAGGCUAUAAUUCUUACUUUGCUCUGUUCUGAGAAUAAUUUAGCUUCAGUACCUAGAAACACUUGGUGGAUAGAUUCUGAUGCUACUACUCACAUAAAUGUCUCUAUGCAGGGCUGUUUAAGCUAUCGAAAGCCAAAUGAUAGUGAAAGAUACAUUUAUGUGGGUGAUAGCAAAUAGGUGGAAGUUGAUGCAAUAGGCACUUUUAGGUUGUUAUUGGGAGCUGGUUAUUAUUUGGACUUGAAGGACACUUUUGUAGUACCGUCUUUUAGAGGGAAUUUAAUUUCUGUUUCUUCAUUGAACAAAUCUGAAAUUUGUUGUUCAUUUGAAAACAAUCAGUUUAGUCUUUCAUUAAAUUACAAUAUUAUUGGUACUGGUUCAUUAUCUGCAUAUGAUAACCUAUAUUUGCUUAAUAUUAUUGCAUCAUCUAAUGAAACCUUGCAUGUGGAAUCACAUGGUACUAAACGCAAAUUAAAUAAAGGAAAUUCAGCAAAAUUAUGGCACAAGCGCUUAGGUCACAUCUCAAAAGCUAGAGUUGAACGACUUGUAUCAAAUGGUAUUUUGGAUUCCCUUGACUUCACGGAUUUUGAUGUAUGUGUUGAUUGUAUCAAGGGAAAACAGACCAAAAUAAAGAGAUUAGGUGCUAACAGAACUUUGAACGUCUUAGAAUUGAUACACACAAAUAUUUGUGGGCCAUUCCCUACGGCUUUUUGGAAUGGUCAACAAUAUUUUAUAUAUUUCAUAGAUGAUUACUCACAUUAUGUACCUAUAUCUCAUCCGUGAAAAAUCUAAAUCAUUGGAUGUAUCCAAAGCCUUUAAAGCUGAGGUUGAGAAUCAACUCAACAAAAGGAUAAAGACCGCUAGGUCUGGCCAUGGUGGUGAGUACUACGACAGAUAUGACAGAUCAGGUGAACAAUGUCCAGGACCAUUUGCUAAAUACCUAGAGCAGUGUGGAAUUGUCCCAUAGUACACCAUGCCAGGAUUGUCUAGUAUGAAUGGUGUAGCUGAAAGACAAAACAAGACUCUUAAGGACAUGUGAAGGAGUAUGAUAAGUCAUUCCACCUUACCAAAAUCACUCUGGGGAGAGGCAUUAAAGACUACAGCUUAUAUUCUGAACAAAGUACCAACUAAGGCUACUGCUAUAACGCCUUUUGAGCUUCGGAUAGGUAGAAAGCCUAGUCUAAAGCAUUUUCACAUUCGGGGAUAACCAACUAAGGCAAGACCUUAUAAGCUACAUGAAAAGAAAUUGGACUCCAAAAUAGUUAGUAGCUAUUUUAUUGGUUAUUCUGAGCGAUCUAGGGGCUAUAAAUUUUAUGAUCCCACACUUAAGUCAAUUUUUUAAACAGGAACCGAAUCAUUUUUUGAGGAUGUUGAGUUUGGGGGAGAAAUAAGGUUAGGGACAUUGUCUUUGAGGAAGAAGUUGAGGAAGGAUUGGUUCUAAUUCCUACUAUUGCUUUUAACAAUGUACAGGUUUCUGUACCUGUCAUUGAUCAAGAAGCAUAUCCAAAACCUCAACAUGAUAAUGUUGAAGAAGAUCCCAUCCAAAAUGAGGUAAUUAUUCCAGAAGUACAAACUCAACAACCAAUGCAAUUGAGCAGAUCCAUGAAAGAGGUGAAAAAUGCUAUUCCGGAUGAUUUUAUAGUGUUUCUCCAAGAACACGAGGAAAAUAAUGGAAUAGCGAAAGAUGAUCCAACUAAUUUACAUCGGGCCAUGUAGGGUUCUGACUCUCAAAAGUGGAUUGAUGCCAUGAAUGAGGAGUAUAAGUCUAUGCAAGAUAAUAAGGUUUGGGAUUUUGUCCCAUUACCCGAAGGUGUGAAGCCGAUUGGUUGUAAAUGGAUUUUUAAAACCAAAAGGGAUUAAAAUGGUAAUGUGAAAAGAUAAAAGGCUCGUCUUGUGGCUAAAGUCUUUACCCAAAAGGAAGGCAUCAAUUUCAAAAAGACUUUCGCUCCGAUUUCAAUGAAAGACUCUUUUAGGACAAUUAUGGCACUUAUUGCGCACUUUGAUCUUGAGUUACAUCAGAUGGAUGUUAAGUCGGUAUUUCUCAACGACAACAUUGAUGAGAUGAUCUAUAUGGCGCAACCAGAAAACUUCGUGUCAGGAAACCCAAAGAAUAUGGUUUGUAAAUUAAAGAAAUCGAUCUAUGGGCUCGAGCAAGCUUCCCGUCAAUGAUACCACAAAUUUCAUCAAGUCAUUAUCUCAUUUGGUUUUGAAAUGAAUGUCGUUGAUGAUAGUGUGUAUCACAAGUUCACUAGGAGUAAGCAUAUUUUCCUAGUUUUGUAUGUUGAUGACAUACUGCUUGCCACUAAUUAUCAAUGUUCUAAAAAGCAUAAUGCGUGGCUAGGCGUAUAGGCCAAGCUUCACGCAUUACGAGCCUAGGCUAGCCUAGGCGUUAAAAAGCGUGUUUUAAUUUUAAAUUUUUAAUCAUUGUAAAAGACAUUUAAUAAUUCAAAUAAUACAUACCAAACAUCUAAAAUUAUAAAAUAUUGUAUUUACUUAAUAAUUUCUACAAAAAGAUAAGAUUCUAAAUUAUAAUUACAUAACGGAUAGCUUGUAGUUUAAAUCUUAUCUAGCUCUUUAUCGGAUUCCAAUUCAAAAUCUUCUUCUUCAUCCAAUUCGUCCUCUGUGUCGUCCGAUACAAAAUCAUCUUCAUCGGGCUCCCUUAUUUCAUUUUGAUCAUUUCUUGUACCUCUUGUAGGUUGUGAGAUAUCAUUCCCCAACCUAUCAUUUUCCUCCUCACCCUCAUCAUCACAACCCUCUACAAUCCAAGAUUGUGCAUUAGUAGCAUCACUUGCUAGUAAAGUCUCUAUUUUGGCCUUCUUCUUCUUUUUGUUCAUCAACCUUGCAUUAAAUUGGACAUAAACAAGAUUGUUCAUCCUCGUAGUAUCAAGUCUAUUCCUUUUCUUGGUGUGUAUCUACAAACAAAAGAAGAAAAGAAACAAAAAGAAAGGUACAUUUAAUGGAGCAUAGCAUAUUCAGGUAAUUAUUCAUUGGCCAAAAGAAAUGAGUUGUGUACAACCUAAUGAGUACUUACCCCUUCAAAAGCACUCCAAUUUCUCUCACAACCCGAUGAACUAGUAGUCAAACCAACUAUGUCUUUAAAUUUGGUGCUUCAUUGCCAUAGAAAUCCCACCAACUCACUAAUACAUAUAAAUGAAAGAGAAAUAUGUUACAGGGUAAAUUCAAAUUCAAUGAAGAUAUAAAGUUAGGUAUAGAUCUUACUCGGAUUGUAGUUUGCAUCAUUGUUCUCACAUCCACUUAUUGCCUGCUUUUUUCCAAAUGAACUUUCUUUUUGAACAUAUUUUUGCAACUCAAUGUUUACCACAUGAUGUUGCAUUUGAUCAUCAGGAAAGAAUUUCUAAACACAAGCAAUCAAAUUAUUUAUAAUCAAUUGGUCAUCUUUGAUACCUGGAUUCUUGAAAAAAUAGAACGGAUUCAACAUAUAAACUGUUGUAUGAAGUGGACUAUCAAGGCGACCCUUGCUUUUAGCAUCAAUAAUGUCUAAAAUAGGCCUAUAAUCACACUCCCUCUUCAAUGUCCUUUUAAUGUCAUCAUUUGCCUUUAGUAGCUCUCCAUAAACAAAGCCCAUUGAAGACUUUGCUUCUCCAUCAACAAGUCUAAGCACUCUCACUGGUGGAGUAAACACUCUCAAACACAACUCUAUCAUGUUCCAAAAAUCAUUCAGAACAACAAUAUCAAAUGCCUCUUUUCCUUUUUUACUCUUAGACCAUUUCAUGGUAUCCCAUUCAUUGCUAGUCAUCAUACUUCUCAACUCUUAUUUUUUAUCAAGCAAACUUUGCAAUGUUAAGAAAGAAGUUGCAAAUCUAGUAACUCCCGGCCUAACUAUCUCUUUUUUUGUGAACUUUCUCAUCAAAACUAAAAUCUUGUGAUGUGCAUAAAUGAAAAUAUUGAAGGAUUUUGCUUUGUUAAUCACUCCCUUGAAGCUAGGAAGUUUUGAGAUUCCUUCAAGCAUAAGGUUUAAAGUGUGAGUGGCACAUGAUGUCCAAAACAUGUUAGGCCUUUCUAAUUCCAUCAAUUUUGGGGAAGCCAUAUUAUUGGAAGCAUUGUCGGUUACAAUCUGAACCACAUUUUCAACCCCAACAUUUUUAAUAUAUUCAUUGACAUAGUCAAAUAUGUAUUGACUGGUAAGAGCAUCAUUUGAAGCUUCCUUUGAUGAAAUAAAUGUGGUCUCCAAUUUACAAUUCACACACAAAUUCAUGAUGCUUCUUCUUUUUCUAUCAAUCCAAGCAUCAGUCAUGAUUGAACACCCAUUAUUUUUCCACUCUUCUUCUUGCUUCUUUAAAGUUUCUUUUGAUCUCUCCACCUCUCCCUUCAAAAGUGGCUCCCUUAGUUGGUAUUGGGAAGGAGGAUUGUAACCCGGGCCAUAUUGACCAAGAGCUUCCACAAAUAGUUUAAAACUAUCAUUGUUAAUGGCAUUGAAAGGAAUUCCGGCUUCAUAAACCCAUCUUGCCAAAUAUUGAUGAACCUCUAAUAACCUUUUCUUAGAAAUUGCAUCACUCAUAUUUUGUUGUCUCAAUUUUUUACUUGCAUUCAUAGAAGCAUCAUUAACAUUGGUAGACCUUGCAAACUGAUCUAUGGGUCCCACAUUAACAGGCCUUUUCCUAGUUCAUCUUUCAAUAAUCGAAAUUUCAUUAUCUUCUUCCUCCUCUAGCUCCUCAUCUAUUGUAGGCAAAGAUACACCCACAUCUUUUGUCAACCAAGCAUCAUUCACUAGCUUCUCUAAUUUUUUAGACUUAUUCCCUUGAAUCGCCUCUACACACUUGGCUUUUUGUUCUUCAUUUGCCUUAGGACAUGAUGCCCCACACCUUUUCCCUUGAUUCUCGCUACGUGAAUUUUAUGCCUAUAAAUUCUUCCCUUAGUAACCUUAUCACAUAACGUGCAUUUCACAUUAUUAAGAUUUUUUGGAUCUACCAAAACCGCAGUUUCCCAACCAACAUCUCCGGAAUCUCUUUUUAGUUGACUCGCAUGGAAUUUAGAUGCCGUUGAGGAAUCAUCUUCCUCCAUUGGUUCCUAAAAAAAUAUGAACAAUACAAAUUUUUAUUAUUCAUAACAAACUAAUAAUAACUGAAAUUAGACACAGAAGCUGAAGGCCUAAAAGCAUAGGAAAGUGGAAACAUAGGAAAAUUUAGUUACAUAAACACUGGAAAAUUUAGUUUACUCUUCCAUGUUAUUAAUGUAACUGAUUGAAAGACAAAAAAAAUUUCAACAAUGGUAGCAAAUGGAGUUUAUCAAGUGCCCACAUAAAUGAAAUUUCAGCAACAAUUCCAAUUUCAAUACACACAUAAAUGAAAUUUAUCAAGCACCCACAUAAAUUUCAGCAACAAUUCCAAUAGUUCAUGGUAAGAACUUGUAAUUUCAGUCAUGUAUUUGCAGCCGAACUCAUGAAAAAUAGUAAAAUACACAAUCAAGUUAAUUAUAAACCCCCACUAAAAAAUGGGCAAAGCUACAAAAAGCUGAAACUGUAAUUUUUCAUGGCAAGAACCUAUAAUUUUAGUCAUGUAGUUGCAGCCAAACUCAUGAAAAAUAGUAAAAUACACAACCAAGUUAAUUAUAAACCCCCCACUAAAAAACGGGCAAAGCUACAAAAAGCUGAAACUGUAAUUUUUCAUGGCAAGAACUUGUAAUUUUAGUCAUGUAGUUGCAGCCAAACUCAUGAAAAAUAGUAAAAUACACAACCAACUUAAUUAUAAAUCCCCCACUAAAAAACAGGCAAAGCUGCGAAAGGCCGAAACUGUAAUUUUUCAUGGCAAGAACUGUAAUUUCAGUCAUGUAAUUGCUUGUAGCCAAACUCAUGAAAAAAUAGUAAAACACACAACAAAGUUAAUUAUAAACCCCACCACCACAAAAGGAGCAAAGCAGGAAAAAGCUAAAAUAAAAAAUACAAAAACCCACUAAUAUAAUUAAUAAUAUUACCAGGAAAAUGUGGGCCAAAGAAAUGGUCUUACUGGAGGAAUUGCGGAAAUGAUAAUUUGGAUUUGGAAGAGAAAUGAAAUUUUUUGAAUUUUUGUGUUGAAACUCUUGAUUUUUGAAACCGUGGUUUGUAAUUGUUGUAGACUUAUAGUAUGUUUGGUUGUCUAUAAACAAAAUAAACAAAUAACAAAGCCCACCUAGGUGUGUUUAAUAACUAAGCGCACCUAGGCACGCAUUAAGCAGUCAACAUUGUCGUUGAUCGCUUAAUUCUCGCUCAGCCCGUAGGCGAGGCUUUUUUACCACGCUUCGUGGCUAGGCGUGCUUUUUAGAACACUGCUAAUGAUAUAGGCAUGUUACAUGAAACCAAGAGAUUUUUAUCAAGAAAUUUUGAGAUGAAAGAUCUUGGUGACGCAUCUUUUGUAUUAGGGAUUCAGAUACAUCGGGAUUGCUCUCGAGAUAUUCUUGAGUUGUCACAAAGGAGCUAUAUUGAUAGAGUACUUAAGAGGUUUCGUAUGCAAGACUGUAAACCAGAUGACACCCUUGUCGUUAAAGGAGACAAAUUUAGUCUCAAACAAUGCUCGCAAAAUGACCUUGAAGCUAAGGAAAUGCAAAAGAUUCCUCAUGCAUCAGCUAUUGGAAGUCUGAUAUAUGCUCAAAUUUGUACACGUUCAGAUAUAGUAUUCAUUUUUGGAGUGCUAGGCACAUAUUUAAACAACCUUGGGAUGAUCAUUGGAAAGUAACCAAAAGAGUUAUGAGGUAUUUAAAAAGAACAAAGGAUUAUAUGCUCACAUAUAGCAGAUCGGACUAGUUAGAGAUCAUAGGAUACUUCGUUUCUAAUUUUGCUGGGUGUCAAGACAGUAGAAGAUCCACAUCAGGCUAUAUCUAUCUUCUAGCUAGAGGAGCUAUUUCUUGGAAGAGAGCCAAGCAAAGAUUCAUAGCUUCUUCUACCAUGGAAGUAGAGUUUGUACCAUACUAUGAGGCAUCUAACCAUGGAAUAUGGAUGUGAAAUACUGUCAUUGAGCUGCGCAUUCUAAAUGGAAUAGAAAGACCACUAAAGUUAUAUUGUGACAAUAACUCGAUAGCUCUAUAUUUUAACAACAACAGAAGCUCAUCUAAGUCAAAAUAUAUUGACAUUAAGUUCCUGGUUAUGAAGGAAAGAGUACAAAGUAGACAAACUUCUAUAGAGUACAUUGGAACAAACUCCAUGAUUGCGGAUCUGCUUGCUAAGGGAUUACCACCCAAAGUCUUUCAUGAGCACACUGCUAACAUGAGUGUUGUAUUUCUUGAGGAUAUCAUGUUUUAGUGGGAGUUUGUAUUCUCAUUGAUUUAUGCUUACUUUGGACACAUUUGUGUAUUUGGAUAUUUUUUUUUGUACAUAAAUGAAAUAUUCAGUUCAUUCCACUCUAUUAUUAUGUUCAGUAUUGAUCUCACUUAAGAAAUAAGGUUGGACCAGUUGGAAAUAGACUUGUUCGGAUCACAUAACAUGUAAUUUCCAUGCUACACUCCCAUGAUUGAUCUAUGUCAUUUGGUUGUAUAGCUGUAGGUGACCAUUGAUGGAUUUAGUCACGCUAAAUAUGACGAAAAUCGCCUUGAUCCUACAUUAAUAUGACUGAUGGAUGAGAUUGUUUGGAAAUACUCUUAAAAAUGAUGGCAAAAGUUUGAGCUCAUAAAGUUGUACACAUUUGUAAUAUUUCAUGUAUGCCUCAGUGGGAGAUUGUUGGAAAAAUUUCUAUCGUAUGAGGGCCAUACAUGUAUAUAUAUAUAUAUUAAAAUAUGUGGUGCUAUCUUUAAGAUUUAGUCGAUAAGGUGAUCCACUAAGUUUAAUUUUGGACUGAUGGGUAUUAAUUCUCAUGGGAUUAAAGUGUAGAGACCGGAAUAAUUAUUUUAAAUUGAUGAGGGUCCAAUUUAAAAUAAAUGAAAGAUAAUAAUCAAUUAUUUAAUAUGGGGUCAUGGUCCCUAAUUACACGUAACUUUCACAAUUCUCUGCAUCCCCAUCAGCAGAGAAGAGAUUUCAAGAAAUCACAUAGCAAUUUGAAGAUCGUAAUCUGUUCAGAAAAACUCAGAUCUAUGGAUUAAGGUACGCUUCCACAAUUUAGUUUUCUCAUUGAUUUCAACAUGGAGAUUUAUAAAAUAUAUGUGAAAGAAUUGAUGAAUCUGGUUCCUUUCAAUUUGCUACAAGAUCCUUCGAAUGGUCUAUGGUGUUCUGGGAAUUUUUGGCAUGGCCGGAACUUAUAAUCUGUUGUUCAUUUAUAUGAUGGAACUUUUACUUACAGUUAUAAGGAAUGCAGCUACUCAAACUACCCAAAUGGGAGCCAUAUUAUCACCGUUCGUGGUGGUAAUGGGCGACAAAAUACCCUUUGUGUUGUUUGGGAUUUGUGGGAUUGCAGGAGGAAUUCUAUAUUUUACUUGUCGAAAACUUUAAACAAGCCUUUGUAUAACACAAUGACAGGAAUACAAGGUGGAGAAAGCUCGAGCAUGGUUGUUUAAGGUCAUUGGAUGUGACAUACCUAGACCUACUCAUAAAAUUUUAUAUUGUACUCUAUACAAUCCUACUUAGUGUUUUGUAUCAAACAUGCUCGUAAUUCAAAGUCAUCUUUACUUCUUUGUUUACAAAUUUCGAGGUAAGCAGAUCGAUAAUACAAAACUCAAAUAAUGUAAAAGAAACCAGAACAAGUCCAAUGUUGAUAAUUGCAUUAUAUGUAUUGAUUCCAUAUAAUAGGGGAAAAUGUAGGCAAUACUACUGGAACUAUAGCUCGUGUGUCAGUAAAAAUGUAAAAUAAUUCACAGUAAAAUUACCAAAUUAAUUUAAACAAAUGAUAGAUCAAAAAACAAUAUUAAUAAAUAUAUAAAUUCUGCAUCUAUGAGACAAUCAUCAACAACAAACUAGGCAUUAUUCUCAAUUUUAUUGAUGUAGGAGUUAGGGGAAAAUGUUAUCGGCAUUAUUUUGUUGAGACGAAUGGGCACGAUCUCUAUGUGAAAUGGGUGCUCCAGCACCCUUCCUAUUAAGGCUAUGCUACGGUGGCUAUUGAGUAUGUUGGAAAAUAUGGAGGAGAAAUGGAGUAGAGACAAGAAUAAUAUCACAAUAACGCAACAACAAAAUAAUUAACACCAGAAACUUGAUAAGAACAAGAUCAAAGGCUAGAACGCGUAAUCGCUAUCCUCAAACUACAUUUGCCUCCUCUCGGGAUUGAUUAAGAUGCUUAAGGAUUUUAGCAAGCGGUUUGUAGGAUUAUAUCAAGCCUUGUAAAUGAUCUAGCACUAAAUCACAAGUGCGACCCUCCAAAAUUUUAAAAACACAAUGAAGAAAAGAGUAUGAAUGUAAAUCAAGAAUUUGAUCUUUGAUAUUGGAAUGAUAUGGAUCACAAAUGUUUGUCACUUGUUUUUGGCUUGAAAUGCAUCGCCUAUAUAUAGGUCACCACCAAUGUGGACGAAUUAGUGCUAAACGAAUUAGUGCUAAAACAAGUCGAAAAGCCACCACAAUUUGGAGUUGCAACGGUAGGAAACCGACCUCCAAUGGUCAAUUUUGUAUAACUAUACGACUACAUAGUAUAAAUCUUUGCGAUAGCAUAGAACAACUUAAAGAGGUCCCAGAAUUCCCGGCAAUUGGCCAUGCGACUGCAUAGUACAAAUUUAUGCAACAGCAUAGAACAAGGUUUUACUUCUAAUACCCUUUUUUUAUUUUUCUUCACAUUUAUUCAUCCCAUUUCAUUUUUCUUGAAUAUGGAACAACAUUUCAACAAUCCCCCACUUAUUUAAAAUUCGAGAAAAAUCUUCGUGCUCAAAUCAUAUGAUACUCAUGCAUAAGGACUAGAUAUCUUUCGAUUUGAAUCUAGCCACAGUGUAAUCCAAACAUAGUAAAAUCGGAAUCAAAGAUAGUUGUAGCUUCGAACCAAUUAUUCUAUGUGAUAAUACUGGUUCGAACACAAACACAAGUACCAAGUGUUCUCAAGUUCCUUAUAACUCACUUAGCGCUGUUAUGGCCUUGCGCUCAUCCUUUUCGACAAACUUUUGAGAGAGAAACUUCAACUCUCAAUUGAGGCAACACCACCUCGAAGUUUGUUUAGGUAAAGUUCUUUCAGUACCUUUGUUAUUUUUAGAAGUACUUGUGUUUUAGCACUGAACUUCAUUAAGAACUUUAGUGCUAAAUCCUCAUUUCAAUAACAACUAGUAUUAUUUUACUUAGGAUAGGAUUAUUGUAGAUUUGAAUAAUGCUGAAACCAUCCCACAUGUCAAAUGACUUGUUUUUACCCUUUGAACCCAUGGAUUACCUUUUGAGUAAUGACCGGUAGGGUAGCCGCCAUUGAUGGACCUUUAUUGCAAAAUGAGUUUCAACCCCAUCCUACUCGAAGUAGAUGUCACUAAAUCUCUAUUUAGUGGUUUAGUAAAAAGAUCUACUAAGUUCUUUGUUGACUUCACAUAAUUUAGGAAAAUUAUUCCAUCUUUGAUUAAUUUCCUUAUGUAGUCCUAUCUUAGACUCAUAUAUCUAGGCUUUCCAUUGUAUAUCUCAUUGUAUGCUUUCGCUAACGUAGUUUAACUAUCACACCUGAUAGGUAUUGAAGACAUAUCCUUUGAUCCCAAAGGUAUCUCAUAGAAGAGAUCCUUAAGCCACUCAAGCUCUUCCCCGGUAUCCGAUAGUGCCACAAAUUCAGAUUCCAUGGUUGAGUGUGUUAUACAUGUUUGUUUCUUUGUUUUUCAAGAAACAGCACCUCCUCCGAGAGUAAAAACCCAACCCAAAGUGGAUUUACUUUCACCCAUGCUAGAUAUCUAACUAGUAUCAGUAAAUCCCUCCAAUACCGCUAGGAAAUUAUUAUAUUGUAGGCCUAAGUUCUUGGUUUUCUUUAAGUAUCCAAGAAUUCCUCGAAUAGCCUUCCAAUGAUCGUUGCUCAUGUUGCUAAUAAACUUGCUAAGUUUACUUAUUGCAUAGGCUAUGUCCGAUCUUGUGCAUUGAAUUUGCAUACAUAAGACUCCCUAUAGCACUUGCGUAUUCCAAUUGAACAAUCACUCUUCCACUAUUCUUUACAAGUGUCAGAUUUGGAUCAAUUGGGUUACUAUACUCCUUUAAAUGUUUGAACUUAUUCAUCACAUUCUCGAUAUAAUGUAAUUGACUCAAAUGGUAACCCCCACAAGUCUUUGUGACUUUGAUAGCCAAAAUGGUAACCACAUGUCCAAGAUCCUUCAUUUUGAAUCUGAAAGAUAGAAACCUCUUCAUUUAUUCUAUACCGUCCAUGUAAUUACUCAUAAUUAAUAUGUUGUCAACAUAUAAGCAUGUAAAUGUCACAUAAUUUUCACAUAUUUUGAAAUAUAAACAUUUAUCUAGACUAUUAUGUUUAAACCAGAAAGAUAUAAUUUCUAAGUCAAACUUUUCAUGCCAUUUUUUAGGUACUUGCUUCAAACUGUAUAAAGAUUUCACCAAAUUACACACCUUAUGUUCAGUCCCAGGUAGGGCGAACCCUUUAGGUUGUUCCAUAUAGACCUCUUCAUCGAGAUCUUUGUUUAGGAAUGCCAUCUUGACAUCCAUUUGAUGAACAUGCAAGUCAUACAUUGAAGCUAAAGCGAAUAAUAUCCUAAUCGAUAUUAUUCUAGCAACUGGUGCAUAAGUAUCAAAAUAGUUGAUUCCUUCCUUUUGUUGAUAUCUUUUGGCUACCAUUCUAGCCUUGAAAGUAUUUAGGGAUCCAUCAACAUUAUAUUUUCUCCUAAAUACCCAUUUGCAUUCAAUAGGCUUGGAUCCUGAAGGUAAAUCAACAAGUUUCCAAGUAUUAUUGGACAUUUCAUCAUGUGUUCCACUUGAGCUAGGGACAUAUUCAAGAUUAAUCCUCAAAGAACUCCACAUCAUUGGAUUUUAUAAUCACAUUGGAUUCCAAAUUUAGCAAUCUAUAAGAUUUGUUAUUAUUCACAAAUCCCACAAAGACACAUUUAAUGCCUCUUGGACCCAAUUAGGUCCUAUUUGGAUUCCUGUUCUUCCAAUAAGCAAGACACCCCCACACCUUGAAAUAUCCAAUGUUUGGUUUUCUUCCUUUCCACAAUCCAUAAGGAGAAACCUUAGUAUAUUUUGAAGGAAACCUAUUAUGUAUCCUACUUGCACUUAAUAAAGUUUCACCCCCACAAGUUAAAUAGAAACUUAGCAUGAAUAAGCUUGGCGUUAACCAUUUCAACUGAGGUUCUAUUUUUUCUUUCAGGUAAACCAUUUUGUUCGGGUGUCCUAGGUGUAGAACAUUGAUGAAUAAUUCCAUGUUGUUCACAAAACAAGUUAAAAUUGCUGAAAAAAUAUUCAGUACCUCUACCACUUCUUAAAGUUUUAUUUUUCUUUCCUAGAUAAUUUUCAACCUCAUUUUUGUAUACUUCAAACAUAUCAAAAGCUUCACUUUUAUGCUUUAUCAAGUAAACAUUUGUAGAUCUAGAAAAGUCAUCAAUAAAGGUAAUAAAAUACCUAUUUCCACCCCUAGUUAACAUGCCAUUCAUUUCACAUUUAUCGGUAUGAAUAAGUUCUAAAAUGUUAGAAGUCCUUUUUACACUAUUAGAAGACUUUUCGAUCAUUUUAGAUUUUACACAUAUCUUGCAUUUAAUUUCAUUAUUUCCAUCAUUGAGAUUAGUUCACAAUUUUUCAUGCGUUUCACGGUACUUAUUCCAACAUAACCUAAUCUAGCAUACCAUAAUGAAAAUAAAUCCACAACAUAAACAAAAUCAGUUUUAUUCAAUUCAUUGUCAACGAUAUAUAAUUUGACCAUUCCUUCACAAUAAUAACAUUUUCCAACAAAUUUCUCGUUAAGGGAUAAUACAAGUUUUACAGAAUUGAAUACACUUUUAAUGCUUGGUUUGCCUAAGAGAUUUCUACUAACCAAGUUCUGGUUCAUAUUCGGAAUGUGUAAUAUAUUUGUUAGAGUAACGGUUUUCCCGGACGUAAAGAUAAUAUCAACAUUUUCCUUGCCAAUUACUUUGGACUGCACUUCGUUACCUAUUUGAAUCUCUUGGCUUCCAUCCAUCUCAUGAUAUGUUUUGAAUAAAGAUUUAUCAUAUGAUAUAUGUAUGGUUGCACAAGUAUCAUACCACCACCUAGAUACUUUUCCUUUGAUAGCAUUUAUUUCAGUUAUGGUGGCCACAAUUUUGUCCUCUUGGAUAGAAUUCAUUUUACCCUUCGAGUUGUUUUGUUUUCGAAGUCUACACUCCUUAGCAUAGUGACCAGAUUUUCCACAAACAAAAUAUCCUCCUUUGGUGUUCUUUUUGGAUUUGUUAAAGUUCCUUGAAAGCUUCUUCUUGUUGGAUUUUGUAGGCCGAUCGGAUUUCUAUACAGCAUUUGCCUUGGAAGUUCUUUCCAAAGGAUUUUCACUCCUAUCACACAUUUUGGAUUUCUCCUCAAUUCGAAGAUUUUUUGCAAUUGUUUCAAGGAAUAAUCUUGGGAACUAUGCAUUAUUUUCUUCCGGUAUCCUUUUCAAGUCCCUGGGAGUUUAGUAAUUAUAGCCCUCACUUGAAAAGUCUACGGGAUUUCAAUCUUCACCGCCUUUAAUUUGUUGACAAUCACUUACAACUCAUGCACUUGGGGUAGAAGGGGAAUAUUUUCUAAAAAUUUAAAAUCAAAGUAUUUAGAAAUCAAAAACUUCUUUGUACCUUCCUCUUCCACUUUGUAUUUACUUUCCAACACGUUCCAGAUUUUUUUUGCCAAAGAAGUGUUGGUAUAUAGAUCAUACAAGCGAUUUGACAAAGCAUUCAAAAUAAAACCACGACAAAUCAACUCAUCUUCUUGGCAUUUUUGCCUCUCGACCUUGAUUGCUUCGGUUUCUCCAUUUGCUGAUUCCGACAAAGGCACCAAAUCUGGAUCAAGAAUUUAGAUGAUCUUCAAUACUGUUAAUAGAAAUUUUAACUUGUCUUGCCACCGAGAGAAGUUUGUCCCAUCAAACCGAUCCAAUUAAAUCAGAUCUUGAUUAAUAAAUUUGAUGGUCGCCAUGGUCAUCUCAUUCUCUAUCGUAGGAUAAGUAUAGUUUGAGAUUAUUGGAAAAUAUGGAGGAGAAAUGGAAUAGAGACAAUAAUAGUAUCACAAUAAUGUAACAACAAAAAUAAUUAAUACUAGAAACUUGAUAAGAACAAGUCGAAGGCUCGAACGCGUAAUCGCUGCACCCAAACUAUAUUUGCCUCCUCUCGGGAUUGAUUGAUAUGCUUAAGGAUUUUGGCAAACGGUUCGUAAAAUUAUAUCAAGCCUUGUAAAUGAUCUAGCACUAAAGCACAAGUACGACCCUCCAAAACUUUAAGAACACAAUAAAAAAAAGAGUAUGAAUGUGAAUCAAGAAUUUGAUCUUUGAUAUUGUAAUGAAUAUGGAUCACAAUGUUUCUCAGUUAUUUUUGGCUUGAAAUGCAUCACCUAUAUAUAGGCCACCGCCAGUGUGCAUGAAUUGGUACCAAAAUAGGUCGAAAAGCCACCACAAUUUGGAGUUGCAACAGUAGGAAACUGAUCUCCAACGGUCAAUUUUGUAUAACUAUGCGACUGCAUAGUAUAAAUCUAUACUAUCGCAUAGAACAACCCAAAGAGAUCCUAGAAUUCCUUGAAUAGGCCAUGCGAUUGCACAGUAUAAAUCUAUGCGACAACAUAGAACAAUGUUUUACCUCUAAUACCCUUUUUUUUAUUUUUCUUCCAAUUUAUUCAUCCCAUUUAAUUUUUUCUUGAAUGUUGAACAACAUUUCAACAGAAUAACCCUCUCCGACAAGACGUUGUCCUCCGAUAUUGAUGAAAGAGAUGGCUGCCAAUCAAUAACCCCACAACGCCUCUCCGUGGCGGCCCUUUCCUGCUUCCGUCCUACGCGGGGCAAGCUUCUGGCAGCACCUGCAAUCUCUACUUCUCCGGUGGCUGCUGUUGAGCCCCUGCACUACUAUAGCCAGAACCAUAACAGAAGAAAAACUUCAUAAUUACACACAAAACACCCAAUUGCAACAAAGAAUGGGAACAACCUAUGAGUAAUUAUAAUCUCUACAAAAUAGUGAUAAGUGUUAAUUUGAUUUAUCUUUUCUGCUUUUGUGUGUGUUUCAUAUGCGUGUUUCUUUUUUCGAAAAUCAAUUGUGCAAUUUGUAAUUUAGUGUUAUUAUAGAUUGGUGGCUUGGCUUUUCAACAAAAGUUUUGUUUGUCAUUAUCAUAUAAUCGAAGUUAAUGCUCCCCCAAAUCUCAAUUUUAUUACGUGCAAUUCCUGUUUUUAAAUAGUGGAGUUCCCAUGAAUCGCCGGUGGGAAAGAUCCAGUUUUUUUGGUGAUUGAAGAGUGGCAAUUACAGAUUGAGCCAACUUUAUAAAUGUACUGCUUAAAAUCCCUAUUUAAGUUUUCUUGGCAUAUGCAUCCUGACAUCGAGCCCAUGUUUGAUUUAGCUAAUUAAUAAAAAAAAAAAAGAUUUUUAACAAAAAUUGGUAAAAGUUAUAGAUCCUGUGAAAUGUGUGAUUCAAAAUAAGUUUUGAAAAAAUAAUUUUAGAGAAUGUGGAUCAAACAAGUCUAAAUUUGGCGUACAAAUUCAUUCAUUUUUAUAUUAACGUGACAUUAUUUACACAAUCCUUUUAUUUGAGAGAUUAUUAGAGUAGGGAUGUUAAAUAUGUGAAAGUUUAGCUCAAGAUUGUAGCUCAAUCGAGUCAACUAGACUGAACUUUAUGGCUAAAAAAAUAUGACCUGGCACAGUCACACAGUCUGCUAUAAUAGACAGACCAACCUGUGCAUAGGUCCAAUUUAAGUACCAGUAGCAUAGAUGGCAAACAACAUAUUAUAAAAUAAUAAUAUUUAACAUCAGUCUAGGUGGCCGUAUUUUUUAUGUUUAAUUAAUUGAGUUAUGUGGCUUUGCAAAUAAUUGAAUCUAUUUUUUAAUACCAUGCAAUUAUUAUAUAAACUGGUGUUUAACGCCAAUGCAUAUGAAUAGCAUUACACUACGGUAUAACUUCAUCAUUUCACUCCACACAAAAAAAUAAAAAUAAAAAUAAAAAUAAAAAAAUUAAACGAUUCGCUAUAACUCUACAGCGAGAUGGAUAAAGUUGCACAUCAAGGUAUGAUAACAAUCAUUUUCUAUCAACAAUAUGGACGUACAUUGUACCUAAUAGGUAUAUCUCAAAUUUAGAAAUGGUUUAUCUCAAAUUUCGAAAUGGGUUUAUUAUUAUUAUUAUUAUUAUUAUUAUUAUUAUUAUUAUUAUUAUUAUUAUUAUCAUCAUCAUCAUCAUCAUCAUCAUCAUCAUCAUCAUCAUCAGAAAAAUAGGCUUAUUCUUGUCGAUGAUAUUCUAUAGUUAACAUGAUUUUCUACAAUUCUAUUCCUCUAACUUAGAUUUUAUGUCAUCAUCAGAAAAAUAGGCUUAUUCUUGUCGAUGAUAUUCUAUAGUUAACAUGAUUUUCUACAAUUCUAUUCCUCUAACUUAGAUUUUAUGAAAUUUAUAGGCGAUUUAAUAUAUAUAUAUAUAUAUACUAGUCUUGUGCCAUGCAAUGCAUGGCUUGAAUUUUAUAAAAGGAGAUAUUAGCAUAUUAAAUAAGGAAACAAAGGGAGACUGCAAACAAUAAAAAACUGAUUCGAUUAAUUAAACGAUUUAAUUAUAUCAAUUAGAUAUUCAACAAUAAAAAAAUGAUUCGAUUAAUUAAACGACUUACUUAUAUUGAAUAUAGUAUUAUCAAAUACGUCAUUUAUAAGUAAAAUAAUCACUUAGACUAAAAUAAUAAUGUUUGAAAAAAUACAUUUGAAUUAUAGCAACAAGAAAUUGAGCCAACAAAUUUUUUAUCUUAAUUAUUUUAACAUCUAAAAAAAAUUUAUAUAUAAAAAAAAUUCGGUAAUUUUUAGGAAUUUUUUUUCUUAUUGUUACUUUUUCUUCUUGAUAAAUUAAUUUUUAAAAUAAUCUAAUACAAUUUUUUGCAUAAAAGAAUUAUUAUUAAAAAAAUUUACGUUAAAACCAAAAAAAAAAAAAAAAAUUUGACGUCAAACAAAAAAGAAUUAAAAAGGAAAAAAGAAAUAAUUUUUUUAAAAAAAAAUGCAUUUUUAACACAUACGUUUAAUCUCCGUUUAACUAUUUUCGAUAUUUAUUUAGAUCAUUCGAUAUCUCUACGAUAUAGUUCUCAAAAUGAGUUUCGAGAGAAUGUAAACAUUUACUGAUUCGACUAUCGUACAAUCGUUGACGAAUUUUUAAAGUUAACUUGUUAUCGAAAAUUUUGAAAUAGUAAUAAAAUAAUUGAUUUUUUUAAGAAAAACGAAUUAUGUGUAUUUUUUAACACAUACGUUUAAUGUCCGUUUAACUAUUUUUGAUAUCUAUUUAGAUCAUUCGAUGUCUCUACGAAAUAGUUCUCAAAAUGAAUUUCGAGAAAAUGUAAAAUAUUUAUCGAUUCGACUAUCGCACAGUCGUCGAUGAAUUUUUAAAGUUAACUUGUUAUCGAAAAUUUCGAAAUAUUGUUUGAAAAUGUCUACAUUGACGUCCGAUAACAUUUGCUAUGAUUGACCGUUUCACGCACCGUUAACGACGUGCAAUACUAUAUCGCGAGUAUUUCAAAAUGAUAUUAAAAAUAUAAUAUUUCGACUUCAUUUGAUAUCCCGUAAUGAGCCUGAAAAUAAAAAAAAACAUAAGUAAAAAAAAAAUUCGAGAGAAUGUAAAACAUUUAUCGAUUCAACUACCGUAUAAUCGUCGACGAAUUUUUAAAGUUAACUUGUUAUCGAAAAUUUCGAAAUAAUAAUAAAAUAAUUGAUUUUUUUUAAGAAAAACAAAUUAUUCGUAUUUUUUAACACAUACGUUUAAUAUCCGUUUAACUACUUUUGAUAUCUAUUUAAAUCAUUCGAUGUCUCUACGAUAUAGUUCUCAAAAUGAGUUUCGAGAAAAUGUAAAAUAUUUAUCGAUUCGAUUAUCGCACAGUCGUCGAUAAAUUUUUAAAGUUAGCGCAUUAACGAAAAUUUAGAAAUAUAGUUUGAACAUACCUACUUUGACGUCCGAUAACAUUUGCUAUAAUUGACCGUUUCACGCACCGUGAACCACGUGCAAUACUAUGUCGUGAAUACUUCAAAACGAUAUUAAGAAUAUAAUAUUUCGACUUUAUUUGGUAUUCCGUAAUGAACCUGAAAAUGAACACAAAAACAUAAGUAAAAAAAAAAUUGAAUUAAGGCACUUCGCACUGCGCGGAGUGCUUGCCAGUGAGCACUCCACGCAGCGCGGAGUGCUUCACAGCUUUUUUUUUAUUUUUUAUUUUUUAUUUUUUUUACGGAUUGUUUUGGUAAUUCGAACGUAACUUUGGCUACGGUUGUCAGAAUCGUGCCCAUGACCCCAAUUCGGAAAGCUUUUUUCGAUGCGCACGUCGUGGCCACCUCGCUAAGCUGGGUGGACAUCGUUUUCGAGGUCAAAAUUCGCUAUUUUUCCUUCCUCUUCAUUUACACGUUUGAUGUUUGUUUAACUAUUUUCGAUAUUCAUUUAAAUCAUUUGACAUGUCUAUGACAUAGUGCUCGAAAUGAGUUUCGAUGUAAUAUAGAAAAUAUAUUUUUUUAUACAUUUUACGUAAAGGAAUUAAGAAAAGUAGGGUGAUAAUAAUUUUAUUAGGAAUUUUUAUGCCAAAAACAAAAAAAAAAAUAUUUUACGCAACAUCUAUAAAAAAUAUAUUUUCUAUAUUCUAUCAAACUCAUUUCGAGAAUUAUAUUAUAGACAUAUCGAAUGAUUUAAAUGAAUAUCGAAAAUAGUUAAACAAACAUCAAACGCGUAAAUGAAGAGGAAGGGAAAAUAGCGAAUUUUGACUUCGAAAACGAUGUCCACCCAGCCUAGCGAGGUGGCCACGACGUGCGCGUCGAAAAGAGCUUUCCGAAUUGGGUUCAUGGGCACUAUUCUGACAACCAUAGCCAAAGUUAUGGUCGAAUUACCAAAACAAUCCGUAUACAAAAAAAAAAUAAAAAAUAAAAAAUAAAAAAAAAAUUGUGAAGCACUCUGCGCUGCACGGAGUGCUCACUGGCAAGCACUCCGCGCAGCGCGGAGUGUUUAAUUUUACUCUUCUUCUUCUGUUUGCUUUUUGCUUUUUUUUUUUUGGACUAAUUUUUUUUUCUAAAUUUAUUAUUAUUAUUAUUUUUUAAUUUGGCUAUAAGUUUUGCUACAGUUAUCGGAAUUGAGUCCAGGACCCCAAUUCAAAAAGCUCUUUUCUACACGCACGUCAUGGCCACCUAGCUUCGCUUGGUGGACAUCGUUUUCGAGGUCAAAUUUCGCCGUUUUCCCUUCCAAAUCUCCAAUUAUAGUUUGACGUCAAAUUUAAAAAAUGCGUAUAACUCGUCAUUUUUUUUAAACGCAACAUCUAUAAAAAAUAUAUUGUCUAUAUUUUAUCGAACUUGUUUCGAGAACUAUAUUAUGGACUCAUCGAAUUGAUCUAAAUGAAUAUCGAAAAUAGUUAAAGUUACAUCAAACGCGUUUCUUAAAAAGUUUACAAAAAAAUAUAUUAAUAGUAUAAUUAAAAAAAUUAAAAUUAAAAUUAAGAAAAAAACUUGUCUGUGCAAAGUCAACAACUGUGGGCGCAAGUGACCAUUAAGUCCUCAAUGUGUUAAUUAGUGUAGGGUGAGAUUUUCAAGGGUAAAGUGGGAAAACAAUGUAAAGGAGGAAAAAAAAAGAACAGGACAAACUACUGUAGCAAAACUGGAUAAAUUGGAAUCAAGUGUGAAAACGGCUGUGACAUAAAUGAACAGUACCAAAAGCCUCUCUUUUAAGAGAGUAAAGAUGUGUGUGUGUAAAGCUUAUACAUUUCUUCCUUCGAACUCCAUUUGUGGAAGACAAAGAACCUCCAAUAGUUGUAUUAACUAUUUCUGUAGUUAUUGAUUUCUAUUGUUUCAAACUUUGAAAUUAAGGAAUUGAAUGGACAUGUUUAAGAUUUCAUCGACGUUGUUUGUUAGUUUGUAGAUUAAAAUUUUAACAUCAUCAUUUUUUUAGUUUUUUGAGUUUAAACUUUAAUAUAUUAACUUCCCGAAAAAGAAUAAUCAAAAUACUAAUCAUAAUUUUUUUAGGCAAACGAAAAUAAGGUAAUCCAUUGCUAAUCAUUGACAAACUUUAGCCGUAGGUAAUUUGUGGCGGAAAAUUGUUGCUAAAAUUGUUGUAAUUAGAUGCAAAAAUUGUCAUUGGUAAGUACCAAUGAACUUUUUUUUUAUCGCUAAUUUAUCAAUGGACAAAUUAGCAACGAGGAUUUCAUCAUCCGAUAUCACCCAUUUGCAAAUCAAAGAACCAUUAAAUUCACGAAAAUAUAUAUAAAAAACUUGAAUAGUGAUUGACCAGUGCUACGACCUUAUAGUACAAUGUGUCAACCCACAUAAAUUUAUGGUGAAUAAAUUAUUUAUGACCAAAAUAUAAAUUGUGCCAGAAUGUUAUUCUCAAUUCAAGCACACUGUUGGAAAAUAUUUUAGACCCAAAUACAUGGAAUUAAUCAAUAAUAGGCAACACGUCACUUUAAUUAUUGUUCUUUGAUGUUUCAAGUAAUUAAUUCAAUUAACCCUAAGUUAAACAAUCACAUAAACGUAUAGAUCAAAAUCGGAAUUGGUGGCCAGAAGUUUGGCCUACACAAAUGCCAAUGCGGUCACAUGGUGUCAUGCAGGGACUAAAUGCCCUGCAUGACCUUGUUCAAUGCAACUGCAUAGGUUAGUUCUAUGUAGUCGCAUAGAACAAUUAUGUUAUCGUUGGUGACCGUUUUGGUUUAAACCAUUUUGUGGGGACUGAUCAGGGCAUAAACGAUUGAAAAUACUUAUGAUCUAUACAUCAUUCUACAAACAAAGAUCAAAACUCUAUUCUAUUCCAUAUUCAAUGUUCCUCCCUUGUGUUCUUCAAGUUUUGGGAGAUUUCACUUGUGUUGGUGAUAAUCUUCUUCAAGGCUUAUUAAGAUCUUGCAAACCAUUUGCCAAGAUAUCUUGAAGCAUCUUAUUCAAUUCACGAAGGACCAAAUAUCGUUUGAGGACAAGGAUAUCAUGUUUGGGCCUUUAUCUUGAUAUCUUGAUCCUAGAUUUAUAUUCUUGUUUUGCAAUGUCCUAAAAUUUCAUAGAUUAGAAUUUAAUUUAUAUGUACUAUAUUUUAAUAUUUUGGAAGUUUAGGGACCAAAAUAUAUAUAAAGUAAAUUUCAAUAUUAUCGGAUGUUAAAAUAUAGACGUUGACGAAGCGAUGAUAAGUAUAUGAAUAUUGGGCUUAUUGGAAAGAUCGUAAUUAAUCAUGCAUGUUAGGCUCGAGAAAAAAUUAAUUUGGAUUAGCGGAACCCAAGUUAUCGAGAUUGAAAGAUAUAGCUUUAAACUUAUAUUUUAAUUGAUUAUUUAAUGUAUCUAAAAUUUAAUGCAUCUAAGGAAGGCAAGUGGAAUUUACAAUUGAUUCGGUUCAUGGAGUAGCACCUGUAUCCAAAGCCCCAUACCGAAUGGCAACAAAGGAACUUCAAGAAUUGAAGUUGCAAUUAGAAGAGUUGCUGGAGAAAAGUUUCACUCAACCAAGUGUAUCUCAUUGGGGGGGCUCGUGUACUUUUUAUCAAGAAGAAGGAUGGGAGUAUGAGGAUGUGCAUUGACUACCGAGAAUUGGAUUAUUUGACCAUCAAAAAUAAGUACCCGCUACCAAGAAUAGAAGAUCUGUUUGACCAGUUAAAGGGUGCUGCAGUGUUUUCAACGAUCAAUUUGAGGUCAGGAUAUCACCAGCUGAAAAUCAGGGCAAGCGAUAUAUCGAAAAUUGCUUUUAGGACUCAUUAUGGGUAUUAUGAAUUCACUGUUGUGCCUUUUGGUUUGACCAACGCUCCAGCUGUAUUCGUGGAUCUCAUGAAUAGAGUGUUCCAUCAGUAUUUAGACCAAUUCGUCAUAUUGUUUAUUGACGACAUACUUGUGUACUAAAAGGAUAAGAAGCAGGGUGAGGAACAACUUCGAAUAAUACUCGAAACUUUAAGGAAUGAGGAACUACAUGCCAAAUUCAAGAAAUGUGAAUUUUGGGUUGAUCGCAUAGGUUUUCUUGUUCACGUGGUUACAGCCAAAGGGAUCAAAGUGGACCUUGCUACAGUGGAAGCAGUAACAAAUUGGCCAAGGCCGAGUAGUGUGGGUAAACUUCGCAGUUUCUUGGGAUUGGUGGGUUAUUAUAGAAGAUUUAUUGAAGGCUUCUCAAAAAUAGAAGGGCCAAUGAUUCAGCUAACAAGAAAGGGUAAGAAGUUUCAGUGGACAGAAAAAUGUGAAAAAUGUUUUCAAGAACUUAAGCAGAGACUAGAUUCAACUCCUAUACUGGCGAUACCUGAAGGUUUAGAGGGAUUUGUGAUUUACAGUGAUGCUUCCAAGCAGGGUUUAGGUUGUGCACCGAUGCAGCAUGGAAAAGUGGUUGCUUAUGCUUCCAGACAGUUGAAGCAAUAUGAACAAAACUAUCCAACGCACGACUUGGAACUUGCAGUAGUAGUUCACGCCUAAAAAAUAUGGCGUCAUUAUCUGAAUGGUAGGAAGUGUGAAAUUUAUACACACCACAAGAGUCUUAAAUAUUUCUUCACAUAGAAAGAAUUGAACAUGAGACAGGGAAGAUGGUUGAAAUAAGUGAAAGAUUAUGACAGCAUGAUUCAUUGCCAUCCGGAUAAGGUCAACGUAGUUGCAGAUGUCCUAAGCAAAAAGACGGGAUCACAGUUAGCAAUUCUGCCCAUGGUGCAGGAAUACUUGAUACGGGACUUUGAGAAACUAAGAUUGAAAGUUAUCACACCGCCGACUAAGACUACAGCAAUGAUUAAAGUGUUCAUGAUUCAACCUACACUUCAGGAUCGAAUUAAGGAAGAGCAAGAUAAGGAUCAAUUUCUAUGGAAGAUAGAGACUGAGAUUGGUUCAAACAAACGUAUAAGGUUUGAAGUAUCUGCAGAUAACGUGCUAACUUUCAAAGGAAGGUUAUGUGUACCUAAGGAUAAAAGUAUAAUAAAGAAAAUAUUGGAAGAUGCUCACUUUACCCCCAUAUUCGGCACAUCCAGGUGGUACAAAAAUGUAACGAGAUCUCCGAAAUACAUUUUGGUGUAGAAACAUGAAGAGAGGAAUUGGUCUACUCGUUGAAAAAUGUAUUAUGUGUCAGUAAGUCAAGGCUGAACAUCAAAGGCCAUCAGGACUAUUGAAACCGUUGAAUAUUCUAGAAUGGAAGUGGGAACACAUAAUAACGGACUUUGUGGUAGGUUUCUCAAGGUCAGCAAAAGGAUACAAUUAUAUCUAGGUAGUGGUGGAUCGUUUAACGAAAUCAGCCCAUUUUCUACCAAUCAAAGUAAACUUCAACAUGGAACAACUCACAUAGUUAUACAUCAAAGAGAUAGUCAGAUUACAUGAAGUUCCAGUCACAAUUAUUUCAGAUAGAGACCCAAGGUUCACAUUUAAAUUUUGGAAAAGUUUACAAACAGCCAUGGGGAUGAAACUGAAGUUUAUGACCCUUCGUCAUCCUCAAAUGGAUGGACAAUCAGAAAGAACCAUCCAAACUCUGGAUGAAAUGUUGAGGGCAUGUAUUUUGGAUUUUGGUAGUAGUUGGGAGACACGCCUACCUUUAGUGGAGUUUGCUUGCAACAAUAGUUUUCAGGCCACUAUAGGUAUGGCCCCAUAUGAAGCUCUUUAUGGUUGAAAGUACAGAUCCCCUAUCCAUUAGGAUGAGGUCGAGGAUAACAGAAUUUUGGGUCCUAAAAUCAUUGAACGAACAGUUGAGGCAGUUGAUAAGAUUAGAGCAAGAAUAAAGGCAGCACAAGACCGACAUAAAAGUUAUGUUGACAAUAGAAGAAUGAAUUUGGAAUUUAGUAUGGGAGAUAACGUUUUUCUUAAAAUAACACUCAUGAAGGGUGUAUUGAGAUUUGGUAGGAAGGGACAGUUGAGACCACGAUUUAUUGGACCUUUUGAGAUCCUUGAAGGGAUUGGUGUUGUGGCUUACCGAAUUGCCUUACCACCUGAACUUGCAGCUAUACAUAAUGUGUUCCAUGUUUCGAUACUCAGAAAAUAUGUUGGAGAUGCAAAAAGACUUGUCAAAUGAAGAAAUCCCGAGAAUGAUAGAAAAGUGCAUCAACUUAGAAACAAGGAAAUUUCCCUAGUCAAGGUCCAAUGGAAAAAUCAUGGAUUUGAUGAGUCAAUUUUGGAGAGAGAAGAGAAGCUAAACCAAGUAUAUUCAGAGCUCUUCGAUUAACUAAGGUAAAUUUUCAAAGGCAAAAUUAUUUUAAGGAGGGGAGAUUGUAAUGUCCCAAAAUUUCAUAGAUUAGAAUUUAAUUUAUGUGUACUAUAUUUUAACAUUUUGGAAGUUUAGGGACUAAAACAUAUAUAAAGUAAAUUUCAAUAUUAUCGGACAUUAAAAUGUAGAUGUUGACAAAGGGACGAUAAGUAUAUGAAUAUUGGGCUCGUUGGAAAGAUCGUAAUUAAUCAUGUAUGUUAGGCGCGAGAAAAAGUUAAUUUGAAUUAGCGAAGCCUAAGUUAUCAAGGUUGAAAGAUAUAGCGUUAAACUUAUAUUUUAAUUGAUAUAUAUAUAUAUAUAUAUAUUAUUAGUCACCAACCACCACCAAUAUAAAAGAAAAGGGGAGAGAGAGAGAGAAACUUUAUUAAUUCUAGUUUCAAUUUGUUGGCCAUGUGUAUGAGAUGUAUUGCUUGUUGAGUAGUAUAGUUGGUUGACAAGACUUGGUCAAUUAUUUUAUUUCAAAAGUCCGUUUCCCAAUUUUUAUCCACUCUCCUAUCCUACUUCUACAUGUUUCCCCAACUGCACACCUACCUUACUAGACUAGAUCAUGGGGUGAUAUAGAUGUAUAUCAAAAGGAGACAUAUGCAUAAGUACACAAUUGUGGAGAAAGAAGAAAGUUGAAAUCAGGUAAAUUACAGACUUCAUAUUUUAUGCAGUGUAAAAGGAAUCUUACUUUGUACCUUAAAAUUUAUAGAUACUUAUACCUGUGGUACUGAAAUUUAAAAUAAGAAGUCAAUUUCAAACUAUAUAAAUUCUUGAAGCGGGGAGAAGGAUUUUUGGAGUGUGAUUUCUUUGGUUUUGUCUUCCAAAAUUAAAACGAUCUAAUAAGGUAGGAUAUUAAAGUGCAAUGUUCUCUGUCCCGUUUAAUUAUUAUUUUUACAUGUUAAUGAAUUUUGUACUCAUGAAAGUUAAAGUUAUGAUAUGAAAUGCUAUGAUAUGAAUGAUAUGGCCAUUUCUGGUACAAUGAUAUGAUAUGAGCUUUUACCGGAUCUUAAAGAUAUGAGACGGUAUGAUAUUUUAACACGUCUUUAAAAUUAUUAUUCGGGAUCAGACCAUUAAAAAUUUAGAUCCUAAUGAGUAUUCCCACGUACUCACCAUUUUCUUUACAACUCAUCAUUUAGAUCGGAUCGUGUUGGAGCGUGAUGGUUCGAUGGUACGGUUGUGCCUCAUUUUUCGCUGGAAAAAAUUUAACACUUAAUUUUAUCUCUUUUAUUUUUGUUGUCGUGGACACUUAACUUGAUUGAAUUAUCGUUAAUGUUAUUUGUUGGAAUAUAGCAGUGAUUUUGCAAUUGCUCGUGCUUAUUGUUGGAUUUAAAACGAUGAAUUAUAUCUCUUUUGUCAUUGCCAACUAUUGCUUGAAUUGGAUUUUCACGUGCAAGACAAGGGGAGUUAAAUUACUUAAAUUGACUUAGAUGAUUUGAUAUUUAUUAUAACAUGUUUGGCCAUGCUCAAGCAACGCAUUAUUUCAUUGUUUGUGGAUGAGGAACAUCCUUUGAUGAACUAGUUGGCUUGUGUGUAACUUUAAUACUUCCUGGACAUUUGAUGUAGGUCAUAGGAUAUGAGAGUCAUAUAAAUCACCUGCUUGCUUACCAUCUUUGACUAAUUAAUUGGAUGGGGACAUAGUAUCCAAUAAAAUUUGCCUUUCAGUGGUUGAUGUACCCAAUAAAAUAAUAAAAAUGUGUGCCUUUCCUAAGAAUAAAUGAAUUAAUUUAUUAGUCUGUUAAGUUAACAUACAGAAUUGUAUUUGUAGAGACCUCUGCCUAUUUCCAUUUAUACGGUUCAGAAAUUAGUUCAUUCAUACGUCACCAUUUAGCCUCUUCUUUUCAAAUGAAUGAAUCAUAUGUGGUUUAAAAUAACAUUGACCAUUUUAUAAAUAAAUCUUUUGGUAGCAAUUCAAACCCUUAAUUAUUGGGUCGUUAUACGUUUCUCCAUUUCUCUUUUGUGAAAGAUAUAUUUUCCAAUAAUCCCAAAUGAUAUUUUGCAAUAGAGAACGAAACCACCAUGGUCACAAUUAAAUUGAUAGAUCAAGAUUUCGUCCAAUUGGAUCGCUUCGAUGGAACAAACUUCACGAGAUGGAAAGAUAAAUUGAAGUUUCUACCAACAGCGUUGAAGAUAUUCUAUAUUCUAGAUCAAGAAUUGGAACCACUACCAGAACCAAUGAAUGAAAAAAUCGAAGCCAUAAAAGCAGAAAGAUAAAAGCACCAAGAAGAUGAACUCAUAUGUCGUGGACAUAUUUUCAACACGUUAUCUAUAGAUUAUAUGAGUUCUACAACAAUACCUUUUCCGCAAAGGAGAUUUAGAAUGCAUUCGAAAGUAAGUAAAAGGCUAAAGAUGAAGGUACUAAGAAAUUUUUUAUUUCAAGGUAUUUUGGUUAGAUUUUAUACUGUAAUUCGCAAUUCUAUUAACAAAAAUGAUAUAAUUGAACUUUUGUAAAGUCAAGGACUUGGGUUGCAAUUUUUAUAGAUGAUUUAGGUUUGGGUUUGAGAUUGGAAUAAGGUAGAAGAUUCGCUGGAUUUUUGCUAGCUACUCGCCAAGUUGUUGCUCGAGCGUUAGAAACAGAACCAUCGUCCCUCGCUUGUCGUCCCUACGUCACUCGAGUGAAAAAGCUAUCGCUCGCUUUUCGUUAGAGUGUCACUCGAGGGACAGUAUCAUGUGGCCAAAGCUUAGGUCACGGUUUGAAGAAUGUUAGACGGCCUAUGACGCUUAUUUGCCCCCAACUCUAAAUACUAGAAUCAUGGAUGAAAUUCUAGAGGUUGUUACACUGUGCUUGCACUUCUACACCUAGUUAUAACAUCAAUUAAGAUCCAAGGAGUGCUACAUGUAUUGAUUCAUCGACAUUGUUCUUGUAAUCUGGCAACCAAGUUUUGGAAAACAUCUACAGUUUAAUAAUCCAAAACACCUGGCUUCCUCAAUUCAUUAAGGAAUGGACAUUCUCGUUGGGGAUUGAGAGAAGUGGACUUCAAGCGUAGAGAAAGCACCAAAGUAGGAGAUUCUUGAGAAUUCCACUUGGAAGAAGCAAUUUGUUUAAUGGUUAGUCUUCUCCUAGUACCACGGUUAAUAAUGUUGUCACUCCCAUCCCAUAGAAAACUAGUCUAAGGCUGAACUAGAUAAUUGUAACUAGAAUAGCAAAGCCCUACAUGCCCUUUUUAUGGUCGUGUCACCAGAAGAGUGUAGGAGAGUGUCCAUGUGUGAGGUUGCGAAAAAAGUUUGGGAUAUCUUAGAAACCACACAUGAGGAAACUCAGGUAGUUAAGAAUUCGAAGCUGCAGAUGCUGACCACUAGGUUUGAAGAAAUUAGAAUAAGAGAUGAUUAAACUUUUAAUUUCUUCUUUGCGAGCGUAACUGACAUAGUAUAUUCUAGCUUCAUCUUAGGAGAGAAAAUCCCCGAGCCUAAGAUAGUGAGAAAAAUUCUUAGUUCCUUACCUAAGCGUUUCAGACAUAAAUUCAUGAAAAUUGAGGAAAGUAAGGACAUAGGUACUAUCAAGGUGGAAGAGUUAGUUGGAUCCCUCCAGACCAAUGAGCGGACUUUAGAUAAACCUGUUUAGGAUAAGCCUUUGAGCCUAAAAUCUGUGAAGAACAAUCAGACUAAAUCUUUUGAUUCAGAUUCACCAAAUGAUAAGGAGUCAGCCUACCUAGCAAAGAAAUUUCAAAAGAUGAUUAGGAAUAAAAAGAAAUCUCAGGAGAGACAAAGAGGUGGCCUGAAUGAAUCUAGGAGAAAAUGAAAUUGGUGAGGUGCCAUAACUGUCAAGGCUUCGGUCAUGUAAGGAAUGAGUACCCUAGUACUAGAAGAGUUGAGGAAAAGGCUAUGAAUUCUACCCUCAUUGAUGAUGAAUCUAGUUCGGACAAUUAGAGUGAGAAAUCCACUCGUGAGGAAAGUGGAAGAUAUGUUACCUUUGUUGCUAGGGUUACGAGUGGAUUCGUCCAGGGAGUGGGAGAUAUGAGGACAUGGUUAGUGGUGAGGAAAUUGAAAAUGAGGAAGAUAUCUAAGAGGCAUAUGAGAAAAUGUAUCAGGAGAGUCUUAAAAUUCUUUGUAAGAACAAAGCCUUAAGUACGAUGGUUAAGGAGCUUUAGCUGGAGAAAGAGAAGUUAGUAGCAUGCAAUAAGGAAUCUUUCACAAUCCUGAGUGAACUUAAAAUGAUUAAUGAAUCUUUAUAGUCUCAGGUUAAGAAUCUUACCAGUGAGCUUGAGAGGUCCUCUAUGAAAGUCAAUGAGCUGACCGCCAAGAAUGAGACUUUAGAAAUCAAGGUUAUGAACCUUGUAACCGAUCUAGAACUUGAAUAGAAAUAGGAACAUGAACCUUAAUAGGAAUAAAAAUUAGAUGUAUGUGGGUCAUAUUGGAUUCCUUACUAAUCAAGUGAAUCAUUCGACCAAGCUGGUGACAUAGUUGUCUAGGAACUAUUCUCCCACUAGACAGGUAUGGGUGAAGAAGAGUGAUCAGCAAAACCUUGAGAUAGAUCACGAAGCUCUUAAGGGAAAGAGCACUCUUAUACCUAAAUGAAGAGGUAUUCUUGGUGCAUGCUUGUUUUUAACUAUCAUAUGAUUUAUGCAUGCAUCACUUUUAUUUGUUGUUUAAUUUAUUUAUUUAUUAUUUUUUUUGUAGUGGUUUCAUACAUGUGCAUUUCUAUCGUGUUUGCAUUGGCACAUGCAUAUUUUGUUGUGUUUUUGGGUGCUUAAAUUUUUUUUUCUUUUUUUGUGUGAGAGAUUCAUUUUUGAAAAAGAAAAACACAAAAAAAAAUGAAAAAUGAAAAACAAAAAAAAAAGGUAUGUUGGAAAUGAAAUUUUUACUGCAGCACAAUGUAUAAUAUUCUUAAAUUUGUAUGUUGGGAUCAUGUAUGAGCUUGUGGAGUACUUUGUAUAGGUGUUUUCAUGUAUCAUUUGCACUGCACACACUAUGACACUGUUAGUAAGACUCUAUCGCACCUAUGAGAUUUGGGAUGGUUGUCACAUGUUAGUAGGGUGACUUUGAACAUGAAUUGAUCGAAUUUAUUAGACCUAAACUCAAAAAUAUUCCCCGAUCAUAUAAAAGCUCAGUAGCUUAAUGUUUUUCUUCGGGGCCUACUUUACUCGAGUAAUUGGGCCAAUGGGGUUCUUUAAAACGUGGUGCCUAUGGUCAACUGACUUGAAUUAAUCGGUCUAAAGUUCGUUACAGAGGUCAUCAUAAUCACCUAAUGGAAAAGAACUUGUACUUAAGAUGAAACAUGAAUGAGCUUGGAAAAUGUGAAAGAUAUAACGAGCUAGAAAAUGUGAAAAUUUUAAAAAUAUAAAUGCUCGAAGUUAAGGGGAGAAAAAUGAAUAAUAAGUAUAUAUCAUAAUGCACUCACAUGGUUUGACAUUCAUAAAUCGGAGAAUAUACAUAUUGAUAGUGAUUAGCAUGUACCUUCUCACAAAAUUAAGGUUUGGAGUUCUGCUUGUAUUGGAUUAGUGACACUUAACACACACAUGAGUCACUUAUAUAAUUUACUCCACUCUAACUUAAAAUGAGUACGUGGGGAGGUUUACUGCUUGUCAAUUAUACUUUUGCAUGCUACCAACUUCAUUUCUAAAUGGUUAUUUGUUAUUGCUUUAAUUGAUUUGAUAUCAUUCCCUUCAGUAUCUGUGACAAAAGGAGGAGAAAAUAUGGAACUGAGGGGGAGAGAAUAAAAGGCAUAUACAUAGGGAGAGCGAUUACAUUGCAUUUGUUAAUAUUUUUGCAUUUUAUGUCUAGGGGUCGUUGGGAAAAGACAUAGAUACAUUGUGUUACUGAACAAAAUUCAUGAGAGAUUGUAGGAAGGGAGAGCAUUGCAUUACAUUCCUGUUUAAGUUUUAAUGCAAUCAUAUCCAUUACUAUUUGAGUUUUGAUGUUUAUUGAUGUUGGUGUUUUAGUUGACAUCAAUUUGAUGUCUCAAACUAGCAUGUUGAUUUGUGAUUAAGUGCUUUAUUUGUUAUAUGUCAUGUAUUACGUGUUUUAUACUGGGUAUGUGAGCGUUGGAUUUCAAGAAACAUGUUUAACAAGGAAUGAAGACUCAGUGAUCGGGUAUACUAGGUAGAAUAGGUUAUUUGUUUUCAAGUCUUGACUUAUUUUGUAUAGAUUUAUCACAGAAUGCCAAAGGGGGAGAUUGUUAGGUUUUAUAUUGUAAUUGGGAAUUUUGUGAACAAAAAUGACAUAAUUGAACAUUUGUAAUAGUCAAGGACUUGGGUUGCAAUUUGUAUAGAUGGUUUAGGUUAGGGUUUUAGUUUGGAAUAAGGUAGAAGACUCACCAAAUUUUAGCUAGCUGCUCACCAAGUUGUUGCUUGAGCAUUAGAAAUAGAACCGUUGUCGCUCGCUUGUCACCCCUGUUUCGCUCAAGUGAAAAAGUUGUCGCCUGCUUUUCUUUGCUAGAGUGUCGCUCGAGCGAUAGUGUCACGUGGGCAAAUCUUAGGUCGUAAUUUGAAGAAUUUUACACAGCCCACGGCACUUAUUUUUCCCAACUCUAAAUACUGAAGUCAUGGACGGAAUUCUAGAGGUUGUUACAUUGUGCUUUCACUUCUACACAUAUUUAUAACAUCAUUAAGAGAUCCAAAGAAUACUACAUUUAUUGAUUCGUCAACAUUGCUCUUGUAAUCUGGAAACCAAGUUUUGGAAAACAACAACAAUUAAAUAAUCCAAAACACCAGGCUUCCUUAAUUCAUUGAGGAAUGGGCGCUCUCGUUGGGGAUUGAGAAAAGUGGACUUCAAGCGCAGGAAAAGCACCAGAAUAGGAGAUUCUUGGAAAUUCCACUUGGAAGAGGCAAUCAAUUUAAAAUUAGGAGGCUGGAAGAAGAAGAUAGCAGAUCUUGUGGGCUACAGAAGGUAGAAUAGGAAGUCUAGUGGAAUGGCUAGACAGUAUCUACGACAGUAGAUCGUGAGACUGGAAGAUGGACAAUGGGUCUUAGAGAUUGUAAAAAUAACAACUGCUAGAACUGGAGGGACUUGCUAGUUUGGAAUCAUACUACAAACCUGAUUGACUAUAGUAGAGGUAACUGUUUUGCUCCAGGAGUUUUUCCCCACAUUGGGUUUCUCCGUCAACAAAUUGUGCGUAGCUUAUUUUUUUCCAUAUCAUUACAAUUGCGGCAUUCAAACUUAGGAAAAAUGGACUUGUGUGUUUAAUCAUCUAGAAAACUAAUUAAAAGUGACUUGUUAUUUUAAUCAGUAUAAUUUCACAUGUAAGGUCGAAAUAAUAAAUUGUCUAGAACGUAAACUUGGUAAUUCUAAAAUUUGAAGUUGUUUCUAGACCCGAACUCACAAGUAGUCAAGAGCGUUCUAGACGGUCCUUCAAUUUUGAUUUUAAAUUUCUUGAAAACAUUUCCCUCCUUUCCAAAUCCAUGAAUUACAAGUGUUUAUCAACAAAUUAAAGGCUGUCAAAAUUGAAAUUUUGGAAACUUUCCAAGUGGGAGCAAUUAUUGCAAAAGUUCCGGGGACUUGGAAAGGAUAUCGAAAGAAGAUCAUGCAUUAUUUCGAAGAUUACACUUUGGAACAAUUGUAGAAACAUCUUCGCAUCAAAGAGAGGUUUAAGAUACAAGAAUGACAAGUCUUAUGAAGGCACUUCAAAGGCCAAUGCCGUGGAAAAGACCGAGCCUUCUAAAUCUAACAAAGGAAAGCUUCAAGGAACUUUAACAAGUCCAAGAAGAAGACCAAAGGUGGUUGUUUUGUGUGUGAAAAACCUGGGCAUUAUUGAAAUGAAUGUCGACACUGGAAAUGAAACGACGCUGAAGGAAAGGUAAACUCCAUCAAAGAAGACAAUAUUGUGACCAACGUAAUCGAGAUCAACGCUAUCAAGGGAAAGGUUCCCGAUUAGUGGUAUGAUACAUGUACAAUCGUACAUGUAUCAUAUGACAUUAUUUGAAACAUAUAAUGAAGUUGAUGGAGGUCAAGAGAUUCAAAUGGAUAAUGAAGUCCCCUCUAAGGUUGUUGGGAAAGGAAAUGUAGAAAUUAUCUUCACUUCCGUCAAGACCAUUACUUUGACAAAUGUUCUACAUGUUCUUGACAUGAAUAUGAACUUAAUCUUUUAGGAAAAUCAGGCAUCAAAUGUGUUUAUGAGUCCGGUAAACUUGAAUCAUUGCUAAACGAAAAAUUUGUUCGUAAAUGCGAUUCCUGUGAAGGAAUGGUCAAACUCUAUACCGUUGAUAAAUUAAAUAAUAAUAAAGUUGAUUUUGCUUAUAUUGUUGAUUGUUUUACUUUGUGGCUUGCUAGGUUAUGACACAUGGAUAAAAGUACUAUGAAAAGAAUGUUGAAAUCUUAUUUGAUUUCAUACAAUGAAAAUGAGUUAUUUAAAUGUAAAAUAUGUGUUAAAUCUAAAAUGACUAGAGAGCCAUAUCAAAGUGUAAAAAGAACUUCUAACAUUUUAGAAUUAAUUCAUAUGGAUAUAUGUGAAUUAAAUGGCAUGUUAACUAGAUAUGGAAAUAGGUAUUUCAUUACCUUUAUAUAUGAUUUCUCUAAGUAAAUAAAUAUGUAUUUGAUAAAGCACAAACAUGAGGUAUUUGAUAUGUUUAAGGUAUAUAAAAGUGAAGUUGAAAAUCACCUUAGUAAAAAAAUAAAAAUACUAAGAAUUGAUAGAGGUGGCGAGUACAUCUCUAGCGAUUUUAACUUGUUUUGUGAACAAUAUGGUAUUAUUCACCAAUAUUAUGUACCUAGGACACCUGAACAAAAUGGCUUGGCUGAAAGAAAAAUAGAACUAUGGUGAAAUGAUAAACGUCAUGUUAACUUAUGCUAAGUUUCCAUUUAAUUUGUGGGUGAAGCUUUAUUGAGUGCAUGUAGGAUUAAUAGGAUUCCUUAAAAAUUUACAAAGGUUUCACCUUACGAAUAUGAAAAAGAAAGGAAACGAAACAUUGGAUAAUUCAAAGUGUGGGGGUGUCUUGCUUAUUGCAAGAACAUGAACCCUAAUAAGACUAUAUUGGGUUCAAGAGGCAUUAAAUAUUCUUUUAAUACAUAUGCUAGUAAUAGCAAGUCAUACAGAUUGUUAAACUUGAAGACCAAUGUGAUAAUUGAAUCUAGUGACAGAGUUUUUUGAGAAUUCAUUAUCUUCGGAUAAUGAAUUAAGGGAAAGUCAUAAAGAAAUUCAAAACUCUAGUAGAACACAAGAUGAAACAUCUUCUAAAGAUGUUAGUGAAUCUAGUAAAUCUUGAAUGAGCAAAAGAACUCGAAUUGAGAAGUCUCUAAGACCGGAUGAAAUUGGCUCUCAACAUAUUUUCUGUUACAUAGUAGAUAGAAGAAAGACGAAUGUUGUAAGAACGAUUCCUUUUAUUCUACAAGUGAAAAUCAACCCUAGGACUUAUAGAGAGGCUAUAGCUUCUCGUGAUAGCAUCUUUUGGAAAAGAAGUAACUAAAGAUGAGAUAGACUCAAUUAUGUCCAAUAAUAAAUGGGAGCUUAUCGAUUGACGACCAAAUCCAAACUUAUUGGUUGUAAAUGGGUAUUUAGGAGAAAAUAUAAUGUUGAUGGUUAUCUGAAUACCUUUAAGGUUAGACUAGUAGCUAAAGUUUAUCGACAAAUGGAAGAAAUAAAUUAUUUGUAACUUAUGCACGAGUAGCUAGACUAACAUCAAUUAUGAUAUUAUUUGCAUUGACUUCAAUAUAUGAAUUGCAUAUUCAUUAAAUGAUGUCAAGAUGGCAUUCUUAAAUGGGGAUCUCAAUAAGGAGGUUUGGGUUUGCACUAUUCGGAUAUGAGCAUAAGGUAUGCAAGUUAGUGAAAUUGUUAUACGGUUUAAAGCAGGCACCUAAAAUGGCAUGAGCAAUUUAACUUAGCUAUAGUAUCAUUUUAUUUUAAAUACAAUAGCGAAAACAAAUGGUUUAUAUUCGAAAGAAUGUGAUAAUUAUUUGAUAUUUAUAUGCUUAUAUGUUGAUGACACGUUGAUUAUAAGUAAUCACAUGAAUGGAACAGAAGGAACGAAGAGGUUUCUAUUUUUCACAUUUAAAAAUAAGGAUCUUACAUAGGUGGAUACCAUAUUGGGUAUCAAAGUCACUAAGACUAGUAGGGGUUACAAUCUAAGCCAAUCACAUUAUAUCGAGAAUGUGAUAAACAAGUUUAAACAUUUGAAUGUAAAAGAAUAUAAUAUCCCAAUUGAUCCAAGUUCAAAGCUUGUAAAGAAUUAUGAAAGGGCAAUUACUCAAUUGGAAUAUAUGAGUGCUAUUGGAAGUCUUAAGUAUGCUAUAGCACCCCGAAAAAAAAUGUGUGUGUGUGUGUGUGUAAUAGAAAAAAAUAUAUUAUUUGUUUUAUUAUAUAUAUAUUUUAAAAAGUUGGGGACUAAAAUGGAAUAAGUUUUUAAUUUCUAUUUUAGUUAGGCUAAAUAAUUAGAUAAUGAUGGAAUAAGUUUUGGUAUAUCAAUAUUGGACUCAUUUUGUAGGUUGUAAUUAAUUAGAAGUUUUCGACUCAAAAUAAAGUUAUUAUGGAUAAGAAUGCAUUAAGUUUGAACCAAUUGAAAGAAAACAGGAUAGAUAGAAUUUUAUAUAAGUGAUAAUUAAAUUCAAUUUCUCUCCCUAGAAACGUGUGAGGUGGGUAUUAAAUUUUUAAUCAUUUUUUCAGUUUAAUAUUAACCCAUUUUGAAUUUGAUAGAAUGGCUGCCACGUCUAUAUUGGAUAAGGAUAGUAGUUCUUUUAGGUGGAGUAAAACAAUGAUAAAGUACAAUCUUUUUUAUGAUACACGCAACAUUGGAUUUGACUCUAUCAAAUAAAUUUUUUAUAUAUCAAUUACUCUAGCCUACACUUAUAUAUAGGCAUGAUGGAAGAGUUUUACAUACCCAAAUUCAAAUAUACAUUUACUAGAGAGAGAGAGAGAGAGAGAGAAUAGUGUUGGAAAUCUAAUACUUUGCGUACGUCAUUGUCAAUCAGUACACUUUCAUCGGAGUAGAGAAGUUGAGAAAAGAAUUAGGACACGAGCAAUUAUAUUUCAUUUUAUUUAACAAGGUAAGAUACUUUUAAAAGUAUUUUCAUUUCCUUAUGUUUCUAUAUUCAAUUAAAUAUACAUGGAUUGUCAGUGGACCUUCAGGUUCUAUAAAAAGAGAGAAAAAAUCCUACGGGAUUAUAAGAGGACCUAAGAUGGAUGUAUUGUUUGGUCACCGAUAUACUCCAUAAGAGCAGAGUGGUAUGAAGUAUAGAUUUUAUUUGUUAUAUAAUUGUGUGUAAAAACUGCACAUAUCUUACUGAGUAUUUUUGAAUGCUCACUCGUACAAAAUUUUACAUGUUAGCUCGGGUUGUUUGGAACUGUGACGAAUUGGUGAUGCGGACUGCCAACGGGAUCCAAAGAAAAAGGAAAAUAAAUAUUUAGUUUUUCUUUUUAUGUCUCUAAAUUAUUUGUCAAUUUUAUUUGUUCAAAAACUCGUUUUUGUUUAUUUUAAAUUAAUAUUUAUGGUUGAAAAUAAAGAAUUUCUUUUAUUUGAGUCGUUCCGCAAUUAUUAAAAAGAAAAUUAAGUUUUUCGUAACACUCCAACUUUUAUGAAAAAAUUUGGGGCGUUACAUAUGCAGUUCAAUACAUGAGACCAGACAUAGCCCAGCCUUUGCAAUUAGUAAACUUAGUAGAUUUACUUGUAUUCCGAGCAAUGAUCAUUGAAAGGUCACUGGAAGGGUUCUUGAAUAUCUAAAGAAAACUAAGAAUUUAAGCCUACAAUAUACUAAAUUUUCGACUGUAUUGGAAGGAUUUACCGAUGCUAGUUGAAUAUUUAGCAUAGGUUCAUGUUGGGUGUUACUCUUGGAGGAGGUGCUAUUUCUUGGAAAUAAACAAAAAAAAAAAAGAAAAAAAGGCACAUACAUGUAUAACACACUCAACUAUGGAAUCUAAAUUUGUAGCACUAUAAAAAAAUCGAGAAAGAAGCCGAGUGGCUUAAGAAUCAUCUUUAUAAGAUACCUUUAGGACUGAAGAAUAAAUCAUCAAUACCUAUCAUGUGUGAUAGUCAAGUCACUUUAGCAAAAGCAGAUAAUGAAGCAUACAAUGAAAAGUCUAGACAUAUGAGUUUUCGACAUGACUAUAUAAGGAAAUUAAUCAAUGAUGGAAUAAUUUAAUUUUCCUAAAUCAUGUAAAGUCAAUCGAGAACUUAAUGGAUCCUUUAACUAAACAUCUAAAUAGAGAUUUAAUAGCAUCUACUUCGAGUAUGAUGGGGUCGAAACUCCUCAACUAAAAGGUCUACCAAUGACAGCAACCUUACUUGUCGUCACUCAAAAGGUAAUCUACAAGUUCAAAGGGUAACAAUAAGUCAUUCGAUAUGUGGAUGGUUUUAGGAUUAUUAAAAUCAGCAAUAACCAUAUCCUAAUAAGUAAUGCUAGUUGUUAUCGUAGUGAGGGUUGAGCUAUAAGCUCUUAAUGAAGUUCAAUACUAAAUACAAGUAUCCUUAAAAGUAACAAAGAUACUGGAACAAUUUCACCUAGAUAAACUUCGAGAUGGUGCUGUCUAAAUAAAGAGUUGGAGUUUCUCUCUUAAAAGUUUGUUGAAAAUGAUAAGCGCAAGGCCAUAUUAGCACUAAGGGAGUUUGAGGAAAUCGAGAACACAUGAUACUUGUGUAGGUGUUCUCACCGGUAUUGUCACAUGAAAUAAAUGGUUCAAACGUUCAUGUUACCUUUGAUUCCAACUUUACUCUGUAAAAAAUACACUAUGUUUAUAUUCAAAUCGAAAGAUAUUUAAUCAUUAUGCAUAAGUAUUGUAUACUUUGAUUAUGAAAUUUUAUUGAAUAUUGAACAAAUGGGGAAUUAUUGUAAUGUCGUUCAACCUUAAUAAAAUAUAAGUGUGGAAUGAAAAUAGGAAUUGAUGGUCGGAAGUUUGGCCUACCCGACCGCACAGGCCAGAUGCCCAUGUGGUUGCAUGGUGUCAUGCAGGGACUAAACGACCUACAUGACCUUGCUCUAUGUGAUAGUGUAGGUUUGUUAUAUGUGGUAUACGGUUACAUAGAACAAAUAUGUUAUUGUUGAUGACCAUUUUUGACCAUUUUGAUUUAAAUUUUUGGAGGCUUUUCACCACAUUUUGGCACCAUUUCGUGUGGACUGAUCCAUGCCUAUAAAUAGGUGAGUAUGUUCAACACAUAAACAAUUGAAAAACAUUUAUGACCUAUACAUCACUCACAAACAAAGAUCAAAACUAUAUUCUAUUCAAUAUUCAAAGUUCCUCCCUUGUGUUCUUCAAGUUUUGGGAGAUUUCACUUGUGUUUGAUGAUAAUCUUUUUCAAGGCUUGUUAAAAUUCUGCAAACCAUUUGUCAAGAUCCCUCAAACCAUUUUACUCAAUCUAAGAGGACGCAAAUAUCGUUUGAGGACAACGAUAUCGUAUUUGAGCCUUCAUCUUGAUAUCUUGAUCCCAGAGGUCAACGUUUUAGAUAACAAAAAUAUCCAAAAGCUUAAAAUUAAUACAUUUUAAAAAAGAUAACAAAUUCGAAAAAUAUAGACAACCCUUGAGAAUACCAAAUAUUAUAAAGACACUAUCUCUCUCUCUCUCUCUCUCUCUCUCUAUAUAUAUAUAUAUAUAUAUAUAGUACCAAGUAAUGUGGCACACUACAAUAGAUGAUAAAAAAUAAUGGUUAAUUUUAAGAUUAAUUACGCCACCUAUUUUAGUGUACCACCCAAGCACGUAUGUCAUUCCAAGAUGUUUAAAAAAUCAAGGCCAUUGAUUAUUUUAAAUGUUGUUAAAAUCAAUGGCAAAUAUGUGUAACAUGUCAUGAAGUGUAAACAAAGCUGUCAAUCAUGAUGUAAUGUAUGAAAACUGAUUUUGAAAUUCUUAUUACAUAGAUUUAAACUAUAUUUUCCUUUAUUAAUUCUUAAUUAUACUUUUUCACACUUUUAACUGAGAUGAGAUAAAUAGUUUUAGUUAAAAGAAAUAUCAUGAUAAAUUGUCAUAAUAUCUUAAAAUUUUGAAAAAUACGAUUUAUUUUUCAAAAAAAUUAUAUGUUUUGCCGAAAUGAUUGACAAAUAUUUAACAAAUCACCAUAAACACUUGUUAUAGAAUAAUUGAAUAAUGCAGAUUAAAAAUAGUUUGAAUAAUUUAAAUUUCUUGAUUUAGUAGUAUUUUCUCUAAUUUCAUGAUUUAUUAAUUGGUAUAUUAUUAAUUUGGUGGGAGUUGGUGGGGGUGGGGUAGGAGUAGGUGGGGAUAAUUAAUUCUAAUUAAUUGUAUAUUAUAUAUAUUAUUUACAAUUAAUUGGAAUUACACUUGAAUUUUGAAAUAAUUUGACAAGUUUGCUAAUUUUAAAAUGUGAUUCUUAUAUGUCGGAGUUAUAUAUUAUUCUCCUAUAAAUACCCAUCAAACGAACUUGUCAAUUCACCAUUGAAGUGGGAAGCAUUUCUUCGAUUUACUAUCCAAAUUUUGAAAGUGAAAUACGGAAAUGGAUAACCAAAUCCAUGCAUCUGCUACUCCAUCUUCCACCAAAAAUAUGAGAUUCAGGAUACUCAUCGUUCUAUCACGUAUCAUCCUACCAUUUGGGGAGAUUAUUUCCUUGUGUAUACUUCUAAUGUAAAUCAGCUUGACCUUUUGUUCUGUUGGGAAUUUACUUAAACAUGCAUAGCAGAAAUAAAACAAUUUCAAUUCACACCAGGAUUCAUCUUUGUAUUUAGAUAAGAAUUGUGAUGAGAAUUAUAACUUUUCUUGAAUUUGCGAACUCCUUUGCAUUAUCUUUGUUCCAGCAACUUGGAUCUACUUUCCACAGCCGUCCAAUUGUCUAGCCUCUAAUGAAAAUCCACACAAAAAAUAGAUUGCAACUGCUGGGGUUUUUUUCUCUUGUGCCAGCAAGAAUUAUGAAAAACUAUAUGGAUCUAAAAUCCUAGCCAUGUAUUUAUAAGCCCAAACGGGCACGGACCGAUCUGAUCCAAUAUUUAAUUAAUCCAUUUAAUUAAAUCCGAUCCGUGAAUUAAUUAAUCAAAUUAAUUAAUUCAAGGCUAUAAAUAACCAAUCCAAUUAAUUAAUUUAUCCAACGAUUGUUAAAUUAAUUAAUUGGCAAUUUACAAUCUUCCAAUUCUCUUUUGUGUGCAACCCAUUAGGUUCCCGACCACAAUGUCUAACGACGUGAAAUAUUAUUUUGAUCUAAUAAAAAUGAUAAAUUAAACACCCUUAUAAUUUAUGACAAAUUCACACUCGCCGUCCCAGAUUAACAUCUAGCAAUGUAUCAGGGCAACACAUGUUGCCUAACGACGUGAAAUAUUAUUUUGAUCUAAUAAAAAUGAUAAAUUAAACACCCUUUUAAUUUAUCACAAAUUCACACUCGCCGUCCCAGAUUGACAUCUAGCAAUGUAUCAGGGCAACACAUGUGACUGGAAAUAUCACGUGGUAUGACAAAAUCAAAACUGUUCGUUUACCAUGAAACUAUAAUCCAUUCGUCAAUAUGAUCCGAUCAAUUACGAGAUAUAGAAGUCUGUCAAUCUCGAUUAUCGAUCAUAUCUUUCAUUCUACUAUUAAGUCAAUAUGAGUCGAAAACUCCUUUUCGACUUAUGUGUAUACCUUGGCCAAGGAUUUCAUUAUUGACUUAAUUGAACGAAAUGCAGAUCACAAUCUCUUUCUAUCUAAAAGUCACGAAUCCUCUAUUGGUUAUUCACAACCUUCAUAUGGUUCUUGACAUACCCAAACGAUAUCGUAUUAGUGGUAGUGGUCCUUGGUAGAGCAACAUCCAACACCGUCAAAGCAUGAUUGUCCUCAUACAAGGCACUAUGAUGACUUCAAGUCAUAGGACCAAUCCCACUACCGAACGUUAGAGAUUAACCACUGACACUCAGAUAGUUAUCUAUGUGGAAUCUCUUAGCAGGUCUCCAAUAUUUUGCUCUACAAUAAAACAUCCACGUGUUCAUUUAAGUGUAACCACACUUUAGCUUGUGAGAUCAGCUACUUACUUCACAAGUAGGAAAUGUCACACGUGAUGGUCUAUCUGUAAUAACGAUAUCCAUAUCUCAUUACUACUUACGACCACGGAUUAUUCAAGAUCUAAUUAAACGUAAUUUGUAUCUCACAAUCACAACUCCUUGUGAUUAACAAAUCACUUAAACUUGAAUCUUCGUACUCUAUUAUUUAAUAUAAUUUAUCAAAAAAUUAAUUUAAAUAAAUAAUAGAUCUUGCCAAAAUUAAAUACAUUAAACAUAUUAAACGUGUUUACAACCUAAAUCGGUUGAAUCUAGGGCAUAACACUCACAUGUUCUUCGUUAAUUAACUGAAAUAUAAUUGUGUUAAAAAGUUAAAUGGAUGCUUCCACUUACUUGAGCAGGAUAUAUUGGCCCACGAAGAGCAAGAACGUCAAAGAUUAAAAGAUGAAGUGAAAAUGUUGCUAACAGCUGCUCCAGAUGGUUCGGUGUAUAAACUAGAUCUCAUCGAUGCAAUCCAACAUCUUGGAGUUGGUUACCAUUUUGAAAUAGAAAUUGAAAAAUCUUUAAAAUACAUCUAUGAAACUUAUCGUGAAAGUCACAAUAAACAAAACAAUGAUCUUCGUGCUAUUGCUCUUCGAUUUCGGUUAUUUAGACAACAAGGAUAUUAUGUCUCAUGUGGUAAGUAAUUUUUGUUUACGUGAUUCAUAACAUUUUGGGAAAUUGAAUUGACAAUAACAUAUGUAUGCACAUGUAAUAAAAGAUUGUAAUAUGCUUAUUUUCUUAUGCUUCUAAGCAAGUCAAAUAUACUUUAUACAAGUUAGUUAUGAUUUUUAAAGCUACUUUUUUACUUACAAAAUUAACUUUUCUUUAACAUGACCAAACAUGAAUAUGGUACAUUUAAUGAUUUUUCGGGCUGAGGCAGAUGUGUUCAACAAAUUCAAGGACAGCCAAGGAGAAUUUGAGGAUUCUUUGAUUCGCGAUGUACCAGGGAUGUUAAGCUUGUACGAGGCUGCACACUUUGGAGUACACGGGGAGGAAAUUUUAGAAGAAGCAUUGAAGUUUUCUACCUCUCACCUCGGAUCCAUGAUCCACCAGGUGAGCAAUUGUCUCUCCAGACAAGUUAGUGACACCUUGGAGAUGCCGAUUCAUAAAACUUUGACAAAGCUCGGAGUUAAGAAAUUCUUGUCCAUUUACCAAGAAUCCGGUGAAGACAUUCUCCUGAAUUUUGCAAAAUUAGACUUCAACAUAGUGCAGAAGAUGCAUCAGAAGGAGCUAAGUGACAUUACACAGUUUGUUUUGUGAAGCUUCACUGUGUAUAUAUGCACUUAUAUAUUGGUAAAAUUUAUUUACUUUCGGAUGUGAAUUGCAGGUGGUGGAAGGCUUUAGAGUUUGGAAAAAAAUUUCCUUUUGCAAGAGAUAGGCUGGUGGAAUGCCACUUUUGGAUAUUAUGUGUCUACUUUAAGCCCCAAUACUCUCUUUCAAGGAAAAUUCUAACCAAAGUAAUCACAAUGGCUUCUACUAUUGAUGACAUCUAUGAUGUUUAUGGCACCCUAGAUGAACUUAAACUUUUCACAGAUGCCAUUGAAAUGAGAGUUUUGAGUUGUUCUUUGUAUCAUAAUGUCUAAAAGCAUAUUUAUUUAUAGCAAAAUAUAUAAUACAAAUAGAUCCCGAUUUGAUAUUGAAUAUUUUCAUGAGCAGGUGGGAUUUUAGUGCCGUAGAUCAAUUACCAUCGUACAUGCAAUACCUUUACAAAUCUCUUUUAGAUGUUUAUCUCAAAUCUGAGAAAGAGUUAGGAAAAUCGUAUCGUGUUCACUACGCGAUUGAUGAGGUAAUCAAUAUUAAUAAAGUUGCUUGACUUUUAUCAAAAUUACAUCCAAUAUAUCUAAUUGAAGUUUCAAUUUACAGAUGAAAAAAUUAGUCCAAGCAUAUUUCAAAGAGGCAAAAUGGACGUACAACAAAUGUACUCCAAAACUUGAAGAGUAUAUGAAAGUUGCACUAGUAUCCAGUGGCUACAUGAUGCAAUCUACAAUGUCUUUGGUAGGUAUGGGGGAGCUGGUAACUAAGGAAGCCUUUGAUUGGAUUUCAAGUGAACCAUUAUCAGUUCGUGCUUCAUCAAUUAUUGCUAGACUAAUGGACGAUAUGGUUGGACAAGGGGUAAGAUGUCUUAAUUCUUAGAAAUUGAUUUUAUUUAAAUUACACAAGUUCGUCACACGUGUUUUUUUUGUUCUUAUGGCCGUCAACAGAUGAGAAAAAUGUAAUAGCCUGCUCAGCAUUAGAUUAACAAGUUUUGUGUUGUGUUACUUUUAUGCAGUUUGAGCAAAAAAUAAUGGCAGUUGAAUGUUACAUAAAAGAGAAAGGAGCUUCAAAAGAAGAUGCAUUUGCUGUAUUUCAAACACAAGUCAUGAAUGCAUGGAAGGAUAUAAAACAAGAAUCUAUCAAUUCAGAUGUAGUACCAAUGGCUGUUCUCGUACAAGUAGUCAAUCUUGCACGUGUCAUCAAUCUUAUAUACAAAGACGGUGAUGGAGACACAAAUUCUAAAACAAAGUUGAAAGAUUUCAUAACAGCGAUACUCAUUCAACCAGUGACAAUAUCCAAAUGAGCAUAGUAGUGGUGCAGGUGACUUCCAUUUUAAUGUACCACCUCAUUGUCAUCCAUAUUUAGUGCUGUGUUGUCAAAUUCUACAACAUAAUUAGGUCUUGGUUAAGGUUAUUCAAACAUUGAGUUUCCUCGUAUCUAAAUGUGUCAAUAAUUGAACUAUAUAUCUACUAGAAAGCCCUUGGAGUAGCUAAAAAUUUGUAUUUGUUUUGUCCAAUGCUCUAAAUAAUGAUAUUAAUAUUUAAAGUUUAUGUAGAACAAUUAGAAUUGAAAGCUUUGUUAUAAUUCAUUGAUAUUCACAGGGACGGAUCCUCCAAGACCGGGGCUACAACGUGAAAAAAAAAAAAAUUACACAUAAAAAACUGAUUUUUACCAAAAAAUAAAUAAAAAGUACCUUUAAAAAAAAGUUGUUGGGCCUGGGGGGGGGGGGGGCUACAACCCUGCCCUGCCCCCCCCCCCCCCNNNNNNNNNNNNNNNNNNNNNNNNNNNNNNNNNNNNNNNNNNNNNNNNNNNNNNNNNNNNNNNNNNNNNNNNNNNNNNNNNNNNNNNNNNNNNNNNNNNNNNNNNNNNNNNNNNNNNNNNNNNNNNNNNNNNNNNNNNNNNNNNNNNNNNNNNNNNNNNNNNNNNNNNNNNNNNNNNNNNNNNNNNNCCCCCCCCCCCCCCCCUCCAAAUCCAUCCCUGGAACUACUUAUGUACAAAAUAUAGGACACAUUAUAUAUGAAAAUACAUGAUUCUGGGAGCUGUAAAAGGCUAAAUCAAAUCUGUAAAUUGUAUGCUCUCUAUGCAGAUUUGAUGGAGAUUUCUCCAGCAAUAUGAGUAAUAUUGAUUUGCUUAAUUCUGGUGAUUGAUUGCUUAAUUUCCUUAGAUCCAAUAUUUAGGCAUUUAAUUACUACGAAAUUUGUAAUUUAAUGCACAACAAAUUUAUUUAAAGUCGCCGUCCUAAGCAAUUAGUAUUUUAUAGAACAAAAAUAUUCAAAAGCUUAAAAUUAAUAUAUUUGAAAAAAGAUUACAAAUUAGAAAAUUAUAGACAGACCUUGAAUAGUGACAAUUACAGAUACACCCUUUGCUUUGUGCUAUUUUGAAAUACUUAUUAAAUACAAUUACACAAUUUUUCCUUUAUUUCUUAAAAAUUCUUUUCAUAUUUUUUAUUAGUCUUAGUUAAAAGAAUAUCAUUAUAAAUUGUAAUAAUAUCUUAAAAGAUUUUAAAAUAUAAUUUAUUUUCUAAGAAUAUUAUAUGUCUUGCAAAUAUGACCGACAGCUAUUUUUAAAAAAUGAAAAUAAACACGUGUUAUAGUAUAAUUUAAUAAAGAAAAAAUAAUAAUUUUUAAAUAUUUUAUAUUUCUUCAUUUAGUAGCAUUUUCUAUAAUUUUUACUCAUUUAUUCUCUUAACAUUUAAAGUACAUUUAGAGUAUUAAACUAAAAUUCAGUACUAAAAAUCAGAUUUUCACCUACAUCCGUUGGUAAUUAGAAAUGGAUUAUCCGUUAGUAAAAGUUAUUACUUUCGCUACGAUAAUCAGUAACGAAUUUUCCGUUGGUAACAAUGAUAUCUUUUUACCAACGGAUAUUUUGUGCCUCAUAUAAUCAUUUAACAUUUGGAUCUUUCACCUAUGGAAUAUCUGUUGAUAACGUACUGAAUAUUACCAAUGGAUGCAAUCCGUUAGUAAUUAGAAAUUGAUUAACCGUUGGUAAAAAUAAUUUACUUUCAACUACGAUAAUCAGCAAUGAAUUUUUCAUUGGUAACGACGAUAUCUCUUUACCAGCAAAUAUUUCAUGCCUCAUAUAAUCGUUUAACAUUUGAAUCUUUCACCCACGGAUAUUUUGUUGGUAAUUAGAUACAGAUUAUUUGUUGGUAAAAGGAAUUCACUUAUCCUACAUUGAAAGUUCACAACAAAGUCUUUGGAAUUGCCCUCUAUAAAUUAAUUUGUGAUCCAGUUUUUGGUUAAACAAUCUUUUGGCCUUUCAAUUCGGUUGGCUAAAAGUUAAAAAAAUUAAAAUUAUUAAAUAAAUAAUAAUGACAAUAAAAAAAAAUUACCAUGCCUCACAUCUAUGCGGCUAUUUACAAAAUUGAUUUUUUUCCAAUUGUAAUUGUAGACAUUUACUAACGGAAAGUCAGUUGGUAUUGGUUAAGAUUUUUACCAACGGAAAUUUCAUUGGUAAAAGAUUCACACUUUACCAACGAAAAAUUCAUUGAUAAAAUGUUUAUUCUUUACUUACGGCAGAAUCCGUUGCUAACUAUCAGCGACCCUCAAAUUAGCAACGGAUUUGAGGUUGCAAAUAUUUUGUUGGUAAAGAGUAAUAGCAAUGGAUAUAUUCGUGCCGGAAGCCAUUUUUUUAAUAGUGAAUAUCGUAAUAAAGUUGGCAUCAAAGAUUUAGUAGUUUAUUUUUUUUAAGCCAGUAUUUUAGUUCUAUUUUUAAUUUAUUCAUUUUUAAAAUGAGAAAUUAAUUUUAAUUAGUGGUUUUUAUUACUUACUUUAACGAUAAGUAUAACUUUGUACUCAUUGAUCACGGCCAUAAGAAAAGGGACAUAUGCAAUGACUUUAAUUGAAUUGAUACUUAAUUUUUAUUGUAUAUAGAUUGAUUUAUGAGAAACUAGAUAUUGUAUUGCAUAUGAAGAAAUAGGGGCAGAAAUUGAAUGAUAAGGACUAAGAAUGAACAAAUUAUGGAAAAUGGGGACUAAGGUUUAAAUAUUUAAACGAUGAAGGACCAACAAUGUAAAUAGGAAGGGACUUGAGCUGAAUUAAUACAAAAAUUUAGUGACUAACUUGAAUCGGAAGCAAAAAAGAUGAAACUUGCAAUCGCAAGACUCUACCUACGCGAUCACUAGUUUCACCAACAAGUUCAAGAAUAUUAUCAUACGAUCGCAACAAAGAUUACCCUGCAAUCGUGUUGGUCACGAUCAUAUGGCUUUACAAGGUAGAAGAAAUUUUAUUCCUUUAUUUUAAUCAAGAUCGAUCUACAUUGAAUGGGAUUUUGGAGUACAAAUUUCACCUAAUUCUAGAGGCUACUAAGAGGAUUAUUCAUCUAGCAAAAGGGGAAGAUAGUUUUUGGGGUGACAUAAACAUAAUUCUGUACACUAACCAUCAAGAGCUUUGUUUCAAGCAAGAGAGAAAUGGGAUUUCUUGAGCACUCUAUUGAAGACAUUCAAAUAGACUAAAAUUAAUACUCAAAUUUCUUCUUGCAAUUACAUAUUCUGGGUUUGAAUUCUCAAUUUAUUAUGUAUUUUUUGUAAUUUAAAUGUGAUAGGCUAAAUCUUUAGUAAUUCUCAAAUUGUUUUGUCCAAUGUUCUGGAUACUGAUAUUAAUGUGUGGUCCGAAAUUUGAGACAUUAAUUUUGUCUUUAUGAUAGUUGGUCUGAAAAUGCAAUAUCCUCCACAUGGUCACAACAGCACUUGAAAGUUGGAUUUUUCUUAUUUAUUUAUUUUUAAAAACUUGAAUAAACUGAAAUAAAUCACCAUCAACACAAACUGCCAUUUUUAAAAAAUUGAAGAUUGAUACUGUUUCUCUAUUAAAAACACAGUUCAUUUUCUGAUCAAAUUCUAAGACUAAAAUUAGGUAUUUAUAUUCAAAACACAGUUCAUUUUCUAUCCAAAUUCUGAGACUAAAAGUAAAUUAAAAGAAUAUGGAAUGAAUAUUUAAAUUCCUCCAUCGACUUCUAACAUAAUUACCACAAAUGUGACAUUGGUGUUCUGUCACAUAUCAUUCAACCCUUUAAGUGUAUUUCCCUGCAUAUAAUUCUGACCUCACAGUAAAAUUAAUUAGUUCCCCUAUCUUGAAAUAAGGCAUUGCUCUAGAUCUAAUACUUAGGCAUUUAAUUAUCACAAACACUUUACUUUGAUGCACAACAAAUUUAUUUUCAACAUAUGGUUUUCUAGCAAACAGUAUUUUAUUAAACAAAGGGUAAUUGUCAAAAAAGUCCAUACCUUUUAAGUUUAUUGUGAAAAACGUCCCUAUUUUUCAUUUUUUGGCAUUUUUGCCCAUACUUUUCACAUUUUUUUGCGCUGGAUGUCCUUUUCAUCAAUUUCUAUCGUAAAAUGACUAAUAUACCAUCCUAUUUAAAUAAAACAACAAAAAGAAAGAAUAAAUUGCAACUAUAAGCCCAAACUUUUUGAAAAGUGCAAAUUAGUCCAAAUAAAUUAUUAAAAUAAAAAAAAAAAAUCUUUCUCAAUUCUCUUCACCUCCCCUUGCUUACGCCUCCUCCACCACCACCACCACCACCAUUGCCAUCUCCUAAACCACCGAAACUCACACCAUAAACUGUUGACAUCAACCCCAAACACUUAUGAUAAAAAUUGGAUACAAAUACUACUCAAUUAAAAUGGGAUCUAAACUCGUAUGCUUCAAACUGUCCCAAAUUAAAUCAAUUGCGUGAUUUGUACAAAAUUGUUGAAGACCCAGAGUUGUAAUAGCUUCACCAUGAUGAGAGAUUGCUGAAUAUGGUGGUCCGUGAUCAUGAUGUUCACCACUCACCAAAAUUUCGCCUAAAACCUGGGUGAUGAUUGCGUUCAAAAUGUUUGGCUUCAGAUGUUGAUUGGGUGGUUGAAUAGGUGUUUGGGGAUCAUGGUUUGAUUCAUCAUGAUGAGGGGAAUCUACCAAUAUGUUGGCUUGGGUUAGGAAUCGUCAAAAAGGAAGCUGUCAAUAGUUUUGGUUUGUGCGAUUGGCAAAUUUUGGAGAGAAAUUCCGGCCAAUUCACCUGGAGUUAGGGCCAACUAUACAACCUACGCAACAAUUGGCUUGAUUAAAAAGAUGGAUUGAUUAAAAAUUUAUUUAACAAUAAUUUAUUUGGUUGAUUCUAUCAAAGUUCGAUCUUAUCCAAAAUAAUUUUUUCUUGAAUUUAAUAUACAUGAUUAAUUAUGAGUUAUUGAACAAGUCUAAUAUUAUUAUGGUAAUAUGAUUUAAUUUGAAAAGCAAUAUUACAAUUCAGUAGUUUACUUUUAUACAAGAUAAAUUUUUCAUGAGUCCUUUAUGUCCAUAAUAUGAUUAUCGAAAACAACUAGAAUUUGCUACUUUACCUUUUGAAUCGUGCCAAAUAUUUGUUUAAAAUAUAAAUAUUUGAUUUAUUUAAAUAUUCAAGUAUUUUUAGGCAUGUACAGUUAUAUAUAUAUAUAUAUAUAUAUAUAUAUAUAUAGAAUUGGGAAUAUGCGGUUCGUGAGCCUUUAUGACUAUUCUCUUUUGUAUUCCAUUUCAUCCUUCAUACACGGUUCACGGUGAUUUGAUUUAUGAAAAUAUUCAUUUGCUUUUCUUCAAAAUUUAGUAAAUAAAAAUAAAAAAUUAUCGAAAUUGUUACCAAUGAGGUUCUCGACGCAAGGCGUGCAUGGCAUCAAUGUCAACCCUCAAGCCUUAUGAAUCCAAUAUAUUAAAAAAAAAAUUUCUUGUUUUUAACGUGAUUUUAAUUUUUCUAAGAUUAUUUAUAAUAUUUCUUUUUAUUUUAUAUAUAUAUAUAUAUAUAAUGUGCAUGCCUAGGCUUGAAUGAGUCGCGCCUUCUUCACUAGUGUAACGACCCAAGCACAUGAAACUAACUAGCACAAAUUAAUCAAUAGAAGAAACUCAUACCCUAAUAAAAUAUAUUCCAAACAAAUGCUAAAAACCAUGCAUAUCACAUUUAUUAGAUAAAUAAUAAAAUGUUAAUUUCACUAAUAUAGCUUGACAUAGAUUGAAAAUUAUAACCCAAUAAAUCAUAUUUGUUGUAAAAGAAAAGUUUAUUAGAGUUUAGAGAUAAAUGACAAUUACACCCCCGUAGUCCUUGAAAUAAUUACUGUUGUAUACCUGAUACUGCCCUAUAAAUACAGGGCUUUAGUUCUUAAUAAAAUACAUACAAGUCUAUUGACUUCUCUCUGUUCUCUUCACUUUUCUUCUCUUUUCACAACGUGUUAUCAGCAUAAAAGCUUAAUUUUUUCAAGGUCUAGUGAAGAUAGUAUUUCUUUUAAAAGCAUAAUCAUCUAUUGCGUGUAUCAAAACUAAUUUGAUUACAUGUAAAAUUUCUUUUACAUAUACACAGUUAAAUAUCCUAGUUAUGGUAUUGCACCCGCCGCCAGUACCUAGCUUCUUGAUUCUUUCAAAUUCAAUGAUUCACGCAAAUUUGAUUCUGCAUAUUGUUGCUACUAAUUAAAUCUGUUAUUGCGCCUAAAAGGAAAUUCUUCGGUAAUUAGUAGUUGCUAUUAAUUAAAUCCAAUAAUUCAAUUUUUUUAGUUAUGUACACGUGUUCCCAAGGUAACCUUUGUGCCAAACUUCUAUUUACUUUAAUUGACUUUUGCACGUUAAUUAAUUUAUGAAAAUUAGCUAUUGCUUCAGACACUUCAUAAUAGGUUUUUUAGAAUUCACGUCAUAAUAUGUGAACUGGUUUCUGUACUUUAAAAAAGAAAUUCAUGUUUACAUGGUAAUUAAAUAUUAUUUUCACGUGCAUGCUUGAAAGAUUUUUUUUCUUUACUUAUACAUUUUUUGUGAUUAAUGCUUGCAUGUAAAUUCAUAUCAUAUCUAUAUGGUAAUUAAAUAUAUUGGAUGUUCUUAUAUAAACUUUAACUUAACAAUUUAUCAUGUUGUUGCUCCUAAAGUAACACAACAUUAUAAUUAAUAUUCCAGAAGCAUAUUAAUUGAAAAUCUAUCUAUUAUAUAUAGUUUGUUGAUGCUUUUGAAGUAGCACAAUAUUAUAAUUAGUAUUCUUAGAGAAUAUUACUUGCUCCUGAAGAGCAUAAAUUAUAUUUUUCAAUAUUCCAGAAGAAUACUAAAAUAUUGCUCUUGAAAAGGUGACAGUAAAAUACGUGUUUCUGAAGUAGCACAUGUUUUGAAGAACAUAUUAUUUUAAAUUAAUGUUUAUCGCUAAGGGAAAACAUGCAACUUAUUUCAUGAUUAACUAUUAUGUGAUGUCUAAUAAUAUUCUUCGAAACUAAUUGUAUUCUCUUUUUACUUUACUGUGUAGUUAAUCAAAUGGCAAAUACCACAAAACUAGAGUUUAUUGCACUUGCAUCUCUGGCAAAAACUAUCUAUCAUGGAUACUUGACGAUGAUAUUCAUCUUGUCUCAAAAAAUUUGAGGGAGACAAUAAAAGAAGAAAACAAAGAAUCCCGCAGGAUCGUACAAAAGCACUAUAUUCCUUCGCUAUCAUCUUCAUGAUGGACUGAAAUUAAAUAUCUCACUGAGAAAGAUCCACAGGUUUUUCGGAAAAAAUUUACUUGAGAGAUUUGAUCAUCAAAGGACUAUAGUCCUCCUCAAAGCCCGCUAUGAGUGGAUGCACCUUUGUUUGCAAGAUUUCAAAACUGUUAUUGAGUACAAUUGUGAAUUGUUCAGAAUAUGUUCAAAAUUGAUAUUGUGUGGAGAAAAAAUCACUAAUAAAGAUAUGUUGGAGAAAACUUUUUCCACCUUUCAUGCAUCGAAUGGCUCUUGCAGCAGCAAUAUCGUGAGCGUGGUUUUAAAAAGAACUCAAAACUUAUAUCUUGCCUACUUGUUGCUGAAUAGAAUAAUGAACUGCUGAUAAAAAAUCAUGGAUUACGUCGAACAAUUGCCUAAAGCAAAUGGCACUAUAUUACCUGAAGCAAAUACAAUAUCAAAACAAGAACGUGGACUUGAAUACGGUUUUGGACGUGCACGCAGAAUAAACAAUGGACGAAAUAAUCAACAAAGUUUUCAACAACAAUGCAACAAUUUCUAAAGGCACAAAGCAGACAAAAGUAGUACAUUAAAAAAGCUAUGAAGAAAGUUGCUUUAGAUGUGGAAUGAAAGUGCAUUGGACACGUACCUGUCAUACAGCAAAACACCUUGUGGAUCCCGAUCAAAAAUCAAUCAAGAGAAAGAGAAAAGUGAAGACAAAUUUUGUUGAUUAUGAUGGUCCAAUUGAUAUGACUCAUUUGGAUGUCUUUGAUUUCUUUGCUGAUCCAAAUGAAAAUAUUUACCAUUUGAUUAGGGAUUGUGUGAUGGAAGAUAUAGAAUAGUUUUUUUUUUCUUUUUUUAUAUAUAUUUCUAGUAUUUCCCUUUAUUUUAGAAAUUUACUUUGAAAUAUGUUUUUACUUUUCGCAAAACUUUUGAACUUUAUUAUGCAUCGUUAAUUUUACAGUAUUCAUUAUGUUAUCAUUUUGAAUUUAAAUUCAAGUUUUUUUUAAAUGUGUCUAUUUUGUUAUAUUGAUAUAUUCAUGAUGGAUUGUCAAGAAACCUACUUGAUUGAUAGUGCAAUUACACAUGCUACUCUUCAAGAUAAAAAAUAUUUCUUGGACUUAACAUUAAAAGAAAAUAAUGUAAAUACAAUAUCAGGCGCAUCGAAUAUCGUUUAGGGCUUUAAAAGAGCUUGUAUUAUUUUACCAAAUAAUAGAAAAUUAUUUAUUGACGAUACACUUUAUUCUAGUAAAUCCAGAAGAAAUUUAAUUAGUUUUAAAGAUAUCUGCUGCAACGGAUACCAUAUUGAGACGAUGUAAGAAAAUAAUACUGAAUAUCUUUGCAUAACUUCUUUUGUAUCUGAUCAGAAGCAGAUAAAAGAAAUAAUUUAUGCACUCACAUCUGGCAUGUAUUAUACAUUUAUAAAAAUGGUUGAAUCAAAUAUUAUCAUGAAUCAGAAGUUCGUUGACCUAAAAAGUUUUAUACUAUGGCAUGAUUGACUUGGACAUUCAGGAGCUAUAAUGAUGAGACGAAUAAUAAAUAAUUCACAUGGACAUUCUUUAAAGAACCAGAAGAUUCUUUUUCCUAAUGAUUAUCCAUGUGUAGAUUAUUCGUAAGACAAAUUAGUCAUUAGACCUUCAACUAUAAAGGUCAAUAUUGAAUCUUCAACUUUCUUGGAAAGAAUUCAUGGAGAUAUAUGUGGACCAAUACACCCACCAUGUGGAUGAUUUUGUUAUUUUAUAGUAUUAAUUGAUUCUUCUACUAGAUUGUCACAUAUUUGCCUACUUUCCACCAGGAAUGUAGCAUUUGCUAGACUACUUGCUCAAAUUAUAAAAUCACGAGAACCAUUUUUGGAUUAUUCAAUUAAAACUAUUCAUCUUGAUAAUGUUGAUGAAUUUAGAUCACAAGUAUUCGAUGAUUAUUGUAUGUCAAUCAGGAUUGUAAUUGAACAUUCAGUUGCACAUGUCCAUACACAAAAUAGUUUGAUGGGGUCAUUUAUCAAAUGUCAUUGAUGGACCAUUACUUAUGAAAACAAAACUCCCAACUUCUAUUUGGGGUCAUGCCAUAUUACAUGCUGCAUCAUUGGUUCAUCUUAGACCAAUUGCCUAUUAUGAAUAUUCAUUUUUGCAACUGGCAUUUGGUUAUGAACCUGAUAUUUCUUAUCUACAAGUCUUUGGUUGUGCUAUCCAAGUCCCUAUUUCAACCCCACAACGCACUAAAAUGGGUCCUCAACUAAGACUUGGGAUUUAUGUGGGUUUUCAUUCAUCAUCAAUUAUUAGGUAUCUUGAGCCUUUAACGAGUGACUUAUUUACUGUACGUUUUCUAAAUUGUCAUUUUGAUUAAAUGACUUUCCCAACUUUGGGAGGAAAAAAAUUAUAUCCUGAAAAACAAGGUAAAAUUUAUUAGAUUGAAACAAAUAUAUCUCACUUUGAUCCUCGCAACAAUCAUUGUGAGCAAGAGGUUGAAAAAAUUAUUCAUUUGCAAAGAAUUGUAAAUCAAUUACCUGAUAUAUUUGUUGACACAAGAAAAAGUGUCAAAGUUAUAGAUACCAGCAGAAAAAUAUUUCAGCAAAAAUUGAUGUUCCUGAAUGACAAUUUAUUGUGGCAAAUGAAUCUCAAAUAAGCGAAGAGCAUGGUCGACCAGUUGGUUCAAAAGACUCUGUACCUUGAAAAAGAAAAGUACAAGUGAACAACCAACCAAAAAAUUUGGAAGAAGUCACAUCAGAAAUAAUUGAUCAAUCAAAUAUUGAAGAUAUGGUUCCUAAAGAACCACAACUGUUCGAAAAUAAUGAUAUUUCAAUAAAUUAUAUGUUAUCUUGUAAAUUAUGGGAAUGAAAUACUGUUGUUACAAACAAUAUUUUUGCAUUUAAUGUGGCUCUUGAUAUUAUGCAAAAUGAAGAUCAUGAACCACAGUUGUUUAAAGACUGUCAAAAUAGAAAUGAUUGGCAAAAAUGGAAAAAAGCCAUGCAGGCAGAAUUAAAUUCUUUGGAGAAAUAAAAAGUGUUUGGACCAAUUGUUCAAACACCUAAAAAUGUAAUCCUUAUUGGAUACAAAUGGGUUUUUAAUUGAAAGGGAAAUGAAAAUAAUGAAAUUACAAAGUACAAAGCUCGACUAGUAGUUCAAGAUUUCUCACAAAGGCUAGGAAUUGAUUAUGAGGAAAUAUAUUCUCCCGUAAUGGACACAAUCACUUUUAGAUUUUUAAUUAGUUUGACUAUGUCACAAAAUCUUGAUAUGCGCAUUAUGGAUAUAGUAACUGUAUAUUUGUAUGGUUCACUUGAUAGUGACAUAUAUAUGAAUGUCCUUGAAGGACUUAAAGUACCAGGAACAAACAAUAUAUGCCCGAGAACUAUGUUCUCAAUUAAAUUGCGAAAAAUCAUUAUAUGGAUUAAAACAAUUCGGACGCAUGUGGUAUAAUUUCCUUAGCGAAUAUUUGUUGAAGGAGGGUUAUAAUAAUGAUGAUGUCUAUCCAUGUGUUUUCAUAAAGAAAACAAAUAUUGGAUUUGCAAUAGUGGCAAUUUAUAUUGAUGAUUUAAAUUUAAUUAGAACUCCUGAAGAGCUCAACAAAAUUGCUGAUUAUUUGAAGAAUGAAUUUGAGAUUAACGAUUUGGGAAAAACCAAAUUUUGUCUCGAAUUGAAAAUUGAACAUUUCGCAGAUAGAUUACUUGUUCUUCAAUCUACGUAUAAAGAAAAAGUUUUAAAAAUUUUUUGUAUGAAUAAUGCACAUCCAUUGGCAUCACUUAUGAUUGUUUGAUCACUUGAUGUGAAAAAUGAUCCAUUUCGUCCACUUGAAGAUGGAGAAAAUGUUUUUGGUCCUGAAAUAUCAUAUUUUAGUGCAAUUGGAGUAUUAACAUAUCUUGUGAAUUGCACUCGAUCCAACAUAGCUUUUUCUGUAAAUCUCCUUGCAAGAUAUAGCUUUACACCAAUUUAACGAUAUUGGAAUGGUGCUAGACAUAUUUUUCGUUACCUAAAGGGUACUAUUUAUUUUGGAUUAUUUUAUUCUCAAAAGUUAAGGUCUACUUUAGUGGAAUAUGCAGAUGCAGGUUAUCUAUCUUACCUACAUAAAGCUAAAUCACAAACAGGUUAUGUGUUUACACGUGGAGGAACGACUAUAUCAUGAAAAUCUAUGAAAUAAUCCUUGACAGCUACAUCCUGAAGUCAUUCCAAAAUUAUUGCAAUUCAUGAAGAAGGCUGAGAAUGUGUAUGGUUGAGAAACAUGACCCAUCAUAUCCAAACAUCAUGUAGGUUAACUUCAAUAAAAGAUAGUUCAACAAUUUUGUAAGAAGACAAUGGAGCAUGUAUUGCACAACUCAGAGAAGGUUAUAUCAAAGAUGACGCGAAGAAUCAUAUUUUCUCCAAAAUUCUUUCAUACACAUGAUCUUCAAAAAAAUGGCGACAUCGAUAUCCAACGAAUCCACUCAAGUGACAAUGUGGUCGAUUUAUUCACAAAAGCACUGCUAACAUCUACAUUUAAGAAAUUAGUUCAAGAGAUUGGAAUGCGUUGACUCAAAGAUCUUCAGUGAUCAACAUCAGGGGGAGUAGCUGUACUCUUUUUCCUUUGCUUAGAUUUUAUCCCACUGGGUUUUCUUAACAAGGUUUUAAUGAUGCAACAUUUAUUUUUAGUACUCCAAAAUAAUUGUACUCGUUUACCUUCAUUUGAUUUUUUUCCAUUGAAUUUUUAUCAAAUAAGGUUUUAACGAAGCAGAAUUUUGUAAUGUGUCAUUUAAGGGAAAUUAUUUUAAAAGGAAAAUUUAUUAGGGUUUAGAGGCAAAUGACAGUUACACCCCUGCAGCCCUAGAAAUAAUUAUUUUUGUAUCUCUAAUUAUGUUUUAUAAAUACAGGGCUUUGAUUUUUAAUAAAAAACACACAAGCUUAUUGACUUCUCUCUGUUCUCUUCACUUUUCUUCUCUUUUCACAACAUAUCUUAAAUAUAUAACUAAAUCAUUAUGAAAUAACUAAGAUAAUGCAGAAAUUAAAAUUGUCUCUUUACAUCGGAUUAUUUUAUUGAAUCCCAUUAAUUCUGGCACCUCAAGUGCACAUCAUCGCUCGUCAACAAACUAUCCGUUCUAACAUGUGAGGAGUAGGGAAAAAUGGUAUGUGAAAAUACUCAAUAGGACACGAAAAUGGUGGUGCAAUCCCAAAUAAAAAUAUUUAAAACAUGCAUAAAAAAUAUCAUACCGUCUUCAUAUCUUUAGAAACUAGUAAGAGCUCAAUACAUAUCAGAUCUUUGGAGCCGCAUGGCCAUAUCAUACAUAUCAUAUUAUAUCAUAUCUUUAACUUUCAUAAACAUAAUAAUUUAACAACAUGCAAAAAACAAUUUAAAAGGGAUAAAAAUCAAUGGCUCCUCAUUAUCCUAUCUUGCUUGAUCAAUCAAAUUUUGAAAGGAGAAAGCAGGUUUCCAAUAUUCAUUUUUUUGCCUACCACUGCAGUCGUGUGCGUAUGAAUAUUCUACUAUAGAAUAAAGAUAUAAAUGAAUAGUCUUUAAGUUAAAAAAAACAAUUGAAUUUUUUGGUAAAAUAGAAUUACAUAGAGCCGUGUGCCACAAUGCAGAGGUCACUAUCAAGAUAAUGCCCCCGUUUAGCCUCCAUUUUCUGGAAAUGAAAAUGGGUGGAAUAGUAUUUUUUUGAAAAAUAAAUGGUUGAAAAAGAGAGAAAAGAUUUCGAUUUACGUGUAAUAUUAUUUUAUUGAAGAUUGUAUGGUUGAAAAAUAAGGGAGAAAAAAUGGAAUGUAAUGUAAUGAAAUUUAAUGGAGACCAAACGGGGUUAAUAUUUCAUCAUUAUCCCAUUCAAAAAAAUAAUAAUAAAUAAAAAAAUAAAUCUCAUUUGUAUCUAAUUCUACACAUGGGUCCUACCCAUUUCAAACCCAAUUUUUAUUUAUCAAAAACAAGUAAUAACAACUUCUUUAAACUUCAAUUACUUUAGCUUCUCUUAUUGGAAUUAACUUUUAUCGAACGUACCAUACAUAAUUAAAUACGAACUAUCCAAUGAGCCCCAUAUUGAUUUAUUUUUCAUCGCUUUAUCAAUAUCUAAAUAUUUGAUCCAAAAUUUGAAUUAAUUUAUACAUCAAUUUAGUCCCCCAACUUUUCAAACUAAUAAAAAUAUAGCAUAUAGAACAAGAAAUUCAAGUCUAUAAUUUUUCUUCUUAUUUAUUAAUCUAUUUAUUAUUAUUAUUAUUAUUAUUAUUAUUAUUAUUAUUAUUAUUAUUAUUAUUAUUAUUAUUAUUAUUGGUUUUACAACUAGGCUCAACUAGACCCCACAGGCUUCUUCCACCUUUUCGAAUACUAAGGGUGUGUUUGAUUGCGAGCAUAGAUUUACAUGGAAAGAAAAUAAGUUCUAAACAAUUGAAUUGACUAGAAAGUAUUUACAUGAAAAUUGUUGGUUAAAUGUAUUUGAUUGAUUUUAUUUUCAACCUAGAAAAUAUUAUAUUUUUCCAUUUUUUAUUGGUUGGUAGAUGAAAGAGAUAAAGAGAGAGUGAAUUACUAGGAAAAUAAAAACAUACUCCUCUAAAAAAAAUAUUCUCCUUGUUUUCAAAAUAAUAUAUAUAUAAUUAAGUACCAAUAGUAUGGAUUUGGUACUUAAUUUACUCUUCCACCUGCAAGUUGGUCUCAAAUUUGAGCAAAUAACUUCUCAACUUUUCAUUAACGUUGCGACCUAGCUCUUAGUUCGGAAUGUCAAUAGGCGCAAGCUGUCAUCGAAUUGUUUGUUUGGCUCAUGCCUAUAAAUGCCUUGGCUCAACUCUGAGGCAAGUCUUAGGGUAAGCAAAGUCGAGAACUUCCCGUGCAAGUGCUGACUCAUUUUCGCAUUUUUUUUCCGUCUAAAAAUGUUGCAAUUUCUCAAACAGUUUCUUCCCAUCUUUCUACACUGUUCCAUAAUUUCGUAUAUCACUCAAUAGUAUUAUAAAUUUGCAAUUAUUCUUACUGUUGUCAUUUUUUUUUGCAAUUAUUGCUUCAACUUCUCACUACUCACCAGUUACCAACCAUUUAUUGCUUUUUCCUUCUAUUUUCGACGAAAUUUCGAAUGGAUUAUAGUGGACUGAACCCCAGUUAGGAUGUCCAAAUAAGUAUUUCAGAAAAAGAGAAAAAAAAAUUGAGGCAAAUAGUUUUGUUUGGUUUCAAACGGUUUUUAACUAUGAAAAUCUAAACCUAAUAAUUUCUAUGCGGCACCUCAAUUUGAAGCCGAAAUAUAAACGGAUACUUAUGGAACAAACCAACAGUUUGAUGGGUUGCGAUUUCUAUUCACCUGAAGUAGAAACCAUAAAUAUAUUAUAAUUAGUAAGUUGUGGAUUAUACAUAAAAUGAUCUUUACAUUUAAGGUCAUUGGGUAUCCACGUUAUUCACAAAAUAUUAUCAACAUUUUCAUUGCCAUCUUUAGAGAUUAUUAUUAUUAUUAUUAUUAUUAUUAUUUUGUGAACAUAAAGUCAUAGUUUCACUUUUGAAAAUGCAAAUGAUAAUAAUAAUGUUAAAGAUUUAUUGAUUAACCUACUUCAUCCUCAUUUUGAUGCCCAACUUUUCCAUUUGUUCAGUGUUUCUCAUAUUUUUAAUUUAAAUGUACAAGAUGACCUUAUGUAUUUAAUCUACGGCAAAAAGUUUAGACAUCUUUUAGAAAAAAAAAUUGAAAAAUAACCCCAUUUUAAAUCUUUGUGUAUGUGUAACUAUUUUUUUUUCUCAAAACAAUACCAUGUUACUUCAGUUCACAGAAUUUAACAUAUUUUUGUUACUUUUGUAUUAAAAUCAAAAUUUCAAAUCUACAUUUUUUAUUACAUGUUAAAAAUCACAUUUCACAUGAGUUAUAUGCGUGUUACCAUGUUUACUUUUAUAUAUUACUCUAAUACUUAUUUUUUAUAUAAGAGUAAGAUAUGUGUUACUUGUAUUACUCAUGUUACUGCUAAUCCAGACUCUAACACCAUCCCAUCUAAAACAGUUUCCAACCAUUACUGCAAUCUUCCACCACCACCAUCACAUCCCAUUGCAAAUUAUUAGGUCGGAUUUCUCUGAUCUCAACCAACACCAUCCGAAUCAAAUCAUUCGAACUCACUUCAAAUUAAUUUCAAGUAUGGAUUAGCACAGGAAAAAGUUACAAGCAGAUUAUGCAAUUUUUGAAGUCUAACCCAGCCAUUGAAGGAAAACCAAAAAAAUAAAAAUAUAAUAGUAAUGAUUGAGAUUUAAAUUUGAAAACAUAUAGCAUGAACUUCAAAAUUGAAUUAUGGAACUGCAGCUUUCAUGGAACGAGAAAGCAGAUAUUGAGUCACUUUGGUUUGGACAAAAAGUCUGCCACUAUUUCUUCCAAGUCCAUUUAAUCAGCACCUAGAACGUCCAGUGGAUCCAAAAUAGGAGAAAAUAGUGCAGAUCUGGUAGUAAACGUGGUGACAAGUGACGAUCAGUGUUGUUAAAUUUGGGGUGGGAUGGUGCCGUAUUUAUUGGCCAACAAAAACUGGAUCGAAAGGGGAACAAAGUGUAGAUCUCACGAUGUUGGUGGUUGAAGAAGGUGAUGAAUUGGUGGGAGAAGUGUCAGCGGCGAUAGGCGUUGGAGGUGGUGAAAGUAGUGGUGGCAGGUUGAUGUCUGGAGGAUUAUGUUUGGUGACUACUUCUUCCAUUCCAUAAAGAUGAGCUUACUUUUCUUUUAUGUAUGUCCCAAAUUUUAGGCACUUUCCUUGGUGGUAUAGUUAAUUUCAUAAAAAUUACACCCAACCAUAAUUUUUAAGAUUCAACUUAAAAAAUCAAUUUUGAAAUUUUUAUAUACAAAAAUCAGAUGAUAAUAUAAUAUUAUAAAUAUUAAUAAUAAUAUUACAAAAAUUAAAUUAUUUUACAUAUCCGCUCCACUAUCAUCUACCAUCCCAAAUCCUAAUUAUUUCCCAAUCUAUUCUUUCUUUCUCUGGUGAACCAUCCAUUUUCUCUUCUUCUCACAUCUCUCUCUACCCUCCCCCUCCUAAAAUUGCCCCAUUGCCCACCAUCACUGUCACUACCACCACACCCAUGGGAAUGCAUCAUCCGUCGAUCUGAGAUCUCAUAGCAGCACGAUCUGAGAGCCAACAAGUGAAUCUAUUUUUUCGCUCUCUGUACCAGUGCCUCCUCCAUUUUCUUUUCAUCUCCCACAUCGCGAUGCCGCUGUGUCGCCACCAUGCCCAGCGCUAUACGUUGCUCAUCAAUCUGGGAGUGACGUUGGUCUGAGAUCUUUGAGCAACACGAUCUGAGAGACAUCGAUGGGUUCUAAUGGUGUGGUGCUGUGGUGGUGGUUUUGAGGUUGUUGUGGUUGCGGUACGGUGUGGUGUAGUUGAUUGUGUGAUUUGUGGUUGCGGUGUGGUUGGUUGGUUAGUUGACGUUGGUGGUGGUGGUAGUCAUGAUUGUGCUUUGUGGUGGUGUGGUUUUUGCAUUGUUGUGUGUGUGAUGGUUGUGGUUAGUGUUGUGGUUGCCGUGGUGUGGUGAUUGCAAGGACGGACAUAGUGGUGAUUAUUUGUUUGAUUGUGACUCACAAUUUUUUAAUCAGUGACCAAGAAAUAACUUGUAACUAAUUGAUUUGAUAAUUUGUGACCGUUAAAUAAAAUAUGACCUAUAAAACUUUUGAUUUGUGACCGUGAAAUAAUUUGUGAUCAAGUGAUUCAAUAAUUUUGACCAAAUUGUAUAAAAUUGUGACCUUAAUAUAUUUAACUAAUAAAAUAUGUUUAUAGUUAAUUAUUUUAUAAAUGAAAUUUAAUUAAAAUCUUAUUUUUGAAAUUUUAAACCUUAUUUCUGAAUUUUGAAAUAUAAAAUUUUUCCUUUUCUAACGUAUCCCGAUUUAAUGUGCAUGUUACCCAUAAAUAUGAGCUACUCCUAUUUAAAUCAUUAUUUAAUGUACGGAUAUAUUAAAAAAAUUAUAUUUUCAACUAUAUUAAUUAUAUUUUCUUAAUCAUGUGAAAAUGGAAACAAACCAAACUUUAUUGGAUGGAUUGAGUAAUUAAUAUUAGACUUAGGGUUUGCUAAAUAUUUGUACACUAUAAAAGAAGUAUUUAAAUGUUUGACAAUGGGUAAUUCUCCAAAAAAUUUAAUUAAAUGUAGGUGAUUUUUUUUAAAUGGGCUAUUUUCCAGUUUUUAAAAGAAAAUAAGGCUUAUAGCAUAAUUAUCACUUAAGAAAACAUUCAAUCUAGACUUUUAAAAUUUUUUUAUUACAAGUGACAGACUAGUGCGAAAUUCGUAAAUGUGUAUUGACUUUUACAAAUUUGUGUAAAUUUCAUGAGAAUCUUUCAUUCACUUCUCAAAUUUUUCUUUCAAGGGCUUCUAUAAGCUUCGUUAGACUUUGAAAGACUAUUACUUUUGAGAGAGAGAGAGGCCUUGUACAUAAUGUUAUAUUAAUUAUUGCAUAUUCUUAUUUUAUUAAUUAUAUGUUGCAAUGUAAUACUAUUUUGAACCGCUACUAAUGUAACCAAAUUAUGGAAAAAUAAAAAUAAAAGAUCAUAUGCAACUAUAAACAUUGAGUAAACGACAGUAAUAUAUUUUUCAUCCGUAUCAACUCAAAGGAUAUUUACAAUGCUCGUUAGGGAGCUAUCAAGCCACACGUUACACUGAAAUUCGGAAUGAGAAUCCACAUUAGCUUCCCUUUGAAUUGAUCAUCGGAGGUCAUUAAGGAGCCUAUCAUUCUAGAUAUUCGCAAAAGAACUGGCUCUUCUUGAGCGUAUAAAGAUAAGUUAUGCACGGCCUCUACUGACUUCAUAAAAGAGAUUAUUAUUGAUCCCAAAGGCAACGCAAUGAUUGAGAUUAAUGACGUAUGAAAUAUGUAACAAGAUCACAAAUUUGAAACAAGAUUUAAAGUAAGGUAAUCAAAGAGAGUCAAGCACAGGAAACGAUAUUUUAUUAAAAUGACGACAUGGAGAGAAAAUUACAACACAAUAAUUUAAGCUUUAAUUAAACUAAAAGAAGGGCCAUUUAUAGGUAUAAACCAUACCAUAAAGAUAAAAAUAAUGUGAAAUAAUGGAAUAAUAUAUUUCCAAUAAAAUCAUGUGAAAAUAAAGAAACAAUAUUUUUCCACGAGAAAAUAAUAAAACAAUUUUCUUUUUCCUAAUUUGAAUCAUAAACCCAACAAUCUCCACAUUGAUGUAAAUUCCGAUGCAACGAAAGAAGUUAAAAAAAUUCCCCUACCUGAGAAAUAAGUCUGUCUGCAUUGAAAUAGCCAAACUUAACACAAUAACCAAAACUCCCCAUCACACACACACACGCAAAAAAAAUAAUAAUAAAUAAACAAAUAAAUAAAAAAUCUUCCUCUGCCCAACAUCCACAAGCGAUACUGAAACCCAACUUCCGAGUUCCCAAAAUUCCACAAAGGAAUUACUAUUGAGCAAACAGGGUUGAAGCACACACCGGUAGCAGAAAUCACACCAAAUGCCUGAUCACAAGGACUUUUAGUAGAACUGUCACCUUCAACGAUUCUGAAAGCGUUAUAGACAUCACUAACACCAUUGUAUCUACUCUCCAUGAAUCCAACCCUAGCAACUGAAUACAGUAUAUCUGUUAAAAUUGGUGGCAAAGUGGAAUCACCAAUGCUCCCCUAAGCAAUGUUCUGAGCCGACCCAAAGCCCGUCACAAGAGGUACUGUACUAAAUUGAACAUCCACAACGGUAUUGAACUUUUCCAAAUGUCUCUUAACUAGUUACGUGCUUCUCUACUAGAUGUACAAUUGUGACUUCUUCCAUCCCUCCAAUACAACCCGGACACCCCUUCGGAGUUUCAAGACUCUACCUUGGCCAGAAAAAUUAUACCCUAGGCUACUUAGCGAGAUGAGUUUCCUUUUCAAGUCUGAAAAAUGUCGAACUUGAUCAAUUAUUCAGACCGUCCCAUCCUGGAAACUUAAUCUAACUCGACCUAUUCCAACAACAGGGCAAGACUGGUUAUUUCCCAUCAAAACUCCACCUUGCUUGAUAGCUCUAUAUGUCUUAAAGAAAUUUCGAUUGGAAUACAUAUGAUACGAACAUGCCGAAUCAAGAAUCCACUCCUCAUCAGGUUUAGACUCCACAAUCAGAUACCACGGUCAACAUCACAGCACCGCCAUCUAAAAAAUCCUCAGUAACAUUAGUCUCGUCCGAAUUGCGUGAUUUCCCCUGUGAUUUGCAGCUAAAUUACCUUUUGCUUGCAACCUAUUACAAUCUUUCUUAACGUGUCCUUUCCUCCUACAGUAGAAGUAGUACAAAUUGCUGAAUUUUGUCCUCGAUUUACCCUUCCGUCGAUCACCAUAAAAUACUAGAGCUUCCUCAUCCCCCGAAGUAGCUCCAACAUCGUAGACAUCCUCAAUGGUCAAAGUAUCACGGCUGUAUAGGAUGGUGUCCCGAAAUGGCGAAUAAGAAGCGUGGCAGCAAACACAACAAGAUCAAAGUUAGGUCCUCCUCAUUUUACUUAACCUCCAAUGUCUCUAAAUCUGCAACUAUUUUCUUGACCACAACAAUGUGGUCUUCUAGUGGCCCUCCUUCCGCCAUGCAAUGGGAAUAUAGCUUUUGCUUUAGAGCCAGUUUGCUAGUGAGACUUUUAGUCAUGCAUAAUUGCUCCAGUUUCAGCCACAAAGCAGCCGUUGUUUUCUCCUUUAAGAUGUCCUAUAGAAUAUUAUUUGAUAAAUGAAGAUGAAUCUACGAUAAAGCAUUUUGCCCUCCGUUGUAUCUCCUCUAUUGUCCAAUUAGUUAGCAUCUUCUCAAAACCCAGCAAUGCAUCGUCCAAAUUAAACUGCGCCAAAAUAGCCUUCAUCUUUACUUGCUACAGAAAAAAUCUUGUAUUGCUAUCCGAUAGCGAUAUAUCAUAUUUCAAUGUAGCCCUCUCUAAAAAUCCCAACCAAAUCACAAAGAACAUACAGCCUAACUCUGAUACCACUUAUUAAUCCCAAAGACGACACAAGGAUUGGGAUUACUGACGGUGCAUGAAAUAUGUAACAAGAUCACAAAGAUGAAACAAGAUUAAUAAUAAUAAUAAUAAUAAUAAUAAUAAUGAUAAUAAUAAUAAUAAUAAUAAUAAUAAUAAUAAUAAUAAUAAUCAAAGAGAGUUAAGUAGAGAAAAUGAUGUUUUAUUAUAACGACGACAUGGAGAGAAAAAUUACAUCAUAGUAAUUUUGGCUUUAACUAAAUUGAAAGAAGAAGUCACUAUUUAUAGGUAUAUACCAUACCAUAAAAAUGAAAAUAAUGUGAAAUAAGGAAAUAAUAUAUUUCCAAUAAAAUCACGCGAAAAUAAGGAAACAAUUUUCUUUUUCCUAAUUUGGCACAUAAACCCAACAAUUAUUAGAUUGUGAACUCCAGCAAAUUUGAGACCCUCUAAAAUGGCAAUAUAAUCCUCAAAAAAUGGAGACAUAUUACCCAGAAUGAUUUUGACAUUGCAGCAUUUGAAUCACCUCUUUAUAGUUCCUUCAAAUGAUCAUUCACGCCAUAUAAACUGACCCUAGAUCCUUGUGGCAACGUCACCCUUUAAUUUAAGCUUAUUUUUCAGUGGUGGUAGCCACCUACGCAUUGAAACAUCUACCUGAGGUUGCGGGUCAGUACCGCGGUUAUCAAUUAUCAGUAAGCAAGAAAACCAGUCGUCCCUUUAAGAAUUCUAGCAGUCUCACUCUUAUGUUGGACUCCAUUAAAAAAAAUUUAAUUUUUCUGUACCAACAAUACCACAAUGUUCCAUCACAAGCUUUGAAAACACUACACUAGACUGUUGUCGAUUUGGCUAACAAUUUCAUUUUCCAAACCUCGACAAUCCUUUCACACUUGAUUAAGGAGCGUAGUACCCUCCACUCCCAUUUUUACAUAUCUCCAACUAUCUUCAGAUGAAGAAUUUGAUUUACUCGGCAUAUUUGCACACCAUAACAAACUUCACCAUCCUACUAAUGGGUUUGAGCAUGCCUGGGAAUUUCCUAUCUUUUAGUGACACUACGAGCCAAUUUCCUAAUUUAAUUGUGUAAUUACCUUUUUGUCAAAUACCAUAUUUGUAUACAAUCAUGCUACGCAUACAUUAUUUUUUACUUCAUUUUUGACGUUGUGCCAUUUGGCAACACACAAUUAGUCAGUUUCAAAAAAAUAAAAAAUAAAAAAUUCUCGUCCACAACUUUUUGAAAACCAAUGAAAUGUAAAGAAUGAUGUCAACUAAACAAUGUACACUUAGCAUUAUUCUAUUGGUAUCUCUAACACAUAGUACGAUAAGAAUGAGCUCCGUAUCAAUUGGUAAAGGGUGUGUCAGGAACCCAAUGACAGCUAAACACGGAUAAACAAUAUGACAGUGGAGAAAAUAAUUGUCACGUUGAAUUCAAGUCGAUGAGGUGUCCAGGUUUAUUAUAAUGCGCCAGCUUUGUUCGACAUUGAAGAGCAUCAAGUCCUUGAAAUGGAUUCCUCUCAUUACCCUCUUUUGUUCCCGACCAGAAAGUUGCAUCUGAUCUUCUCAAGUCAUUGAACAAAUUGACAACUGAAAAAUGGUCAUAGUAUAAAUUGAGAUCGACUGUGCUACAGCCUUUAUAAGAAUAUCUUUUCCUUAAAUGGAGAAAACUUAUGCCUCAAAAACUACAGUUUCUUCUAAACUCUUUCCCCAACUCCAUCAUAAACACUUUUUUUGCGCGCCCAGUUACCGAUGGUAGCCCCAGGUAAUUGCCCUGCAAUUGAACUUGUUCUAACUCAUUAUACUUUACCGACUGCUGGAUAACUAUGCUGUGUUAGGGCUGAAAGUCAUGGCUCAUUUCGUGAUAUUAACUCUCUGUCCCCACGAUGACUUGUAUGUGUCAAAACACUAGGUUAUCAUCAGGAACUUUGUUAUUUGUCUACUGAUUUUUGACACGUUGGUUGACACUUACAUUGUCGUCAAAUGUCAAUUGAAUGGAAAAAUUAUUUGAAAUUUAUACUGUUCAAUAUAAUAAUGCUAUAUGAUAAAGUGUAAACUAAAGUGUACACCAUAGUGUACAUAUAACAAAGUUCUAUCAUCAACGAGAAACAGGUGAUUAACUAAUGGUCCAUUCCGAGAACAACUGAACCCUUAUCUUUCAGCUCUUUGAAGAAGUCUCAAGAACCACUUUGUGCACAAAGAUAAUAGAUAUAGCAAUCUUGCUAGAGGAUUUUAACACCUUGGAUAACAAAAUGCUCAUGGCGUUACAUCAUUUGAUUGUUUUAGAAAUAGUCAACAUUGCCAUCCAAUCAUUUUUUUGCUACAACUUCAUCUGUCAACUAAUUUGUUAAAUUCCUCUGGCAAAAUAGCAUAAUUCUAGAUAUGGGGACAAUGGACACCGUUGUCCAAGUCCUCUCAAUGGAACCGAUUGUCCAUGGUGGUCACCAUUAAUAAGAAAGAGAACCUUAAUGUGGUUAAGCAUUUUAAAAUCAGUUGUUUCCAUCGACUCGAUAACCCGAGUUCUUCCAUCACAUAUAUGAUGAAAUCCCACGUGACUCUAUCACACACUAUACUCAUGUCUAGCUUCAUAGCCAUGUACCUAAUCCUUAUAUUUGUCCGUCUUUUAAGCGAGUGCAUGAGUUCAAAACCCAAGAUGAUAUUAUAAGAAAUUAGCCGUACCAGGAUGAAAGCAAUCUCAUAUGGUGAAAUGAUAUUUGAAUGCAGAAACAGUUAGCAACAAUUUUUGAGAUCACUUCGAAGAUGACGUUACAUUAACUUAUAGGCCUCUACUUAUUGGUGCUUCUAGGAAAUUUAACCCAUCAGAAUAAGCGUCAUUACAUCACCUACUUAUCGUUUGGAAAUUCUAAUGAUUGAUGAUGAUUAAGAACACCCAAAUAGGAAGUGAUCGUGUGAUGGCCCAUUUUAUACUAGUCAAAAGUCAAGCUUUUGUUCAAAGGCAAAGAUUCAACUUGUCAAAGUCAAAGUCAAAGUCAAAGUCAAAUGGAACUAAAAUUGAAUAAAUUAUUUUAUUGAGGCAUAUUUUAUAAUGAAAAAUAUUUCGAGGGUUUAAGAUGGAUAAAAUUUAUAAUUGGGGAUUUAUUUUCCUAUUUUUGUAAGUUAAUGAUUUAAUGUUAUAGUAUAUGAAAGUUGGAGGACUUAAUUUUAAAUGUUGGUAUUACUGGACUACAAUUGUCAUUUGUAUAACUCAUUUCCUCCAUUUUAUGUAUACACACAGAAAGCUGAGGAACUGAUAUAGAGGGUAGAAAACAGUGAAAAGAAAAGAGGAGAGAGGAGAAAGAAAAGCAGAAAGAAAUCAAUUGUGCGUGUUUCUUUUCUCGAAAAUCAAUUGUGGAAUUGGUAAUCUGGUGUUAUUAUAGAUAGGUGGCUUGGAUUUUCAACAAAAGUUUUGUUUGUCAUUAUCAUAUAAUCGAAGUUAAUGCUCCACCAAAUCUUAAUUUUAUUACGUGCAAUUCCUAUUUCUAAACAGUGGAGGUCCCAUGGAUCGCCGGUGGGAAAGAUCCAGUUUUUUGGGGAACUGAAGAGUGGCAAUUACAGAUUGAGCCCCCAAACUUUGUAAAAUGUACUGCUUAAAAUCCCUAUUUAAGCUUUCUCGGCAUUUGCGUCCUGACAUCAAGCCCAUGUUGGAUUUAGCUAAAAAAUAAAUAGAUUUUUAAUAAAAGUUAGUAAAAUUUAUUGAUCCCGUAAAAUAUGUUAUUGAAAAUAAGUUUAAAAAAACGAAUUAUAGAGUGUGUGGAUCAAACAAGUCUAAAUUUGGUAUACAAAUUCAUUCAUUUUUCUAUUAAAGUGAUAUUAUUUACACAAUCCUUUUACUGGAGGGAUUAUUACGGUAGGGAUGUUAAAUAUAUGAAAGUCCAGCUCAAGGUUGUAGCUAAAUCGAGUCAACUAGAUUGAACUUUAUGGCUAAAAAAAAACUGACCUGACACAGUCACACAGACCGCUAUAAUAGACAGACCAACUUGUGCAUAGGUCCAAUUUAAGUACCCGUAGCAUAGCCAUCCAUUUUGGCAAACACCAUAUUAUGGAAUAAAACAAUAUUAUCUAACAUUAGUCUAGGUGACCGUAAUUUUUAUGUUUAUUUAAAUGAGUUAUGUGGCUUUGCAAUUAAUAGAACCUAUUAUUUAAUACCAUGUAAUUGUUAUAUAAACUGGUGCUUAACACCAAUGCAUAUGAAUUGCAUUACUCUAUAGUAUAACAUCUUCAUUUCACUCCAAAAAAAAAAAAAAAAAAAAAAAAAAAAAAAAAAAAAAAAAAAAAAAAAAAAAAAAGGUAAGAAAAUACAAAGAAAAGAAAAUAAAUCAGGAUGUUGCUUAAAUAAAAUGAUUGAGCUCCAAAUUGGUGUUUUGCUUGAGAUUCGAGAUCUCAAUAACAAUAUUCACUUUCAUUAAUAAUGUUAUCCUUUAAAAAUAUGAUUGAUGAAUUACAUUUUUUUAUUGGUUAAUACUAGUAGUCAGUCAUCACCAUUGGUUGGGAAUUACAAUAAAAUUAUGUGGUUUCUAAAAUAUCCUAUACUUCUUUAGCAAUCUCACACACUUUCCUAAAUUCUUUGGGGGAAAUAGUCAUAAAAAAGGCAUGCAAGGCUUUACUAUUCUAAUUGCAUCUAUCCAAUUCAACCUUAGACCAAUUCUCUAUGGGGGUGAAAGUGACAACACCAUCUACUAUGUACUUAGAGAUAAACCAACCAUUCACAAACACUCAACCAAAUCCGCUCAUCCACAGAUUUCAAAAAUGUUCUCAUUCUCACUUUUCAAUAAGCAUAAUUAUUCCCGUCAAAAUGGGGUGGCACACUCAACGAAGUACUCAUCUAGACUAUGUAAGGUCAGGACACAAACUCAGGCUCUGAUACCACUUCAAAGAAAUCUGAAACGUUCUAAUACCACUUCAACUUUUAGAUUUAUGGAGUUUACAUUCUAGAUUACCAAUUUAUUUCGACCUUACGUGCGAAAUUAUACUAACCAAAGCAACACGUCGCUUUAAUUAAUUUCUAGAUGGUUAAACAUACAAUUCAAUUUAAUCUAAAGUUUAAGUGCUGCAAUUAUAAUAUUGUAGAAAGUAAUAAAUAACACAAGAUAUGAUGAUGAAGAAAUCCCAAUGUGGGUAAAACUCUAGGACCAAACUAGUUACCUUCACUAUAGACAAUUCAGAUAAUACAAUAACAAGCCUAUCCUUGGACCCGUUAAGAUCAAUGUAGUUGUAUGUAAACCCAGAGCAAUAGCAUGAUGAACCAAAAAGUAUCCAGGACCUAUUGUCAAGAGUAAUGAAUUACUGUUUUCAUUAACAGCAUUUAGAUUUGAACCCAUGACCUCAAGGUUAUAAGCCUUGCUAGCUACCAAACUGCUCUACCCCGCACUGAAGAGAAGAAGUGAAAACUAAUAGACAAACAAGAAUUGAAUGUGCCUCUCUACCGCUGCCGCAGCCUUAUGAUCUACUUCCAUAGACACAUCUAGCACUAGAACUUCUGACCUACCUCCUGCAACCUCCUACUGUCGUAGAUUCUUCUAGCCUCCUGUUAAACCUCCAAGUCUACCUCCUGAAGCCUAAUCUGCUGUCUCCUACAGUCUCUUAGUCUGUACUGAAUGUCUCUCCAAAAUGGACCACCAAGAACUGCCUAUUAUUGUGCUUGUAGUUGCGCUUCAAUCCACCUCUCUCAAUCCCCCAAUGAGAGAGUUCCUUCCUCAAAAGAUUAAGAAAGACGGGUGUCUUGGAUUAUCGGACCUUUGAUGUUUUCCCCAAUAUGUGGUUGUUGGAUCUCAAGAAUAAAUAAAAUGAAUCAAUGCUUGGACAUGCUCUUGGAUCUUCAAAAAGAUGAUAUGAAUAUGUUUACUAAGAGAGACACAAUGAACAACCACUCAAAAUUUGUGCUAGGGCUUAGGUAUUUAUAUUUGAAGAUGUUUUGGUGGUAUGUGCUGAGUAAAACACUUAAAAACUCGAACUAAGGGUUUUGCCACAUAAGAAUGUCGUUGGAGCAAAGAUAUAGAGAGCAUUGAUCGAGAGCCAUUCUAUUUUUUCGUUCGAGCGAAAAGCCAAUGAGAAUCAAACGACAGCUAAACAGUCAUCAAUAUUUUCACCAUAACUUUAUCCCUCCGAUGUCUGAUUGAGGUGAUUCAACUUGCGUUGGAAAGAUAACUUAAAGGGAUACAAUUAUUUAGAACUUUGUCCAAAUUCUAAUGUUUUCUUUGUUAAAAAUGUAUUGCAAGUAACAACUGAGAAUUUGGAACAUAACUUGUACGUCUCUUUGAUAUCCUUUAGAUUUUUAAUUGCAUUCCGAUGGUCAUAUGUGAUAUUCUUGGACAUCUUGGACUCCUUCAAUGACUCGAACACUAAUUUACCUCAUCUAUUAAAAAUUGAAACUAAGUCAUUGACUUUUACAAGUGAUCAAUUUAGUCCCAUUUGUUCACAGAAUUGUCAAUUACAAUAUUGGUCCUAACAGUAGUCUAUUGAUAUUAUAUUUCGUAUUUGUAUAAUGUUGAUAUCAUAUUUUGAUUUUGCUAGCUCAAUAUAUUUUUCAGUUUAUUGAUAUAAUAUUUUGAUAGAUUCUAUCUUGAUUGUUGCAUGUAAAAUUUUAUCAAUUUUCAUGUACUUUUGUACUUGGUAUUGUUUGAGUUGAUUUAUUUCAUGAUACAUGCAUGACAAAACAAUUGAGACGCAAUUCUACUUUCGAGUAAUUGAGUUGAUAUGCAUUAGGUUGUGUUCAUUAUUUAAUUAUGACAUAAACGAAUUUGUCACGGAAAGUCAACGGGAGAGUUUUUUAGGUCUACAGUGUGUUAGCAAAAAUUUGUGUCCAAAAUGUCAUUUUAUCGAGUUGUAUUUAGGGUUAAAUAGUCAAGUGUUAGGAGUAUCUUUGAAAAGGAUCAAAAUCAACUCAAUAAGACUAAGUCAUGGCAAAAAAUGCUCGAAAUUGCCAAGUGAGCUGCUCAAGUAGUUUUAGCCGGAGUUGACCUCUUGCUUGACGUCCAAGGGUGAUCAAGAGGGUUGUGUCAUUCGGGCAAAACCUAGUUCGCGAUUUUUACCCUUAUAACUAUCUAAUACUAUAUAUACCGAGUCAAAUUUCGUCCCAAAAGAGUGUUGAGCCAUUAUUCAUUAAAGAGAACAUCCCGUUGUAAAUCAAACAUUGAUUCUAUAUUUCUCUUGCAUUGACCAAAAGAUCAAACCAACGAAACACCAAAAGAUCAAAAAGACCAAUAAACCUCUAACAAAUAUCUUUUAGAGUUUUAUAGAUCUAGAGAAGUGACUGGGGUUAUGGUUUGUGAAGAACGAGUUCGUUCUUAGUGAUACACUUGAAGAAAAGAAUUUCAGAGGUUCUAAAGCUAGUGCUGGAGAACACAAUCGAGGAGUUCUUUGGUAAUUACAUAUUGGGGUCAAAGUGUACUAAGGUUUAGUUGUGUUUGAAACAGUAUUGUAAGUUCAAAUUUUCAAUUAAAUUAUUUCUCUUGAAGAAUUCUUCAAAAUUUUUCCUUCGUAAAUCAUUGUUUGCGUUCUUUAAUUUACAGCUUUGAUAUUUAUGCUUGAUUGAUUGCUAGGGUUUAAAUUGAUAUUAAUUCAUCUAGGACUAAUAAUUGUAACUUGUCGUAAGUUAUUAUUGGUUAAUUUUUAAUUCCGCAUAUUAUACCUAAUCACCUGUCUAGGUGUUUGUUGAGUCAAACCUAGUUUAUUGCAGUUGUCAUUUCAAUAAGAAUAAUCUGUACAAGGAAUUGAAGCUCAAUCCCUAAAUGUUAUAUGAAAAAGAAAAAAAAAAAAAAAAAAAAAAAAAAACUGCAGGUACAGGUCCCCUGUUGGAAUCUGUUGCAAUUUCCUGUACGUGUAGUGCAUCUCAUGUUAUAUGCCCAUAUACUAUCUCAUACUUCAUUGAUAUAUGGGAUUUUCUUCACACUUUCCCAAUAAUUCGAACUACCCACCUGCCGACUUCAUUUGCUCCAUAGAAUUAGUCCUAUCUAGAAAUUGUGUUAGCAUGCAUCAUGUCUGAGUAGACACUCUGGACCAAAAUUUCGUUCAGGAUGGUUUAGCAAUUUAUACUGGUAAUUUCGAUUUUAUUCUAGUUUUAUAUAUAAAUAGGAACCAUCAUUAUAGUUUUGUAAAUAUCAUUAACAGAAAGAUAUUGGAGAAAAAUAGGGUAUGCGAUCUUUCUCUUGCACACUACUUUUCAUUAAAGUAAAUUAUUGGCAGAAGAGGAUGUAAUCUCAGAUUGACGCGAGCCUCUAUAAAUUUUUUGUGUUCUUAUGUUUCCAUUUUCUUUCUACAAUUUUAUUUCUCUCGAUGAUAUAGAAUUAAAAUUUAUAAUUAUCUAUUAUAGCAACUUUUUAUCAGUUGUUUUUAGCUAGAGAAAAUCAGAUAACUGAUGUGUGGUCAAGACUUACUCUUUUUUUUUUUUUUUUUUUGGGUCAAGAUUUCUAGGCCUACAUAGCUUAGUCUUCAAAUUAAAAACGUGCACACAAUUGAGCUUUGUCUUUUUGGAUAAUGGGAAGCAAAUAAAAUUUCAUUUUGCAGUGUUUGUGUUGCACAAUGGUACUGGUGGUUCAGCUACGUACCUAAAUGCUUCAAUUUACUUUGUGGGAUAUUGAAGAAAAAAAUAUGCACAUUGCACUAAGGUAUAAAUUGUGUCCUGCACAUUAAAAUGUUUUAAGCGCUUUAAUAUGCUUGGGCAAGAAAUAUUUUCUCAUAAAGAACAAGAAAAAGACUACGAGAAGAGUUAAAUAAGUUGUAGCAGAAAAUGACCAACGUUUUAUUAUGGAUGGUUUAGAAAUUUACACUUGUAAUUUAGAUUUUAUUCUAAUUGUAUUUAUAAAUGGGGAACCAUCAUUGGAGUUUUGUAAUCAUCAUCAAAAGAAAUAUAUUAGAGAAAAUAGGGUAUGUGAUUUUUCUCUUAUACAUUUCUUUUCAUUAAAUUGAAUCAUCGGUAGAAGAGGAUGUAGUCUCACAUUGAGACAAGCCUCUAUAAAUUUUACGUGUUUUUGUGUGUCUAUUUUCAUUCUAAAAUUUUAUUUCCCUCGGUGAUAUAGAAUUAAAAUUUAUAAUUAUCAAUUAUUGUUUUUACCUAGCAAAAAGCAGAUAACUGAUGUGUGGUCAAGACUUUCUAGGCCUACAUAUCUUAGUCUUCAAAUUAAAAACGUGCACACAAUUGAGCUUUUUCAUUUUGCGGUGUUUGUGUCGCACAAUGGUACCGGUGGUCCAUCUACCUAAAUGCUUCAACUUACCUGUGGGAUACUGAAGAAAAAAAUAUGCACAUUGCACUAAAAUAUAAUUUUUGUCGUGCAUAUUAAAAUGUUUUAAGCUUUAAAACACAUGUGCAGGAAAUAUUUUUUCAUAAAGAACAAGAAAAAGACUACGAGAAGAGGUAAAUAAGUUGUUGCAGGAAAUGUUAGACCAAAUAAGCACUAUGAUUAAUUUCCCUAACUAUAAACCAAAUUAUCACUGACUUCGCUAUGAUAUUUAUGGUAUCCUCAAUGAAUUUUUACUUUUCUCAAAUGCAGUUACAAAAUAAAACCAUGUAUUCUUUUGUGUAGUUCAUUUUUUUUGUAUUGAUAUCGCUAGUAUAACUAUAUAUUUCUACUUAAAUUUUUCUCGAAUUAGUACAAAGUUUGUUGUGUCUUUAAAUAAAAAUGUAGUUGAAGUAGCAUUAAUAUGUUUAGCACUUUCAAAACCUUCUUUUCUUUUCUCGUUGUAUUGUUCCGGAGGUAAGGCAAACACGCCUCCAACCCCUCUUGUACUUGACUUGUUUAUUUAUGAGAAGACACGGUCAAAGAAUCGAAAUUCCCAUUGGAUCUAUGUGGAGGCCUAGAAAUACUGUCUAGGCAUUAAUAGUACUUUGAUUCAGCAAUAAAAUAAAUGGGUAACGACAACAAUUGAACUCAGCAACCUUUGAUAUUAUGUUGAACUAUCAUAUUUAAAAGCUUAAGUUAUUCAAAAUUAAUCUCAUUUAUUUAACUAAAUUAAACCUCCGAUUGGCCACCAUUCUCAUUCUCAUUCUUUUUCUCUCUCUUAUUUUUAACCACACAAUCUUCCAUAAAAUAAUUUUACACGCAAAUAAAAAAAAUUUCAUUAUUUUUCAACCACACAUUUAAAAAAAAAAAUAUUAUUUCAACCAUUAAAACUUGGAAAGAAUGCGCCAAACGGGGGCUAAGUUUUCAACAACAUUUUAGCUUGUUUGAUCUCCAUUUUUUUCGAAAUAUAUAUUUUCUCUUUUCUUUUCAACCACUCAUUUUUCAAUAAAAUAAUAUUACACGCAACCCAAAAACUUUUCCUUCAAUUUAACCACACAUUCUCCAUCAAUUUACUAUUUCAAAAUACAUUCUACACUAAAAAUGGGGCUCGAAUAUAAUGUCAAGACUUUAGAAGUGUUAUCGAGGUCCUAUUUGAGCCGCAUUCUUUUAAAAAAUAUAUUCUUAAACAGUAAUUAAACAUUAUUUCAUCCACACAUUAUUCAAUAAAAUAAUAUUAUACGCAAAUUCAAAAUUUUUUCUCAUUUUUUAACCACAUUUUUCAUUAAUCUACUAUUUCAAAAUAUAUUCUUUCAAAAUAAUGUGCUUCAAACACACUGAUUAUACCUCAUCCCCAAAUUUCAAGACUAAAAAUAAGCAAAGCUUACACAAGUUUCAAUAAGAGACUCAUGUCCACCUGUCAUUACACUUAAAUGUUACUAAGGGAAAGAGUAAUUCCCCGCCCCACCCUCAAUAAAUCCUUCUGAUAGAAGGGAUAUUAGAGAAAACUAAUAUAGGUAUGAAUACCCCAUAUGUAACGAUCUAGGCCUCGUGCCCAAUUCGUUGUAUUAUACAUAUUAUCCGCUCUCUUACUUAAUUUGAAAUGUUAAGGGUUCGAAUCAUGGUACACGAUAGAAUUUCUAAAGGGUAAGAUGAGUUUAGAAUUUUUCAAAUUGAUCAGUAUGUAUGAUAUAACGACUUGGACACGAAGCCUGGGUCAUUAAAAUGCGUGUUUUUUUUUUUGUAUUUUUUUUUGUUUUUUGUAAUGACUCAGUUCCUGUACUCAUACCUUGCUGUUAACUUACGUACUGUUCAUUUUGGAAGAGUUUGAGUCCAUCUUACCCUUCACAAAUUUCUAUGGCAUCCUCAUGAUUUAAACCCUUUACUUUUUCAUAAGAAUGACUUACGUACUGUUCAUUCUGGAAGAGUUAAAUUCAGAUACUAAAUAGAAAAGUGUGCUUAAGUACGAAAUGCAAAUUCUAGAAAUUGUAUUCUUGGCAGCCGAAUAAUUUGGAUGUGGGAUCCAGCUAGAAUGCGAUCGCAAGCUUCAUCAUGCAAAUUUGCUUUUUAUAUUUAAAUCAUAAGACAUUUGAUCUUCAUCAUUUUCGAAAAUAGCAAGCAAAUAAUUUUUUGUCGUACAGACAAUGAUGUAUAGCCGUGUAUGUUUUUCAAGUGGAACUAUUGGUCCAAUCCGACUAAAUGCUAAAAUUUAGUGUGAGUGAUUUUCAAAUUUUUUUGACAUUGCACUAAAAUAUAUACAUUCACAAUUGAUAUAUCCAAUUCCCAAUGAACAUGUUAUAUUUGCUGUCAAAAAUAUUUUUCACUAUAUGCAAAUGGGAAAAAAAUAAAUAAAUAAAAUAAAAUAAAAAAUUGGAAAUUACUUUCUGUAUAUUUUGAAGAAGUUAAAUGGGUGUAUCUGGGAUACGGCUGGAAUCCGACACUGAAGGAGUAAAUUAGAAGGGUUCUAGCAGUUCUAUGUUGUAUUUUUCAUUUAUUAACGGUUAAAAAAAAAUAAAAUUAGUUCAACAUUCCUUUGGCAUUUUAUACAAAUGGAUUUAUAAAUUUUCAAUAUUUCAAAGUAAUGAAAACGUGGUCUAAAUUAUCUUGGCCUACGUACUCCUGAUAUCCUAGUAUUACAAAUACCCUUCAAAGGAACUUGUAAAUUCAAACAAGACCAUUGAAGUGAGAAGCAUUUCUUCGAUUUACUGUCCAAAUUUCAAGAGUGAAAUACAGAAAUGGACAUCCAAAUCCAUGCAUCUGCUGCCCCAUUUUUCACCAAAAAUAUGAUCAUUCAGGGAUACUCAUCGCUCUGUCACGUAUCAUCCUAUCAUUUGGAGAGAUUAUUUCCUUGCGUAUACUUCUUGUAAAUGUUAUGCCCUAAAUCCAAUCGAUUUAAGUUGUAAACACUUUUAAUAUGCUUAAUGCAUUAAUUUUUGACAAGAUCUAUUAUUAUUUAAAUUAAUAUUCUGAUGAAUAAUGUUAAAUAAUAGAAUCUAAAGAUUCAAGUUUAAGUAAUUUGUUAAUCACAAAGAGUUGUGAUUGUUAAAUGUAAAUUACAUAUGAUUGGAUUUUUAAUUAUCCAUGGCCAUAAGUAAUAACAAGAUAUGAAUAUUGUUUUUACAUAUAGACCAUCACGUGUGACAUUUCUUACUUGUGAAGUAAAUAGCUGAUCUCACAAUCUAAAAUGUGGAGACACUUAAAUGAACGCGUGGAUGUUUUGUUAUAGAACAAAACAUUGGAGACCCGCUAAAAGAUUCUACAUAGAUAACUAUUUGAGUUUCAGUGGUAAUCUCUAACGAUCGAUAGUGAAAUUGGUCCUUUGACUUGAGGUCAUCAUAGUGCCUUGUAUCACAACAGUCAUACUCGCGGUGUUGGAUGUUUCUCUACCAAGGGCCGCUAAUACGACAUAGUUCGGGUAUGUUAAGAAUUAUAUGAAGGUUAUAAAUGACCAAUAGAUGAUUUGUCAUUUUUAGAUAGUAAGAUAUUAUGAUCUGCAUUUCAUUCAAUUAAGUCGAUAACGAAAUCCUUGGCCAAUAUAUACUCAAAAAUUGAAAAAGAGUUUUCGACCUAUAUAGACUUAGUAGUGGAAUAAAAGAUAUGAUCGAUGAUUGAAAUCGACACACUUCCAUAUCUCGUAGUUGAUUGGAUCAUAUUGACGAUGGGAUUAUAGUUUCACGAUAAACAAACAAGUUUGGUAUUGUUAUACCACGUGACAUUUUCCGUCACAUGUAUUAUCCUAACACAUUGCUAGAUAUCAAUUUGAGACGGCGAGUGUGAACUAGUGAUAAAUUAAAAGGGUAUUUUAAUUUAUCUAUUUUGGUUAGAUCAAAAUAAUAUUUCACGUCGUUAGGCAUCAUGAUCGGGAACCUAACGGAUCACACACAAAAAGGGAAUUGGAAUAUUGUAAUUUGUCAAUUAAUUAAUUUAACAAUCAUUAGAUAAAUUAAUUAAUUGGGUUGGUUAUUUAUAGGCCCGAAUUAAUUAAAUUAAUUAAUUCAUAGACCAGAAUUAAUUAAAUAAAUUAACUAAAUAUUGGAUCGGGUCAGGUCAAGCCCGUUUGGGUUUAUAUAAAUACAUGGCUAGGAUUUUUAAUUUGUAGAGAUUCUCAUAAUUCUUUGCUAGCACAAGAGAAGAAAACCUCGAUGACUACAAUAUGUUCUCUGUGUAGAAUUCCAUUGGAGGCUGGAUAGGACAGCUGUUAGGUUGCUAGGCAGCGCCGAAGUGAAUAAAAGAAAAAAAAUUAGGGUUUGGGGAGAGUUGAAGUGGGAGGCCUUUCAUGCAAUUUAUGAAAUUGCAGGUCCCCACAUGUAAAUUGUUUUGGGGAGUUGUCCUGCAAAUUUUAAAUAAAGGACUUGUCACGUAAAUUGCAUAGUUGAGGGGCCUGUUUUUAAUUCUGACUUGGGUCAAAUUGCAAUUGUUAAAAUGGGUUUUAAAUUUGAAUUCUAAAUGGGUUUUUAAAUUAUAAUUUUAAUUGAGUUUGACACAUAUUUGUAUUUGGGCCCAAAAUUAAUAAUUUAUUUAAAAUUGACAACUUUUAUAUUUUUGUUAAAAUUAGAUUUUAACUUAAAUAUUUAAUUUUAACCCUAAAUUGAAUUUUUUUUUAUUUAGGAGUUUUGUCCUAAAUUAAAAUAUUAAUUCAAUUUAAUUAGAAUUUGGACUCUAAUCUUAUGUUAAUUAAAAUUUGAUUUUAAUUAAUAUUACUUCCCCCACACAAAUAUUGAAAUUAGAGUAGGACUCUAACUUAAUAAUUACUUAAAAUUUGAUUUUAAUUAAAUUAUCACACCCUAAGCAAGCAAAUAAUUUUUUGUCGUACAGACAAUGAUGUAUAGCCGUGUAUGUUUUUCAAGUGGAACUAUUGGUCCAAUCCGACUAAAUGCUAAAAUUUAGUGUGAGUGAUUUUCAAAUUUUUUUGACAUUGCACUAAAAUAUAUACAUUCACAAUUGAUAUAUCCAAUUCCCAAUGAACAUGUUAUAUUUGCUGUCAAAAAUAUUUUUCACUAUAUGCAAAUGGGAAAAAAAUAAAUAAAUAAAAUAAAAUAAAAAAUUGGAAAUUACUUUCUGUAUAUUUUGAAGAAGUUAAAUGGGUGUAUCUGGGAUGCGGCUGGAAUCCGACACUGAAGGAGUAAAUUAGAAGGGUUCUAGCAGUUCUAUGUUGUAUUUUUCAUUUAUUAACGGUUAAAAAAAAAUAAAAUUAGUUCAACAUUCCUUUGGCAUUUUAUACAAAUGGAUUUAUAAAUUUUCAAUAUUUCAAAGUAAUGAAAACGUGGUCUAAAUUAUCUUGGCCUACGUACUCCUGAUAUCCUAGUAUUACAAAUACCCUUCAAAGGAACUUGUAAAUUCAAACAAGACCAUUGAAGUGAGAAGCAUUUCUUCGAUUUACUGUCCAAAUUUCAAGAGUGAAAUACAGAAAUGGACAUCCAAAUCCAUGCAUCUGCUGCCCCAUUUUUCACCAAAAAUAUGAUCAUUCAGGGAUACUCAUCGCUCUGUCACGUAUCAUCCUAUCAUUUGGAGAGAUUAUUUCCUUGCGUAUACUUCUUGUAAAUGUUAUGCCCUAAAUCCAAUCGAUUUAAGUUGUAAACACUUUUAAUAUGCUUAAUGCAUUAAUUUUUGACAAGAUCUAUUAUUAUUUAAAUUAAUAUUCUGAUGAAUAAUGUUAAAUAAUAGAAUCUAAAGAUUCAAGUUUAAGUAAUUUGUUAAUCACAAAGAGUUGUGAUUGUUAAAUGUAAAUUACAUAUGAUUGGAUUUUUAAUUAUCCAUGGCCAUAAGUAAUAACAAGAUAUGAAUAUUGUUUUUACAUAUAGACCAUCACGUGUGACAUUUCUUACUUGUGAAGUAAAUAGCUGAUCUCACAAUCUAAAAUGUGGAGACACUUAAAUGAACGCGUGGAUGUUUUGUUAUAGAACAAAACAUUGGAGACCCGCUAAAAGAUUCUACAUAGAUAACUAUUUGAGUUUCAGUGGUAAUCUCUAACGAUCGAUAGUGAAAUUGGUCCUUUGACUUGAGGUCAUCAUAGUGCCUUGUAUCACAACAGUCAUACUCGCGGUGUUGGAUGUUUCUCUACCAAGGGCCGCUAAUACGACAUAGUUCGGGUAUGUUAAGAAUUAUAUGAAGGUUAUAAAUGACCAAUAGAUGAUUUGUCAUUUUUAGAUAGUAAGAUAUUAUGAUCUGCAUUUCAUUCAAUUAAGUCGAUAACGAAAUCCUUGGCCAAUAUAUACUCAAAAAUUGAAAAAGAGUUUUCGACCUAUAUAGACUUAGUAGUGGAAUAAAAGAUAUGAUCGAUGAUUGAAAUCGACACACUUCCAUAUCUCGUAGUUGAUUGGAUCAUAUUGACGAUGGGAUUAUAGUUUCACGAUAAACAAACAAGUUUGGUAUUGUUAUACCACGUGACAUUUUCCGUCACAUGUAUUAUCCUAACACAUUGCUAGAUAUCAAUUUGAGACGGCGAGUGUGAACUAGUGAUAAAUUAAAAGGGUAUUUUAAUUUAUCUAUUUUGGUUAGAUCAAAAUAAUAUUUCACGUCGUUAGGCAUCAUGAUCGGGAACCUAACGGAUCACACACAAAAAGGGAAUUGGAAUAUUGUAAUUUGUCAAUUAAUUAAUUUAACAAUCAUUAGAUAAAUUAAUUAAUUGGGUUGGUUAUUUAUAGGCCCGAAUUAAUUAAAUUAAUUAAUUCAUAGACCAGAAUUAAUUAAAUAAAUUAACUAAAUAUUGGAUCGGGUCAGGUCAAGCCCGUUUGGGUUUAUAUAAAUACAUGGCUAGGAUUUUUAAUUUGUAGAGAUUCUCAUAAUUCUUUGCUAGCACAAGAGAAGAAAACCUCGAUGGCUACAAUAUGUUCUCUGUGUAGAAUUCCAUUGGAGGCUGGAUAGGACAGCUGUUAGGUUGCUAGGCAGCGCCGAAGUGAAUAAAAGAAAAAAAAUUAGGGUUUGGGGAGAGUUGAAGUGGGAGGCCUUUCAUGCAAUUUAUGAAAUUGCAGGUCCCCACAUGUAAAUUGUUUUGGGGAGUUGUCCUGCAAAUUUUAAAUAAAGGACUUGUCACGUAAAUUGCAUAGUUGAGGGGCCUGUUUUUAAUUCUGACUUGGGUCAAAUUGCAAUUGUUAAAAUGUGUUUUAAAUUUGAAUUCUAAAUGGGUUUUUAAAUUAUAAUUUUAAUUGAGUUUGACACAUAUUUGUAUUUGGGCCCAAAAUUAAUAAUUUAUUUAAAAUUGACAACUUUUAUAUUUUUGUUAAAAUUAGAUUUUAACUUAAAUAUUUAAUUUUAACCCUAAAUUGAAUUUUUUUUUAUUUAGGAGUUUUGUCCUAAAUUAAAAUAUUAAUUCAAUUUAAUUAGAAUUUGGACUCUAAUCUUAUGUUAAUUAAAAUUUGAUUUUAAUUAAUAUUACUUCCCCCACACAAAUAUUGAAAUUAGAGUAGGACUCUAACUUAAUAAUUACUUAAAAUUUGAUUUUAAUUAAAUUAUCACACCCUAAUUUUUUAUAGAAUUAGAGUUGGACUCUAAUCAAGAAUUUAAUUAAAAUUUGAUUUUAAUUAAAUAACUUCCCCCUAUGAUCAUGGAAUUAGAGUUGGACUCUAAUCCGAAAUUUAAUUAAAAUUUGAUUUUAAUUAAAUAGGCCCGCCAAUUAAGUUAAUUAGUUAAUAUGAUUAAUUAAUUAUUUAAUUAUUUCGAUCCAUUUAUUUAAAUGAGUUUUGACGACUAUAAUUGCUAGAUUCCUGAGACAUUGCAUAUAAUAUUAGAUAUUAUAUAGGAAACAUUUAUGUGAUGAAUGUCUAUUUAUAGAUGAUUAUGGACUCGACCAUGUGGAUGUGUUAAAUGAUUGAUUUAGUUCUUGUCGUUUUACGGGUCUACGAGCUCUUAAUUGUUUUGAACUUGCGAGUCCGUUAAUAUUAUUGUUGUUAUGGGGCUUGCGAGCUCAAUAUUAUUUUUGGACUUGCAAGUUCGUUGUUGUUGUUAUUAUUAUGGUCAUGCGAGUCCAAUUUCAUUUAGGUCUGCAUGCCAACUAGUAUAGGAUACAUGUUGCAGCUAGACUAAUUGAAGGAGCAAGAAAAUGAGAAAAUCAUGUAGAUGGUGCAUUGAUAUUAAUUCGAUGAUAUACCUCCUAGGAAUUGACCAAUUAGUUUUCCUCUUGGCUCAGGAAAAUUAGAUAAAAUAAGUACAUAAUCAUCCAUACUAUUAUUUGUAUAUUUAUUUGCAUAGUUGAUGCAUGAUUAUAUGUAUGAGACCACUGCAUGUUAAAUCCCUCGUUAAAAUAUUAAGUUGGUAUUAUUUGCCUUCCGUCAUUAUAGUAAAAAACGAGAAUCCUAAAUCGAUCUCAGCUUGUUGAGUACACUCAAGUUUGAUCUAUUAUGGAUAUGUUUGAAACUAUGAAAUAUUUGAUAUUUCUGAAUGAUUGACUUAACUAAAAUUUAUCUUUUUUUGAGUACACUCGUUUUAGAGGCAUGUUAAACUAACAUAUUAGUUGUGUGAAGACAAGGAGUUGUCGGUUUAAUGAUUGGGGAGUUGUAUGGAAAUACAAUUAAUAAUAGUAUCUAUCCAAAUGUUUUAUUAAGAUUUGUUGAGUACACUUAAAAUCUUGACGUAAUAGAUGGGAUCCUAGCCUACUGGGAAUCAAAUGAUGAAUUCAUUUUAAACAUUGGGAGCACGUUUAAUAAAAUUCCAUAUUAAAUUUGUUCAAUGCAUUACAAUAUAUAUUAAUUCUUUAUUUUUCGUCAUUAACAGUUUUCGAAUCAUGAGUAAUCAUAUGAAUUUGAGAGGCAUACUAGAUGCCAACAAACUGACCAUACCAAAUUUUUUUGAUUGGCACUGCAAUUUGAGAAUCAUUCUCAAGUAUGAGAAAAUUGGGUAUGUCCUUGAGCAGCUCCUUCUAGAGUUAUCUACUGAAAACUCCAUUAAGAAAGACGUGCUCCUGAAUUUUGCAAAAUUAGACUUCAACAUAGUGCAGAAGAUCCACCAGAAAGAGUUCAGUGACAUUACAAGGUUAGUUUGUUAUGUGAAGCUUCACUCGGUAUAUUAGUAAAAUUUAUUUACUUUCAGAUGUGAAUUGCAGGUGGUGGAAGGCUUUAGAGUUUGGAAAAAAAUUGCCUUUUGCAAGAGAUAGGCUGGUGGAAUGCUACUUUUGGAUAUUAUGUGUCUACUAUGAGCCCCAAUACUCUCUAGCAAGGAAAAUUCUGACCAAAGUGAUGGCCAUGACUUCUAUUAUUGAUGACACCUAUGAUGUUUAUGGGACCCUAGAUUAACUUAAACUUUUCACAGAUGCAAUUGAAAUGUGAGUUUUGAGUUAUUCUUUGUGUCUUAAUAUCUAAUAACAUAU